rnacentral:lncRNA from 1 species
AAUUUUGGUUGACCGCCAAAAAAUUUUGGUUGAAAAUUUUGAAAUUUUGAAAAUUUUUCGACUUUAGCCGACGACUUUUCAUAUAUUUUCGUCGGCUAAAGUCCUUUGAAAAUUUUCCUCCAACUUUGGUUUACCGCCUAAAAAAUUUUGAAAUUUUUUGACCUUAGCCGACGACUUUUCAUAUAUUUUUGUCGGCUAAAGUCUAUAAAUUCACGAAAACGCUCAUAUCUCCCCCUAUAUUACGUAAUUUGGUCAAACCUUCCACACAAAAAACUCUCACGUAGAUGAGACGCAACUGCCCAUACAAAAAUUUUGAGACAUUUACCUUCCGACAAUAGGGCUCCCCAUAAGGAAUAAUAACGGUAAAUAGGGUUGACCGCUACUAUCGGCUCCGAGACUUUACCCGAUUUAUGUGAUUUUUGAACCAUAGCCGUAUUUCACCAUUUUGAACACAUCUUAUUUCACGAGAUUUUUCAUAAUUUUGCUUCCUAUGUAGAGUUGGUUCACAAAGUUGUAUAACCUACUAAACAAGUUAAAUAACAUUAGUAGACACGUUGUGAUUCCGAUGACUAAAAUUCACAAACCAAAAUUCGACCGUCAGAUAUGAUCAUUAUGACGAAAUAUGUCUAUGGUAAAAAAUUCAACUGGAUCCGACAACGUUAAGGGCUCGAUCGAAACGGUCAACCAUAAUCCAUCGUCACUUAUCACACGAAAACGCUCAUAUCUCCCUCUAUAUUACGUAGUUUGGUCAAACCUUCCACACAAAAAACUCUCACGUAGAUGAGACGAAACUGCCCAUAUAAAAAUUUUGAGACAUUUACCUUCCAACGAUAGGGCUCCCCAUAAACCCGAAUAACGGUAAAUAGUAGACACGUUGUGAUUCCGAUGACUAAAAUUCACAAACCAAAAUUCGACCGUCAGAUAUGAUCAUUAUGACGAAAGAUGUCUAUGGUAAAAAAUUCAACUAGAUCCGACAACGUUAAGGGCUCGAUCGAAAGGGUCAACUCUAAUCGAAAAUAAGAAAACUGCAUUUUGAAGCCCUAAACGGACUCAGAUGGCCAAAAAAGCCGAUACAGCAUGGCAUUAGCGAUGAGUUUGACUCGUAGCGCCGUUACGCUUCCGGAAAGGUAUCACAAUAGUCAAUCAGACACCAAACGCCAAAUCUGCAGCAUAGUGAAUAAUAAGGGUAAGUCAACUAUCGGCACCGAGACUUUUUCCGGAAUACUGUGAUUUUUCAACCGUAGACGUAUUUCACCGUUCUGGUCAUAUCUUAUUUCACGACUUUUUUGCGUUUGAAGGUUCUACGUAUAGUUUUUUUUUCUCAGAUGAGUUGUUGUCUAGAUCUGUAAAUAUAAUGCACUUUAGCCGACGAAAUUAUAUUUUUUCGUCGGCUAAACUUUUAAACAUUUCAUCGGCUAAAGUUCACAGACUAUAGCCGACGAAAAAAAUUAUUCAGCCGACGAAAUAUUAAUUUCGUCGGCUAAAGUUGACCAUAGCCGACGAAAAUUUUAAAUUAGCCGACGAAAAAAAAUUCGUCGGCUAAAGUGGACUUUAGCCGACGAAAAAAAAAUUCGUCGGCCUGUUUUUUUUUUUUCGUCGGCUAAAGCCUUUCUUCUGGUAGUGAUGGUAAAAUUCUUAUUAAAUACCAAGCUAGUAAAUAAGGUAAAAAUUUAAGAGUCGGGAUGUAACAUGGUUAAUGCAUGGUGAUAUGUGAUGUAUGAACAUGUGAUGCUUUGAGUGGUGAUAUCGAGAUGAAUAUUGUUUGGGUUGAUAGAUGGAUUUCAAUUUGGAGAUUCGAUUGAAUUAUGAUUUGUGGGCUUGUUGUGUUCUUUUGGCUUGAAAGGUUAUUUUGAAAUAUAUAGAUAUACAUGUAUAUAUAUAUAUACAGGCCCAUUCUGGUGCAGACGUCUCUCCGUUUGCCACCGGACGGCGCUGGCGACGGCGAGCCUCCACCGUAGCGGACUCCAACAGUGUCCCCGACCACUUUCCCUCCCCGGCGAGUCCGCCGAAUUCCAGUUUUCCGACGAGAUCAUCCAAAACUUCAAACAAAAUCAAUCUCGCCGGAAAACUAGAAUUUGACAGACUCGCCGAGGAGGGAAAGUGGUUGGGCCAUUAGAAGAGAGGGGAUGUACUAGUGGACCCUAGGAGUUAGACACCAGAAGAGAGGGGAUGCACUGGUGGCACCAGAAGAGAGGGGAUGUAUUGGUGUGUGCGUAUAGGAGUGUCGGGCCACUAGAAGAGAGGGGAUGUACUAGUGGGCCCCAGGAGUUAGACACCAGGAGAGAGGGGAUGAACUGGUGGCACCAAAAGACAAGGGAUGUACUGGUGUGUGAGUAUAGGAGUGUCGGUGUGUUUAGGGUUUAAUUGAGAGCAAGUUGUUGAAGUAUACGACGGUUUAAUUGCAGAGUGAAUGUGAUGAUUUAUUAAGUCAAAUUCGUUAAUAUCAAGUGCGGAUUGCGACUUAUUUAUGAAUAUCUAGGAUGUAAGUAUAAUAAUUUAGACCCCUGUAAUAUUUUUAGUGGGAGAGCGGUUGUGGCUACAGAGUUGGUUGUAUGCUCUAGCGGUUUGUAUGAUAUGUUGGUUUGUAGUGAUUACUGUUUCUUACAGGUCAAGGUUGUCCACUUUUAGGGAAAGUUAUGCCGAACUCUCGGUAGAAUUUCCUUUUGAGGUGGUCCCCGCAAGAUCUUCUCGGAUUUCAGGGUGAAAUUCGGGACGGGUCCUGUCCCGCUAGUCUCCCGUACUUUGUAAUAAAGAGCCUCUCAAGCUAAUAUAUAUAUAUAUAUAUAUAUAUAUNNNNNNNNNNNNNNNNNNNNAAAAAUUUGAUCGGGGAAGUUGGUGUAAUGCCAUAUCCCUAGAAAUGGCUAAAAAUAGGGGAUCCCUCAAUGGGAAUGGGGCCGUCUAUAUAUAUAUAUAUAUAUAUAUAUUUGCACUCGUCAUACUCCUUGUAUGAAUUCUUAUGAAAAAUAUAUGAAAAAUUGAAAUUCAUACAAGGCUAUAACACUUGCGUCUUACACUCACGUCACACCAUAAUGGAAUUUCAAACACUACAUCAUUAUGGCGGAAAAGACGAGUGUAUAUUUGUGCAUAUCCCCUAUAUGAAUUACUAUUUUCAUAUCGGGCUACGAUGCUUGCGUCUCACGCUCAUGUCACACCAUAAUGAAAUUUUAUCUCAUUAUGGCGGAAAAGCACGUAUAGCUAGCUAGCAUUUAUAUACAUACUAUCCUCAUAAAUAUCCAUAUAUCUAUCCGCCGAAAAUCUCAACUCUCCAAAAUAAUGAAAAUUGCCAAUUAUAAAAGAAACAAUAAAUAUAUGACUCCACCGAAAAAGUUACCGAAAAGUUAACAAAUAAAAUAUGAAUAAUCACUUUCGAAAAUACUUCGCAGUAAUCAAUCGUAAAAGGAAAUUAUUCUACAAAUUAAGAAUCAAUAAAUUAAACUCAAUCAUUAAAUAAAUACCCAUUGCAUGCAUUUAAUUUAAAUUUUAAAACAAACGUCCACUCACAGUAUUAGGCCCAAGCUUCUAAGUGCUCGGAAUACUCCUCGAGCGUUGCCACUAAACAAGACCUUAACUUGGAAUCGAAAUCAUAAUCAAUUUCCAUGCCUUUAACACAUCAACCAAUUUACUUCCAAAAUUUACUAAGGGCACCCAAAAAGGGAGAGUUUCCUAAAAUAGAAAGUUUCCUAAUUAGGACCUACAACCUAUGUUGCACGGACACUCCACACCCCUGGAGUGUCGGAGUGUCAAACACUCCGACACGCCGACACGGCGCCCGACACGGCAAAAUACGUGUCCGACAAGCCACGUGGCGUGUCCGAAAAAAAAAAGUUUGGAUGGAUUUAGGGCUGGGCACGGUCCUUGGACCGGCAUCAAAUUUUCAGGGACCGGGACCAGUGUUCUGGGAGAAGAAAAGGAAAAAAAUAAAAAGAACGGAAGCAUUUAGUUAAUGUGUCUCCAAGAAAUAAACCGGGUGUCCAAAACAGAGACAAGCCUUUGGGUGUCCCUGGUGUUUACUUGAAGCUUCGGGUGUCCAAAUCAAAAUACCUAAACUUCGAUACCAGAAAAUUUAAACUUGGUGCGAAACCGAGAAAUCCCCAAAAUACCCAAAUGUUCGAACUACAAUGGUUUGAUCCCUUCACAGGGUAUGUAGGCAGUCUGGAUUUAAAUCUAGACACAACCACAUUUAAAGCCAAAUCCUUGGUCCUUUCCAAGUCAAAUUCCCAAACACAUAACCAAACCUUUCGACAAGUCAUCUACUUCGUCGAAACCCCAAAAGCCAUAAAACUUGAACUACGAGUGACUUGAUCCCAUUCGGAGUACGUAGGCAGCCUGUAAAACAAAUCGAGUGCAGUCGCAAUUCCCCUCAAACACACAUUCCCCAUUUGUUACUUUGUAUUUAGAAUCAAAGGGUUUUCCCUUAAAAGCGAGGGUUGUAAUUAAGGAAUUUAUUUUAUUCUGAAUAGGUCAAACCGGACAUAAUUAAAACUCUAUUUUAAUCAAUAAGAUAGAGUGAAAUUGUGUUGGGUAUAUUUAUUUACAAUUUUUGCUGAACAUAGUUUUUGGCGACUCCACUGGGGACCCAUUUUCCCUUUCAUCUCUUUUUAUGAAGUUAUUAACUUGUUAUAUGUGUUUCACAGGGAAAACAAAUCAAUGGCACCACAAGUAACAGUUUUCUUCCACAAGCUCCCAGCAACUGCUGCUCACCCAAGCCAAACAGGUCAUCGAAUGACAUUUGUGAUUGGCCAUGUUCCUAUCACUUCUGCAAAGGCAAAGCUUGAAGCAAAACAAGUCAAGCUAGUUGUAAGCGCUGUGAAGACUCAGACUUUCAAAGCUGUCUCCAAAAAUGCUUUGAGAAAUCAGAGGAAGAGGGUUGCAAGAGGUCCAAUUACCCGCAACAUGGCUAAAAGGAUUGCAAGGUCUAGGGAGGCCGAGAGGAUCUAAAACUAGGGAAUACCCUGUUUAUGGAGAUGAUUCCUACACAGGUCCAAUUACCCGCAACAUGGCUAAAAGGAUGAUGCUUGAAACGUCGUCAGCAAGUACUACGUCAGAAGAAGGGUAUACGUCUCUAAAGGAUAAUCCUUUAUUUGUCUCGUGGAAGGGUAAUCCCUUAUAUGAGACCUUGGUUCCAACUGAAGGCUCCUUACAUGCUUUGAUACCUCAAUCAGUCGCAAGGUCUAGUGAGAGUUGUGACUCUGAUUCUGAUAACGUUCAAGUUCUCAUGGCAAGCUCGUCAAGCCCAGAAGAGCAACUGAAACAGCAGAUGGAGGAGUUGACAAAGAAGUUAGCUCAACUUGAACGCGAUGCUCUACAGAGGCAAGUUGAAAGAGAAGUAGAAGCUAAGAGGAUAGCAGAUAUCGAGGCCGAGUCGAAGAGGAGAUUAGCUGAAAAAGAAGCCGAGGUUGUUGAGCUUAUAGCAAAAUGUGCUGCACUCAUGGAAAAGAAAGGGCAGGAAGGUCCUGGUCCCUCAUUUGUUAAAGAUAACGAUAAUGCGCUCUCGCCUGAAGGGAUUAAGAACAUGAUAGCUGAAGGGAUCAGAGACUUCCAAAUGUCUCUGUCUACACCAGUCCUUGGAUACCGUAAGCCAUAUCCAGACCAUUAUGAUGCGAUACCUUUUCCUAAGGGAUAUCAAAGGCCAACGUUCGACAAGUUUGACGGGAUAAAUAGUUCCCCUCGAGAGCAUUUAGCUCACUUUUAUUCAGCUUGUGGAGAAGCGUCACAAAUCGAUGCCUUUUUGGUCAGACAGUUUGUACAAUCCCUCAAAGGUGCUGCGUUCACGUGGUACACUCAGCUAGAGCCAGGUUCCAUUCAAACAUGGGAUGAUAUGCAAAGAGCAUUUUUGGCACAGUUUGUCAGCUCUAAGAAGAAAGUUUCAAUUAUUGACCUGGCAGACACAAGACAAAAAGUUGGAGAAAGUUCUACCGAAUUCAUCACAAGGUGGAGAAGUCUUAAUCUCCAAUGUCCUGACAAGUUAUCUGAGACCUCUGCUGUUCAGAUGUGUGCUAAUAACCUCCUCCCAGAGAUCGCGACAUAUGUUGGCACAGCUGAACCCCAAACUUUUGAUGCAUUGGUCUCCAAAGCAAGCAAUGUCGAAAGGCAAAUUGCUCGCCAAAAGUCAUCUUCAAAAAUUCAAAUUGCGGAUAAGAAGAACGAUUCCAAGAAGCCAGUCGUCAAGAAAGGGGAAACAAUGGCAACUUUCGUCAGGAAUGAAAAAAAAAUGACAAUGUCAAAAGUAACAACGACAACAAUAAAAUGAGGAAUGAUCGACCUCGCAGACUCACACUCGGUGAAAGAAAAAAGGUCACCUAUUCAUUUGAUGAUGAUGAUGUUGAGGCGAUUUUCGAUGAGCUCAUUGCAUCUGAAAGCAUUAAAAUUCCUGAAUCAAAACGACCUGCUGAAAUGAACAAGACCAAUGAUCCUAAAUAUUGUCGGUAUCACCGCAUAGUAAGUCAUACGUUGAAGGACUGUUAUAUUCUUAAGGACAUAAUUCAAGAUAUGAUUAACAAAAAGGAGAUCGUGACAGCAAUCGCAAAUGUAACUACAACUGGUUUGUCUAGACCAGAUGGUGCCAUAUCAGUCGCGUUCAAGGUCGACGACGAAGUCACGAUUGUCGAAGCAUAUCCAGACAUGCCUUGUCUGGAAACCCUAACAUUCCAUCCCUAUACGAGCUUAUGACAGCACCAAGUUUUGAUGUAUGGGAGGAUUCAGAUGGGUUGGAAGAUUCAGAUGGAGAAUGGUGCAGGGCAGAAAAUAAUGCAAGACAACUUCGUCCCCCUAUUGUGAAGACCCCUUCUUCUUCCUCAAGAAUCAAAUAUCGCCGCAAGUCAUCUUCAAAAAAUAAGAAGAAAGGAAGAACUGCAAAGAAAGUUCAAAUCCAAAACACGGAGGAGUACAAGCAGUCCCCGAGAACUCCGAUUACUCUUGGGGACUUCCUACCAAAAGAGCUUUUUGGGAAGGACCAACAAAGAAAAGACGAUGAGGACGUACUUCAAUGUUGCAUGGUAACUAUUAAUGCAGUUUCCCCUUCCAACUCAGAUGCACAUGAUGAAAGUGCACAUGAAGUUGAUCAAAUUCAGCUACGCUCUGGCUUGGUUGUCCCAUCACCUGUGCAAAAGGGUGGAAAAUCACUACCCAUGAAAUUUAGGGUAAAAAAUGAUACAAAGAAGGUGACUGAUAGGGUAAAAACUACAUCAAAAGAGUCUCCUCAGAAGACCAAAGAAACUCACCAAAAGAGCAAAUAUGAUGUACUAUCACACCUGAAACGUAUCCCCUCACUUUUAAGUGUGUAUGACGUUUUGUGUAUGACAAGGGAGUUAAGAGAAGCAUUGAUCGAAGCGUUGUUGAGCCCAGAUUUGUAUAAAGAGGAUGUUGUUGAAGUUGAUACGACCACCGCAAGAGUUUGUCCCCAUUGCAGAAAUUGCAUCUCGUUUCUAGAGGAGGAUUUGCUGUUGAAAGGGGAACACCAUAACAGACCUCUCUACGUCACAGGACUUGUGGGUAAUACAACAAUCAAUAGAAUUUUACUUGACUGUGGCUCGGCUGUGAACUUGUUGCCCCUCAAAACGCUUCACAUUAUGGGAAUGAGUGCUAAACAACUUACUCCAUCCAUGCUCACCAUCCAAGGUUUUAACCAAGCUGGUCAAAAAGCAAUGGGUACGAUUGUCUUACAAAUGGAGAUUGGGGAAAUUCUCUCAAGCGCUUUGUUUCAUGUGAUUGAUGCUCCUACGUCCUACAAUGUAUUGUUAGGGCGCCCAUGGCUCCAUAAUUAUGGUGUCGUCCCUUCUACACUUCACCAAUGCUUUAAGUGGUUGGAAAAUGGAGAAGUCAAAACAGUCGUGGCAGAUGCUGACCCUUUUAAAGGCGAAGAGGUAAACUAUUCAGAUGCUUAGUUCUACAAGCCAACGGAGCUUCCUGAAGUACUUGUGGAAGAAACUCCCAAACACGUGCUAGAAGCAAGGAAAUUGGAAGCGUCGAAGCCGUCAAAACUUCGGGUCAGAGUAACUCCCCCGGUAUUGUCCUCAAAAGGAAAGGCUCCAAGCUCAGAAAAAUCAAAACCAAAGAUGGUCUUCAAGUAUGUGAAAAUAGACCAACGAGAACCUAGGCAAAAAGCCAUAACACCUAUCAAGGACACAAUGGAGACGCUCUGCACGACCUCUUCGUAAAAUUGACCAAUCUAUCCCAAAGAGUGAUAUCGUGAUCUCUACAACACUCGGUAAUGGGCAUAGUAGGCAGACGCGGGUUGUUUCCUUCAAAAACAGAAAUCUGAAGUUAGCAUCAUCUGUUCCUUUAAAGAUUAACCUUAAAGGUAGAAAGGCAAUUUCAAAAGCCACUCCCCUAAAAGUCAUGGUUAAGCAGGUAAAUGGUAUGCUUAAGGUAAAGGUUCCUGAGUCAGAUUCCACCGAGUCAGGUGUUGUUACGGAUCUUGAGAAGACUAUGUUUCGUGAGGAAGACAUGACACAAGAAGAUUUGCCUCGUGUUUCUGUGUUUCGACGUCUAACAAUUGAUCCUCAACCUCGAGUUUCGAUGUUUCAACGAUUGGGUGAAAUUCAUCCCAAACCACAAAAGAACAGAAAGUGGAAGCUCAAGGUUAAACAACAAAGAGUACUAGUUGCUAAACAGGAGGACGAAAGUACACAUGAAUCUUCGUCAACGAAUUGCGUUUCCAUCGAAGAAAAUCAAGUCGAAGACGAAGAAGAAUAUGAAUUCAUCGAUAGUGCUCAACUUGCCCCGCCCCAAAUAGAAGAUGGAGGACAAGCGACAGUUGAUGAGCUGCAGAAAAUAAAUUUAGGCACCAGUGAACACCCAAAACCUAUAUUUGUGAGUGCUCUUUUGACUACAGAAGAAUUUCAAGACUACAAGAAUCUUCUAGAAGAAUAUAAAGAUGUGUUUGCAUGGGGCUAUCAAGACAUGCCUGGCCUAGAUCCAGAAGUUGCUGUUCAUAAUCUCGCAGUAUCAGAGGAAAAAGGUGGGUUAAACAAGCACCAAGACGCUUUCGUACAGAGCUAGCUACUCAAAUUGAAGCUGAAGUGGACAAGCUAAUUGAUGUGGGUUUCAUUCGUGAAGUCAAAUACCCUACAUGGCUGGCCAGUAUUGUACCUGUUGAAAAAAAGAAUGGACAAAUUCGCAUUUGUGUAGACUACAGAGAUCUUAAUGAAGCUUGCCCAAAGGAUGAAUUUCCAUUGCCAAUUACUGAACUCUUAGUUGAUGCAACAACAGGCUUCGGUGCUCUGUCCUUCAUGGAUGGUUUCUCCGGCUAUAAUCAAAUAAAAAUGGCCCCGGAGGAUGAAGAGUUUACAGCAUUUCGUACCCCCAAGGGGUAUAUUGUUAUACAGUUAUGCCUUUUGGCUUGAAAAAUGCAAGUGCUACCUACCAAAGAGUGAUGACAGCCAUCUUUGGUGACAUGUUGCAUAAUAUAGUCGAAUGUUAUGUUGACGACUUGGUGGUCAAAAGCAAGAAGAGGGGGCAUCACCUAAAUGACUUGAGAAGAGUCUUUGAGAGACUUCGAAAAAAUAAGUUGAAAAUGAACCCUCUUAAAUGUGCAUUUGGAGUAACAUCUGGUAAGUUUCUCGGUUUCGUUGUCAGGUACCGGGGAAUAGAAAUUGGUCCAACUAAAAUCAAAGCAAUAAGGGAAAUGCCAGCACCGAAAAAUCUUCGAGAGUUGAGAGGAUUGCAAGGGAGACUCGCUUAUAUAAGAAGGUUCAUAUCGAAUCUUUCUGGAAGGUGUCAACCAUUUUCAAGACUGAUGAAGAAAGACGUACCUUUCAUCUGGGAUCAAGCAUGUCAAAUUGCAUUUGAUAGCAUCAAGGAAUAUUUGCUCCAUCCACCAGUCCUAAUGGCGCCUAUAAAAGGGAAAUCUUUAAUCCUUUACAUAGCAGCUCUUGAGCACUCCCUGGGGGCAUUGUUGGCACAAAAUAAUGAUGAGGGGAAAGAAAACGCUCUCUGCUAUUUAAGUCGAACAUUGGUGGGAGCUGAACAUAAUUACACGCCAAUAGAGAAGAUCUGCUUGGCUUUAGUCUACGCCGUCCAAAAAUUACGGCAUUAUCUACUUGCUCAUAGUGUCACCUUGAUAUCUAGAGCUGAUCCAUUAAAGUAUUUGAUGACAAAGCCUAUGCCCUCGGGUAGGCUUGCUAAAUGGUCUUUGAUUCUCUCAGAGUUUGAGAUAAAGUAUGUGCCUCAAAAGGCAAUAAAAGGGUAAGCCCUCGCAGACUUCUUGGCAGCACACCCGGUACCAGAUGAUCAUGAAUUACCCGAAGACUUGCUAGACGAAAAUGUCUUCUCAACUGAGACCCCUUCGACGGAGCCGAUAGAAAACAAGGAGCUGGAGCUGGCAUUGUGUUCAUCACCCCUUUUGGCGGUAUAAUCCCCUACUCAUUCUCUCUAAUGGCUUUGUGUUCAAAUAAUAUUGUAGAAUAUGAAGCACUCAUCAUUGGCCUCGAGAUCGCUUUGGAAAUGAGGAUUGACUCCUUACAAGCAUUUGGUGACUCCCAACUGAUCGUCAGACAAAUAAAUGGUGAGUACGCAUUCCUAUGGGUCAAAAAUGAGAACCUUGUCCCAUACUACCAACGGGUCAAAUACCUUAUGGGACAAUUCCAAAACAUAAAUGUUAGCCACAUUCCUAGAUCAGAGAAUGAUAAAGCAGAUGCAUUGGCUAACCUGGCAGCUUCUUUAAUCCAACCUGACGAAAGAGACAUCCAGAUAACAGUUGGGGAACGUCGAUUGCUGCCUACAUUACUCGAACGAAUGGAAGUCACCAAUGAAACACAUGUGGUUUCAGUGUUCGAAGUUGAGGAAGAGUCUGAUUGGCGAAUGGACAUGAUCAAGUAUUGCCAGACAGGUAUACUACCUGCAGAUCCAAAGAAAAGAGUCUAUGUCAGGCGGACAGCACCUCGAUAUACGUACCUUAAUAACACUCUGUAUAGGAUGUCCUUCGAUGGAAUACUCUUGAGGUGUUUAUCAAAAGAAGAGGGAGUUGAAGCUCUUAAAGAUGCCCAUGCUGGUACAUGCGGAGCUCACCAAGCUGGUCCAAAAUUGGCAGCCCAAUUGAAGAGAAUAGGUUAUUACUGGCCAUCAAUGGUACAAGACUCAAUAAAUUAUGCGCGGUCAUGCAAGGCGUGCCAACUACAUGGAGAUUUUAUACACCAACCUCCACUACCUCUUCAUCCCACAACUCUCUCAUACCCCUUUGAAACAUGGGGGUUGGAUGUUGUGGGCGUCAUAGCUCCUAAAUCCUCACGCCUGCAUCAGUACAUAUUGGCUGCAACAGAUUACUUUUCCAAAUGGAGUGAGGCAAUUCCUCUUAAAGCGGUAAGAGCAGAGGAUGUUGCAAAAUUUAUCAAGACUCACAUCAUCUAUCGCUUCAGAGUUCCCUCCAAGAUAAUAUCCGACAAUGCCUCGUAUUUCAAGUGCAAGGCCAUGGUCACAAUGUGUGAGAAGUAUAAGAUCCAACAUGCAUUUUCGUCCAGCUACAACCCAACAGCUAAUGGCCAAGCAGAGGCUUUCAAUAAAGUACUUUGCAACAUCCUGAAGAAAAUGGUCUCAACAAACAAAAGAGACUGGCAUAAUCGCCUCCCGGAGGCAUUAUGGGCAUAUCGGACCACCGUUCGCACAGCAACUGGUUGUACUCCAUUCAGCUUGGUCUAUGGGUCUGAAGCAGUAUUGCCAUUAGAAGUCCAAUUGCCUUCUUUAAGGAUAGCUAAAAUGUUGACAAAUCCAGAUGAAAAUGCACAAGUCAGACUGGCAGAGCUUGAAGCACUUGAUGAAAAGAGACUUGCAGUUCAACAAAAACUCGAAAUUUACCAAGCUCAAGUUGCAAGUGCUUUCAACAAGAAAGUUAAGUUCAGGUCAUUCAAAACAGGCGACUUGGUCUUAACAGUCCGAAGGCCCAUCAUCGUCGCCAGGAAGUUAAAGGGAAAGUUUGAACUCAAAUGGGAAGGUCCAUAUGUGGUCACCAAGGUCUUCACCAAAGGCGCAUACAAGCUUUCAAAUGCAGACGGAGAUUGCAUCUACCCCUGUGUCAACGAGAAGUUCGUGAAAAAAUUCUAUGCCUCUUGAAGCUCGCUAGAUCCAAAAACCUGAAAGAGCGGUCUAGAAAAAAGUUAGAGCUACAAAAAAAAAGAAAAAAAAAGAAAAGCUCGCUGGAUUGAAAAGCCGGGAGGGCGGUCCAGGCAAAAGUUAGAGCAUAAAGCCUCCCGAACUACGACGGCUUGAUCCCCCAAAAGGGGUACGUAGGCAGUCUAGUCCUAAAAAGCUAGAUGCAGCCACCCAACCAAAAAAAAAUCAUCCUGAAUCAAUCAGGUGAACUACGGGUAGCUUGAUCCCUUCAUAGGGUACGUAGGCAAUUUAGUUUUAAAACUGGAUGCAGCUGCAAAAAAUAAAAAAUAAAAAAAAUGUUUUCAAAAAAAACUUUGCCCAAAAUCAAAUGGGUGAACUACGUUUGGCUUGAUUCCUUCACAGGCUACGUAGGCAGUCUGGUAACAAACUGGAUCCAGCCAUAAUUUCAAACCAAUCCUUUUUAUUCCUAACAUGUUUGUUUCAUGUGAUUAUAAACAGGUAAAAGAGGUUGGUUCGUCAAAACCGUUAUCAUUGAAUAAUGGUAUCAACUGUUGAUCAUACACCAAGGUAUGCAAGCUCAGAUGACAGCCCAAGCAUUCGGAUCACCAAAGAGAGCAACCAACAGUCGACAAAAGCAUUAAUAUGUUUUGCAUGUUCUUGAAAUUACAAGUCCGCGAUCAAAAAAAAAAGAGAAGAAUACUGACAGCAACAUAGGUGAGGCUCAAAUGUCCCUCUAAGAUGUUUUCCUUGUUGUACCUGCACACAUAACAAUGGACUUGCUCAAGUACAUCCUGGAAUGAAAAACCAAAAAAAAAGGGAAGGAAAAAGGAUGGAGAUUGGUCCAGUAAGUGCAAAAUUUGUACUUUGUAGCAGCAAAUAAAAAAGAGACAUGGAAACAAUUUGAAGUCUUGACAAAUUAACAAUUGCUGUUCAAACCAAAUCUAUUCAAUAAAAAAAAAUCUUUUAUAUCUAUGUUGUCAAGAAGAAAUCACAACAUCAGGUCACAGCAACACUCAAAUGUUUGAGGAGAAGAUCAACAAAGACCUUCACCAAAUCUUCCAAGGUAACCAACAGAAAGUAAGUGACAAAGCAAGACAGAGAGAAAAAAUCAAAUCAGAGCCCUAUAAGCAAGCUGUGGGUUCAUUCUUAUUCUGAUACUUCGCCAAAAGACUUCAAAGAAUUGAUUAGCCUUUCGAACUCCUCUUCUUGAGCUUUGUGUGAAUUUUUUAGGCUCUCAAAUUCUACAAGCUGGUCUUCUUUGGCUUCAAUCCUUGCCUGACGAAGUUCUUCAUUUAGUUUGUUUUGUUGUUCAGCAGAGUUCUUCAAAGAGGCGAUUUUCUCUUCAAGGUGACUCUUCGCGAUCUCAUACUUUUGGCGCAAUUGUUGUGCUUUCUGUUCUGCCUUUAUAAUGUGCUCCUCACUGGCCUUCAAAACCUCAAAUUCCUGGUUAAGGCCGGUCAAUUCUAAAUCUAAAGCUGCCUGGGCAUGGUGACACUCUUCGUGGCUGCGUAUUAAGUUACGGAUGCGUUCAGUAUCUAUUGUGGAGCACUCCUCAAUGACAAGCAUGUUUUUAGAAAGCAUGUCUGCCAAUUCAAAGGUUUUGCCAACGUUUUUAGCGAACCUUUCAAAUCUGUCCUCACCAGAUCCAUAUGAUUUAAUGACUGGUCCCAACAUCUCAAGUGACUUCUGGACCUCACCACGACAAUCAGUAAUGAGUUCCAGUGGUUGGGACAAGCUUAUCUUGCUUAAAAUGUCUUCUACCUCUGUAAUAAUAAAAUCACCCCAGCGCUCAUUCGAUUUUGAGUUGAAGAUUUUACGCAAGAUAGAUGAAGUUUCAUUUAGCUGACAAAUACCUUCAUCAGCAGUCUCGCAUGCGUCAGGAUCUAUUGGCUCUGUACCACCACUAUUAGAAUCAGAAUGAUCUCUUGGUGGUGUACUAAAUCCCUUUGUUUGCAGUUCUGACCCCUUUAGCUGAGUUGGUUGUUUCCAUUCUAGUUGGAGUAAUUUCGGUUCUAAACUGUUUAUUUCUGUUUCUGUUCCAAUCAAGGACAACUCUACAUCAUACUGAGUCUUCUCACAGACUGACUCCAAGCUCUCAGGCUCCGGUGAUGGUAAGUCGGAUUCUAAAUCCUUUAUGUGCAGCUCUGAUGUGUUCAGAGGGAACCCCAAAGCAUUCUCUUGCGAAACUGACUUGAUCAAGUCUUGAUCUACUUCUUUUGAAGACAGUCUAGCACUAUGCCCUUUCGGCAAUGGCUUCUUCCUCUUUGUUUAAAAAACAUGUGACUUACGUCCCGAAUCCUUACACUUGGGGUCUACUUGCUUCAACCCAGACCCUCGCUCCUUCAAGUUUGUUUCCGAGUCCUUCAAACUUAGUUUCAAACUUUGCGAUUUUGGAAUCAGGUCACAUACUACUACUGAUUUCAACCUUGAGGCAAUAACUUUGUCACCGUUAUGAGAAGCGUGAUCAGCUGGAGGAGAUGCAGUUUCGUCUGCGACAUUACCUCUAAGAUCAUCAUACCGAGCUCGCUUGCUGCCCCAACCUUCAUCACCAAAGUUUGUUCUAUGAGUUUUCUUGCUCAUACCAUCUUUUCUCCCUUCUAAAGGAGAAGCACUUUUAGAAUAAGCAGCUGGAUCUCCUUCCUCAAAAUCAGAAAAGAUUAUUUUUCUUGGCUUGGCGGCAGAUACAUCUUUGAGGGACUUCAGCGGGAAAAUGUUAUUCUGCCUUUCGAGAGGGCGUUUCUUCAAGGUCAGGUAAACAAAAGACACAGACCGACCUAGAUAGGGGGCACAUGCCAUCAUCCACCACCUGCAAUAAGUCCAGGUACACAUUCCAUCGUAAGAAGAACGGGGAAUGUAAAAACGGGUACCAGUGUCAGCUCUAAGAAGUUUAAUUUGAGCUUUCGCUAAGUCUUCAACACCACACUUAUUUCUCUUCUCAAUCUUGAAUUGAAGUCUAUUCGCCGGAACCCCUUGAUCAAAGCCAAAUUGACGAGCAAACCUAUUUGGAUAGUAUGGUUCUAACCAGAGCUCACCACCAAUUCGUAUGGGAAGUAAUGCAGAACGUAGACAAACCAGAAAGUCAAACUUUUCUUCAGACAAGUUCCCAUCGUCAACCAAAAAGUAACCCUAUGGCUCGAUAAAGGGGCUGGGACGAUACUCUACAGAGCCUUUGGUCCUAAAAACAAGUCUAGCUGUAGUAACAUCGAAAUCCUGAGCUUUAAUGCCAGCACAUCUUUUUAGAUGGGGGUAGUUUUCAGGGAACUCACUGUCAGCAUGUCGUCUAUAUAAACAGUUGAAGUGCUCUCCCAACCAACCAAUCACAUAAUGAACAGGAAAACAACCUCGUGACUCUCCAGGUCCUCGUGGAUCAGUCACGAUUUUCCCAAGACCAUGAUAAAUAUGACCCAACACUGCUGGUGCGAGAGACACUCUGAUUCCUUGAGCCAUUAAACAUGCCAUAUGAAAAGUUUCAGGUCUAAUUACAUAAUAAUAAGAGGGAAAGACAAACCUGCUGAGCCAGUAAUCUAAGAAUGCAGCCAAUUCCCCUUCUUUUGAAACUACCAAAGUAGGUCGGAAACCCAUAAAUUUCUCACGCUGCGUGUGGUUUAUGCAUUGUGUGUCCUCUCCAUAGGCUUUGUAUAGCAGCUGCCCUCUAUAGAAGUGUCUAACCCAAUCCCUCCAACGAACAAAUUUCUGUUUACUUAAGACACAUAGUCAGGAAUAUAUGCACAAAAGCUCAGAAAGCGUAGCAGGGUAUGAUCCAUCUCGCUGCAACCUUCCGUUUUCAGGAAUAAAUUCUUCAUAGGGAAUCCCUGAAAUCGGCAAGCCUCCAAUCAUCUUCAUAUCCCACAAUGAUAUACUUAUCUCCCCAUCUCCAUGGUGUAAAGUGUUCGUCAAAGGACUCCACUAUUCCAAGAAUGCUUUCCAUGUGCUCGUGCAAUAAUGGUAAGGAUAUCGAGAGACGCCAACGGCACCAAAUAUUCCAGCCUGAUUCAACACGCCUUCAAAAUUGGCUAAUAUGAAUUCUGUCCACUCCAUUACUCCUAUCUCAAGUGUAGCACAACCCCGUAAACAAAGGCUCGAAGACCAAUCUUGUUUGGUGUUUAGCAUCUUGUGAAGUAUCGGGUAAAAAUUCUCUUCGAAAGUGAAAAGACCUCUAUCAUGUCUGUUAUCAACCUUCUCCAAAGUAUGCCCCUUAAAUACAUGGGAAAAGUUGCGGGUUGUUCUUAUCACUUGAUCCUCCAAAUCUUGGCGAAAUGUAAGAAAGCCUGAGUUCAUUUCAACUUCUGUCACCAAGGUAAUGAUGUCUUUAGGAGGGACAUCAACAUGAAUGGAGUUUAAAGGCCGUGAUCUCACGUACUCUAUGCCCUUUCCAACAACCUGCCUGUGUUUGUCCAAAGCUGCCUUGCAGGAAAUGCGACCAUAUGCAUCCAUUACCUGAGAUUAUAGCACGCAGAGAUGUUAAAAGCACGCAAUAGCAAGUCAAGCUUUGCGCGCGAAAAGCAAGUUCCACGUACAAAGCUUGAGGGGGCACUGUUGAUACCAAAAAAAAAGGAUUACAGAAAAGGAAAAAAUAAAUUAAAUAAAAUAAAUGGAAGAGUAUUUAUUCAUGUCAUACUCUUCCGUUGGUUUUGGUUACACGCACAAAGCUUUUGAGUUCAAUUACAACUCUUGCAAGCAGGUGCUUGGAUAAGAACAAAUCAGUACGAGCACCAGAGUUUGAUUGUAACUCAAUUAUCCUAACCAAGCACUCUAUAUAAAGAGGCCAAUACCUUCAAGAGAGAAAAAAAGAAGAAGAAGAGGAGAAGCAGAGGACGAGAGAGGAGAACGACAGAAGAAAAAACAACAACAAUGGGAGAAGGAAGCAAGGAGAAUCACAAAGGAGAGGUUCAUUCUUUACAAGGUUUGGAUGGCAAAUUCUCUUUCUCUUUGCGCAGCUCUCUUUAUGUUCUGUUGAUGGAGGCAUCAUUGCCUUCAUAUCCCUCGCGGACGGCCUCUGCUGUACUUGGUUACUUUGGAUACUAAUACUAUGGAGACUUUGAAAUCUCUCAUGGAUACUGGUUACUUUGGCUACCUGUUACUAUGGUUCUCUGGUUACUAUGAUCUGGAUACUAUGGUUACUCUCAGACACUAUGGUUACUAUGGUUCUGGUUCUCUGGGUACUUAGACACUGGUUACUAUGACAGAACGGUUACUCUUGUUUCUGCCCUUUGAUCCUACAAAACCGAACACAAAACCAAUACUCAAAAAGACCAUUGCUGUCCCUGUUUCCCGUUAAACACCACAGCCAAAUACCUUCCCAAAUUCCAUGAUUCCAAAACAUCAAUCUAGCUAUCCACUGAUAUUUCCAAAAUCACCAGCUAAAUAGAUUCCCUCGACUUCCAGAGUUCUCACACAAACACCAAUGCAAACUAAAAACAAAUACAUAAAGAGCUCACCUUCAAAUAAAAGCUGUGAGCCCUUUGUUUUUGUGAGACUGCAACACUGGUGUUCCUGGAACGGUCAAAGAGAAUUUGUCAAAAUAAAUACAAAGAUUGGGGGAGAAAAGUCCAAGCGGUGGUACUCUAGCUCAUCUCUCAGAGAAGACAAAACUUCACAAAUUUGACAUAGCACUCAAAGAAAAAAAAAGGUGUGAUGGUCAUGUCUAGUUUGAAGAAUGAUGAGCAAGACAAAUUUUUGUCUUGGGUGCACAGAGAAGAAGAAUAAAAGAAGAAAACUCACCACUGGAGGUUGGAUGCGGCAAUGGAGUCACAAAGCAAAAGUCAAGCUUGUCCCUAUGCACAAUUCACCCAGCUCACCUCCCUCGACGCCUCAAGCUCACCAAAGUUCCCAAGCCCAGCGUCAUCAAUGAUCAAGGCCAAAACAAGAUUUCAGUUUCUGUGGUAUACAAAUCAGAAGCGUGAAAGGAGGGAAUCAAAUUCUCACCUGUGUUGUGUAUAAAACCCGACUUCCAGCCUCGAAUCGGACACCAAUUUGGUCUCUGUAUCCGAACCUAUCUGUUCAACCUUCAAGCUCGCCUCCUACUGCAACAAGAAGCAAAAGUGUUCUGGGAGAAGAAAAAAUAAAAAGAACGGAAGCAUUUAGUUAAUGGGUCUCCAAGAAAUAAACCGGGUGUCCAAAACAGAGACAAGCCUUUGGGUGUCCCUGGUGUUUACUUGAAGCUUCGGGUGUCCAAAUCAAAAUACCUAAACUUCAAUACCAGAAAAUUUAAACUUGGUGCGAAACCGAGAAAUCCCCAAAAUACCCAAAUGUUCGAACUACAAUGGUUUGAUCCCUUAACAGGGUAUGUAGGCAGUCUGGAUUUAAAUUUAGAUACAACCACAUUUAAAGCCAAAUCCUUGGUCCUUUCCAAGCCAAAUUCCCAAACACAUAAUCAAACAUUUCGACAAGUCAUCUACUUCGUCGAAACCCCAAAAGCCAAAAAACUUGAACUACGAGUGACUUAAUCCCAUUCGGGGUACGUAGGCAGCCUGUAAAACAAAUCGGGUGCAGUCGCAAUUCCCCUCAAACACAGAUUCCCCAUUUGUUACUUUGUAUUUAGAAUCAAAGGGUUUUCCCUUAAAAGCGAGGGUUGUAAUUAAGAAAUUUAUUUUAUUCUGAAUGGUUCAAACCGGACAUAAUUAAAACUCUAUUUUAAUCAAUAAGAUAGAGUGAAAUUGUGUUGGGUAUAUUUAUUUAAAAUUUUUGCUCAACAACACCUCAAAAUCUCAACUCCAUCUUGGCAUAUAUGAUCUCGCCAAAAAAAAAACAACAGAUGAAACUAGACAUAAGGUUAAAUCUUUUUACACAACCCAUACGGCCUCUUCUUGAUGGCUCACUUGAAAGACUCGAUCUCUUCUUCUUUUUUGUCCUCCAGAAAGGUUCAGUAAGUGUCAGGUGAAGUGAUGGCUUCUGAUGUGAGGAGUGAAGAAGGAGACCCAUGAAAGAGUCUGGGAAACUAAAAGUGAAGGAGUGAAGGGCUGCACGUGAAUAGAUCUAGGUUUAAUAUAUAUAAUCACACGUGCUCAGUCCUAUAAUUAUAGCGUACUAGCGUAGGCUUGGAAAACUAGCCUAUAAAAGACUAUAAGAACACAACAGAUCUAUACCUCGGGCUUUCAGGCUUCACAAAAAUUUUAAAGUUAAGGACCGGGACUGGACCGGCUUUAAUUAGGACCGGACCGGACCGGUGAAAAACAGAAUCAAGAUCAUGAAAAAGCUCGACUUGGACCGGGUUUUCUUUCUUGCUCGGGCUUUAUGCCCAGCCCUAAUAGAUUAUGGAUAUGAUAAUUAUAUUAGUUCAUCUUCUUAUCUAUUAGAUGUUAUUGUGCUAGAGAUUGCCCUGUUUGAAAACAAGCUAUUGCUCAAGUUUGUUUUUCUUUAAUGUUAUGUUUUAGGUGCUUAAGUUCUGCUGCUUUUAAUAUUAUUAGUUAUGCACUUAACUUAUUUCUUAUGGUUACGGAAUAGACUAAAUUUAGAAUUUUAUUUGGUAAUGUAAUGAACUUAUUUCAUAUUUUAGUAUAUUUUUUAUUUAUUAAAAAUAUAUAAAUAUAUAAUUUUGUUUGCCGUGUCGGAAACUCAGUUUUUGAGUUUUGCCAUGUCGCCGUAUCGUGUCGUGUCGUGUCGCCGUGUCCGUGUCCGUGUCCAUGCAAGUUAGCCUACAACACUAAUCGAAGAGGAACUUGACAACUACCUUUACGGUCUCUGCCGGAUUUUGCCCUCGCCGGAAUCACCUGUCGGAUUCCGGCAACUUGCCGGAAAACUCCACCGGAUUCCGACGACUUACCGGAAUUUCACCAUGGCCUCCCUGUAAACUAUGAAUCACCAAGUUAUCGACAUGAAAUUCACCAAACAACAAUUAGCUUCUUUCAAACCCACAUAGCAGCAACACAACAGUUCAAAAUACAACCCUUACCUCAAAUCUUCUCAAUUCCACAAUCCCACUAGCUCGUCUAUGCUGGUUUCUCCACAUACCAAACCACUACACACCAAGACACUCAAUCAACAACCACCCCAACACUAAAUCAAUCAACACAACAACUCUAAAAGACACUACCUUACCUUAGGUGACCAACUAACAACAAGGUUAUGGCGUAGCAGUCCUCAGCCGAAAACUCAACCCUGCCUUCCUCCAUAAUCACCACUACUGCUUCCAAGAUGUAAUUAAACUGCUUUGAAGUUCCACCAGCACUCAACAAGAUUGCCAGAGACUCAAGAACACAGUCGCCGGAGACCCCGACGUGAACUCAGAAGAAACAGAGGAAAAGGGAUUUUUGAUUAGGUUCUGAUUUGAAGGAAAUAAAAGCACUAGACUGCUCAUAAGGAAGAGAGGAGGAAGGGACUCACUGUCGUUGGGUGGUCCAGUGACCGGAGCUCAAACCCUUGUCAAAAAACAAUGAAGUGCAAAGAAAAAGGGAUUUUAACAUUAGAGUUUGAUUCAAGAAAAGAAAGGCACCGGAAUGUGAAGAAGGAAGAGAGGAAGCUAACCCUACCAUUUACUCGUCAAGCCGUGGCCGGAAUCUCGAGGACUCGCCGAAAACAGCCGAGGCUUCUCUCCCUCGAUUUGGCUUUGAAUCGGACUAAAAUCGAGUUCUAUGGACCAGGUUAGAUAGAAGAGAUGGAGACGAAGAGAUUAGAGGUGGUCUCGUCGCCAGGGGUGGCCGGAGACGACGGCGUCGUGCGAAGGACGCCCUAGGCAGGUGGAGGGAGACACAGAAGUCUAGACUCGGGUCAAACUGAGUGUGGGCUUCUUUGACUGGGUCAACCCCCUCUUUACCUUUUAAGCUUAAUCCAAUGGCCAAGAUCAAAAUCCUAAUUGAUCCGAUAGCCCAGAUUAAUCCACAAUUUUCUAAUUUAAAAACAUAAAUUUUUUUUUGUUUUGCCAACCUUUAAUAAAUCGUAGAAAAUACCUCAAAACUCCGAAAAUAAACCGAAAACACUGGAGACCCCGUGUCGACGCGCACUACGACACAUAGACCUUAAAAGAAGAAUUGACAUUUCAAGAAGAACUUGAAAAUAAACUCGAGUGUUAACUUACUAAGUUACCGAGUGUGGUUAAAUUUCUUAGUAAUUUGUAGAAACACCCGAUAAAUAGGUAAAAUUAGGUACGGGGCGUUACAAUCUCCCCACCUUAUAAAAAUUUCGUCCUCGAAAUUUCAAACUAAAAGAGCCAAGGCUAACAAUCAUUGGUCGACGACAUUAUGGUGUUGGUUGAAGUGUUAACACACUGGUCACGUGUUACACUAUUAUUUACUGCUUAUGCUGCUUAUACUUCUACGAGCUCACUAUCCAUUCUUUAAAGAAGUUUAUCGGGAUAUAAGUUAAAGUGUCAUGUACCCCAUGCUCACACGCAAUACGGUCUCACCGAGGCUACGACUAAUCAACUUUAGCUUGUCGCUCGAACAUUAUUAAUGUGCACCGAUCUUUGUAUUGCGUCUUGGGGCUAUGCAAUAUUUGCAUGCAGCUUUACUAUUCAUCUAUGACCCACCAUCAUUGAAUAUUGUUGUACUACAACUCGUGACUGUGUACCAGGAUCGACACAAAAUUGCAAUCCUUGAGGUCAAACUUGAUUGAAACAGAUCUUCAAUCUUUGAGCUCGGCUAGAUGUUAUUUCUAGGUGCCAAAUCGCAAUGUCACUGCGCACAAUGAGGGGUCAUUUGAGAUGAAUAAGUAUUUAUGUUGGAUAUGAAUCUCUACUUAUAAUCCACUUAUGUAGAAACCUUGUCAGGCGAUCUCAUUCACCGCUAAGUUGCGAAUUGUCACUUUGAUGAGACAAUAUUCUCUCCGUUAGGGGGAGAUAAGAACACAAGUGUUCAAGUGGAACGAUGUGAAUUGUCAUGGUUUGUCUCCACUAAGUCUCAUCUUGAUCCCAAAUGCUUAAAGUGUUAAAGUGAUGAGAUCACAUGCUGCAAAUAUGUCAGCAAGGAUUGAUGUCCUAUCAAGAGGACAUGGCGCGACCAAAAGGAGUUGGUCUUGAUGCCAUCACUAUAGAUGGUGAUAGGGUGACGCCAUAUGGUGGUAAAAUUGAUGUCACAAGGCCGUGUGGCUCCCGAAAAAGAGAGGGAGGCCUUUAGGUUCGAUACUUUCUCACACUAGGAAGAAAAUGAGCUUGGCACAACCUGAUCCAUUGAUCAGUGAUACUCAAAUCUUUCUCAUGAAGUCUGAAUUGUGAUUAUCGUUGGGGGACGCCUUAAUGUCAAAUCCAAUGCAUAUAUAGAUCUCUACAAGUAUUACACUAGUGUACACGAGGACAUGGGAUAAUGAGUCUACUAUCGAACCACCUUUUGUUGAUGGAUAUCAACUUAGUUGAUUGGCCUAAUGGAAAGAUGUGAUCCAGCAUUAACAAAGAGAUAGGUCCUUGGGCAGGUGAUGUCGACACCGCAAGUUAAAACCUAUCAACUCGCGUAGUGAGAACAAGAGCUUAGACUCAUCUUAUGGCGCAAGGUCUCUCACAAACCCACAUUGGGAUGAGAUAUGCUCUCGUAAUGGAUGUCAUUGCACUCCACUACUUCGUCAGUUUGGUAGUUUCUGAAUAACUGAACAUGCAGCCUAUGAAUGUGGUCAUAAUAACAUCUCUACGAGAUCAGAGAUAUACAUGAAGGUCUUAAACGGACUUCGUUCAUCCGAAUCAAGUGGCUCCAAACCACAAGAGCACACGUUUGCUAAAGGUAUUGAAACACACAUGGACUCUACUUGAUUUGGAAAGGAUAUGGUGAAUUAUGCCUUUGCGUGUUCAUUCCGGAUUUACAUGGACUCUUGAUGGAUCAAGAGACGCCAAUAUGUAUCAACAUCUGAAGUUAAGAAUGAAAAAGAUCUUAGGAAGACAUGGUCUCGAAAAGGCACUCGAUGACUGUAUUGAUGAUGAUUUUCCAUCAAUCGGCUUAGGCGCUUUAACGAAAGUGAGGCCUACAUAUACCCCAUGAUUAGUCAAAGUCUUUACUCUAAAGAGAGAUCCGUUGUUUUGUCUAAAGAAAGAUGACAAAUAUGUGUUAAGAGAUGAAGUUCCCAUCUAAGUACAAUAAGACGUAUCAAUAUACUCAACAUAAUACAAAAGACUUGGCAUCUCAUUCGCUAUGUAAAGAUAAUCGUAGGUAUGCGCCCACGCAAUGCCAAUGUAAUGACAGUAACUCAUUUUUCAAUACUUAAUGGUAUGAAAGGUUGAGGCUUAUUUUAUCCAUACAUAAGAAAGACACAUCAAAAGCGAAAUCAGAAUCUGUCAAGUUUUGUAGGUCAAAUGCCACAGGACCUACAUGAAAUCUCACUCACUGGAAAAUGGUGAAAUUGAUACCAUUGGAAAGGUCUAUGUGUCUACUUUCCAGGGACACCAACCAUUUGAUCAUACGUAUCAUAAAGUAGGACGGAUCUGUCCGAGAAUCUGAUUUUGGCAAAACAGUCAACUUCAACGGGACUUUAUGAAUAGCUCCUGAUGAACCAGAAUGUGUGUAAGAUACGGUUGGAAGGCCAAAUGAGUCUAGUUUCCAAAACCGUUUACGGUUUGUUCAUAUGUAUUUCCUAAAGGAAGUUACGGCUGUUCUAGUACCCGAAGGUCAUGCUGCACAGAAAUCUUUUUUUUCAGCGCGAACUUAUGUUUUAAGUUCACAAACGGCCUUCUCCUCAAGAUCUAAGUGUAAGAGAUCAUGUUUAAGAACAAUACGGCAUGAUCUAGUUAAUCAUUACCCAAUGCCACAUUUGAGACAUGUUAAAGAGCAUUGACAUGCUAAGUUAUCGAAACUUCCGUGAUUAGAAAGAAUCAGGAAGAGCCUUAUGAUCGAUGUAAAGAUCAGGGGGAGAUGCAGACUUCAGGGGGAGUCAAACACAUACAUACAUGUCACUAUCAAAUGUGAAGGGUGCGUUGUACUCUUUUUCUCCUACGAUCAAGGUUUAGUUUUUCUCCCACAGGGUUUUUGUUCCUUGACGAGGUUUUUAAAGAGGCGACAUAUCAGCACCACGAGCAUAGCGGUGCGCGGCAUAAGGGGGAGUGUUCUAGGAUAUUCCACAAUGUUCUAGGAUAUUCAAUAUGUGUGUCUUGGCCUUAUGCCAUCAGGAUAUGUAGUUAGAAUAUGACAAUGUAUUUCUUAUGAUUACCAUAUUGGUAUUUUAUAAUUUCUUAUAUAAAUGGCUCCUAUCAAUGAAUAAGAUGAUGAUUCUCUUGCUAUCUCUUUGUCUCUACACUUUAUACUCGAUUAAAAUAUGUUUUUGUUAGUGGGAAAAAGAUCCCCAAAUUGAGAGCUAGUGGGAAUUUUCCCUUAUUUCUUUGUAAUUACCAAUUAAUUGUGUUUAUUAAAAACAAUUAAUGACCUAAUUAUUUUCUUUGAUUUUUUCCUAAAAAUAUCCUAGUUAACCACAUCAUUGGAGGCAGUUGAUUUCGAAAUCCUUUUUAAAGAAUCUGCAUUUAUGUAACGCCCCAGACCAUAUUUUUACCGGUUUACUAUCAUUUGGACAGUAAAUAAUUAUCAUUUUCAUUUUCACUUAUUUUUUUCUAAGUUUUUAAUGGAUCAAAAGUUGACCUUUUCAUUUAUGUGAAAUUUGAAGAAUCUGUCUUUCAUCAAAGUUGUAGAGAGCGGCGGUACGAGUUCAUAGACACGCGGCACACACAGAUUUGGGUCCGUUUAAGAAAGUUACGGUCUAUAGAAGUUUAAGGAUUCGUUGGAGUUCAAGGGCAAAAAGGUCAUUUAGUCACGGAUUAAUAUAUAAGGGUAGAACCCUAGAAGGGGGGAGGGAGCCCCUCGUUUUCUCUCGGCCGCUUAGGCUCUAGAGGGAGACAGAAUUUUUGGGUCAACCCGACCCGACCUGAAAACCCGUUUGGAUUUUCGCAGUCAGGCCGCCUUAGGGCACGACACCAGCGUCGUUAGGUGCUCCUCGCCUGUAAUAUCCCGGAAUUUCAAAUUUCUAUUUUUAAAUGGAAAAUUAUUUUUCGAGAUAUUUUUAAUUCGAUUUCUAUUAUUCUUUCAAUUCUUUGUGGUUUUCGAAAAUUAUUCAAAUUUCUAGUUUGUCAAAUUUUGUGUUUUGAGACCGUAGGAUUAAACUAGACGUCGUUACGAGUUCGUGGGAUUUUUUGGAGCAUCGUUUGGACAUCAAAGCUAUUUUUAAUGAUUUUUGAAAGUUUGGUAUUGUCCAAAAAUUAAUUAAAAAUAUAUUUUUAUGACAGUUUGAUCUGGGCCAUUAGAUCAUAACCGCAAGAUCUCAGCUGUUGGGUGGCUUAUUUGUAUAAGGAAUCAGAUCAGUCCAGACGACAACCCAGACCGACCCCGUCUCGAGCUACGACGAAGCUCGGCGCCUCCGUCCGUCUUCCGGCCAUCUCCCGACGCAAUACCGGUGUCCACAGGUUCUUCUGGAUGUCCCCGACCUCACUAUGUUCUUCGUGUUCGAAGAGGAGUUCCGGCGAGAGAGAAAAGAAGGAGAGAAGGAAUUCUUGGUUCGCCGGUGAGAUUCCGAUUCCAGCGACGGCGGCAAGCGUGAAUUGUAUUGGAAGCUUCCUCCCGUCCUUGUGGUCUUCCCUAUGUCCUCAGUUUCUUCAGAAGAGGUCGGGAGAGAGAGAUUCGAAGUGGAGAAGGAGAGGUUGGGUUCGUCGGCGGGUUUCCGAUUCCGGCCAAGUCGAGGUCUCUCACUGGUAUGGAUAGCUUCAUCUCGAUCUCAAGAACCUUUCCAUGUUCUUAGAUUGCCAAGACAAGCUCUGAGGAGGGAGAAUCAAUUAAUGGAAGCUCAAGGGGUUUCCCGGCAAGGGUUCGAUGUUUUCCGGCCACCGGCGAAGGCAAGUGAGAUAUGAAACUUGGUAUUCUCUUCGAGCUCUACCUCUGCAUAUGCUUGAAUUUCAUUUUGGUUGAGAGAUGGAGGAUUUGGAUUCUGGGCAGUGUUGACUGCCGUGACUGCUACAGUGUACGGCGGCAGUGGUGGCGUUUUGGUAUUUCUUGAUGAUUUCCAGUUGUUAUGGAUUUCUUAGCAUGAUUUUGAUGCUAUAUAUAUGUUGGAAUUAGAUGAAUUGGAGAAGGACUGUGUUGUGUUAUUUGGAAUGAAGGACAGUAGGAAAUUGUUGAUGUGGCUGUGAUUUAGUAUACAAUAAUUGAGAAUUGGAGGGGUUGGAUGAUCGGGAGGUUUUCUGUACAAGUAUGAUUUUCCGUGUUUGAUACGUUUUGGAUGUUGCUGUUAUACAUAUUAGAACUACAAAAAUUUGGAGCAACUGAGUUAUCAUUCACGUCGGCUGUAAUGGUGUUUUGGUAUUUAUGUAGUGAUAUCUAGUCACUAAUGAAGUUGCAGAGUAUGAAAUAGGUUUUGUAUGGAGUUGUAUAUAAUUGAAGUCCUGAAAUAGAAGAGUCGGGUGAUGGAGGUGGUUGAUUUGUGUAUUUGAUUAAUACAGAGAGCUGUUUUGGUAUUUUGUGUUGUGAAGAAGAUAUAGUUUAAUUAAGAGAUGAGAUGGAGCACGCAGAUUGACUUUGGUAAUAAGGAAGGAAAGUUGAAUUAGGUACUCGCUACUGAUAAGAAGAUGUUUAAUUGAAGCUAUUUCGGAAAGCUUGAGAAUUUUGGUGUCCAGAGUAAUUCUGCAGAGUUUAGAUCACUGUUUAGAGCAUAGUUGGGAUACGCCGACAACGUUGAUUGCAAAUGUAGAUUUUAAACGUGGGGAUAAUGCGAAAUGAGUACAUAUGGCAUAUGGUUAGGAAUUUAUCAAAAAAAAUGCGAGAGGAAUUAGAAAUAAAGAUUUCGGUGUCCUUAUCAAUUUCAAGGACUUGAUUUCAUUGGCUUGAAAUGAUUCGCCGACAUUCUCAGAAUAAGUAUUCGGUACGAGAAUUGGAGGCACGUUGCAGUUCCAGAAGUAGAAGGAUAAGAAUUUCAGAAUGUGUGCCGCGGUAUUACUACUUUCUGUUAGCGUCAGAACUGACACUAGGAUUCCAGGUAGGAUCUUUCUCGAGGAACCUUUUUUUAAAUUGAUAAUUAGGUUAUAAUUGAAAUGAGUGAUUUGUGUGACAUUGAUUUAUUAACUCUUGGUCGUUUUAUAUUUUUGUUAAAAACAUGUGUAAUCGUUGAAAUAUAUGGUUAAUGUUAUCGCUUUUCGAUAAAAGCAUGUGUUCGAUAUUGUUAUAUUACGCGUAUCGAUAUUGAUUGCAUGCAUUAUGCAUUGUGAGAUUAGUGAGAAUGAUGAUUAUGGAGAGGAGAAUGAGAUUAUUAGAGCAGAUACAUUUUGUAUAGUUGAGUUUCCUCAUGGGUUGUCCUCGAGAUCUAUGAUUAGCCCACACGUGCACAAAUCCAGGGAAAGUAUGCCCUUUCGAUGGUGACAUCAAUAAAAUGAUCUUAUCGGGUUGCAGAUCGGGAGACCAUGAGUAUAACAAGAUAACUAACAAAAGAGGUACAGGUGGUGAGAUAUCACUGAUUGUUAGAUCAUAUAUUCGAGACAUUUGAGUCACCCCCGGUUGGUAAAAUACAUGGUAUGGGACAUGUAGGCUCACAUGUCUUUGAUGUAUGGACUAACAACCAGUAAAUGAGGAAGCCAUUCAUUAGCAUAUAUGCAUCGAAUUGUCGUUUUAUUGGUAAAAUAUUGGUUGACAUUGUUUGACAACUUAAUUGUGUCACAUAUUUAAGUAUAAUUUAAGAGGUUUGGCCCUACUGAGCGUAAGCUCACCCCUAUAGAAUCUUGUUCAGGUGCUUAGGUGGACACGUCUUACAAGAAGACUAAUUGUGCCAUUUAGCUGACGUGUACAAGAGUCAACCAGGUUUACGGAAGAUAAGAAGUGAGAUAGAUCGCAAGGGCUUAUCUUUUUUGUUUUUGUAAUUGGUUUUGUUAUUUGUAAACGUUUUAUUUUUAACAAUUUCUAGAAAAGUAUUUGAAAUUGUUUUAUUUUCUUUUACUUUUUCCGCUCACGCCUUGAGUUCGACAUCAGGUGCUUGGAAACCACUGACACCGGGUUCGGGGUGUGACAUCGCCUUCCUCGAUCUCUGCCCGGCCUUCAAUUCCAUCAGUUCUUGCUUAGAACAAUGAUUUGAAGAGAAGACCAAGAACCUAGUCAAGUCGGGUAACCUGAUCGGUUCUCCUUUCUCUGGUCGACCCAGGCAACGUCACCACCCACGUUUUGAAGGUCUCCUCUCGUAUAUCUAUUCCCCUUAAGGAAGUAAGCCGAUUCAAAACAUGCAAGGAGAACUAAGAGGAAGAGAUUCGAGCCCUAGGAGAGAGAAACUCGGAUUCGAUUUGCUUUUGAGGUAACUUCUGGUCUUUAGACCUUGAAAUGGCUUUUGUGGUAGUUGUGAAUGUUGUUGUGCUUGUUGAAAGGAAGAAAUUGAUAUAUGGCUUGCAGUCAGAAUCGGUAGUUGGCGCGUGGGGUGUGUGCCUCCUCUGAUCUCUUGGUGGUUUGACUUAACUUGUUAGGUAGGGUUCAGUAAUACGAACCCAUCGAUAUAGUAUUUGUCCAAUUUGGUUAACGUAUGAAAUUAUUGGGUAACCCCAAAGUAUGGAUUUCCAAACUAGGAAGCUGUGAGGUUAUAAGUUUUGACCCUCGUAUUUGGGUUGAAAGGGUGGCGCGUGGGCCUACGGCUGCCGCUUUUGGUGGUGAGUGAAUAUGCAUAUGAGCUAGGUAAGGGUAAUGUUUACUUUGUUUUUAAAUGAAUAAGCAUGCAUGUUUUCUUUUGGAAAUUAUCGUUCUAUUUUCUGAGCUUAUAUUAUAAUUCUGGUUUAUUUGGGUUUGAUGCAUCAAUUAAGAGUUGGUCAUGAUUUUUGGAAUUGAGCUCGGGUCAUUAAUUUGGUAUUUGAGUUUUGAUAUUCUUUAUGAUGUCCGGAUUUAAUUAUUAUCAUCAUUAUUUGUUGACUUUGUUUUGGCCACAAUCCUCAGCAUGGGCAGAAAGGUAACUUAGUAGUACCAAAAAUAAACAAUGGGUGUGGGCGUGCCACCGCACGGGCGUGGAAUGAGAAUGCGCUGAUGCUGGACUUCUAAUCAAACAAGAGUUAGGCUCUGGUGCCGCCUUUUUAUUCGCUUGCAAUCGAUACUCACUGUUGUAGCAAGCAUAGCAAUUAAUCGGGACAAUGACCGUGGUCGAGACUGAACGGGCUCUGUAAACUAAGGCGAGAUGCGCUUUAGCGUUGGGGUUUCGAGAAGCUCAAAGAUUUGUUAUAGUUGUUGUAUGAUUUGAUUGUGUCUGUGAAUGAUUCUCGACCCCUCCUUAUAUAGGGGUUCACAGCUAGCUAGUAAAGAUGCAACCACAAUCCAAUUCGAACUCAGCAAUCAGAGUAACAACAGGACACGUCCCGCUUGCGAACUAAACCAUCAGAAUGACGGGUGUCCAGUUGUACAGAUAGACUCCGCUUAGGUCGCAAACACUAACCCCGCGUUAUCGAAAACUCUGUAGUCUCCUAUGUGAACUCAAAAAGUCUCCUUGCCCGCGAGGCGCUAAAGUUCUCAUAGGAAACCAACUCGCACGCCUCUGAAGCUCGCGCUCUUUAGUAAGCUUUAUCUUAAAAAGGGCCACAGGUACUGGCCCAAAUGCUAUCUAAAAGUUAUUAUUAGUCUUAGACCGAAAUAUCAACUGGGCUUAAACAUUGCCUCCUAGGCCUCAAGCUUUUGGCCCAUUCGUAAUAGCUAAGCGAAGAGGCCUUAAUGAGUACGUUUCGAUAAUUCAAAAUUCGAAAAGCGUUGACGUUACGGCGUCAUCGCCUCUUUUCAUCAUGACCAUUGAUUGAAAGGACGUUUCGAUUCGUCCCCUUUAAAAAUACUACACGGGUCCCUUCAUUUCAUCAUCUCCAUCCAUCCACCCAUCUCUCUCCUUUCUGCAGAACUGUGACGACUCAAAAUUUUAAAAAAUAAAAAUAAUAAUACCUAAACUAGUAUAUAUAUAUAUAUAUUAAUAUAUAUAUUUUCUUUUACUCUAUACUUUUGGUAUUUAGUAUUUCGUGUGUGUGUAUAUUUACAUAUAGUAUUAACAUGCUAAAAUUUAUCUAGUUAUUUAGUUUCUUUUCUUUUUAUUGUUAUUGUUAUUUUGGUUUAAGUAAAGAGUUUGUAGCCCAUAACCAAAAGCCUUGAUCCAAUACCCAGAAACCCAAACCCGAGCCCAAAACAACAUAGGAAAAGAAAAACAAAAGAAAGCUUGUUGUUGUAGAUUUGUAGAACGACAGUCGCCUUCUUCUUCCGCCCUCAUCUUCAUCGACCCCGGCCUCCUUCUUCCUCAAUUCUUUCCAUUAUGAAAACAUCGUUCAACCGCCUCAAAGAAACCCAGAACCUUCUUAAGAAAAGUCAAUUUUCACGGCUACCGCCAUGAACAAGCAGAACGUGUCAGUUGCCUGGAGACCAGCUGCUAAAUCUUUGAAGCUAUACCAUAGGAGCUAGAACCCUAGGGGUCUGGUCUAGCACCUAAACGGGUAAGAUUUCAGAUGCACAAUUCAAUUUUGCUUCCUCUGUUCUUAUCAUGGACUCCACGUUCUUCUCUCUUUCUGGACACUAUAAAUAGGACUAAAUUCUGUAGAAUUUUUCUGGGUUUGUAGUAGUCUUUCCUACUUAGAGAGAGAGAGAGAGAGAGAGAGAGAGAGAGAGAGAGAGAGAGAGAGAGAGAGAGAGAGAGAGAGAGAGAGAGAGAGUAGUAGAGAGAGAGAGAGAGAGAGAAGAAAUUGGUGUUGUAGGAAAUUGGCAGAAGAAUUCAGGUUUUGUAUUUUAUUUAUGUUCUUGAUCAAUUGGUUAUUCCUUUGUGAACCAUGUUGUGACUUAUGUAUAUAUGCUUCUUGUUAUAGAGGAUCAUCUUGGUAUGAAGUAAAGCAUUAGGAUUGGGUUUUUCUUUGUUGUUACCUACUGGGAAUUAUCUUUGAAAAGGGAAACUUGAUUUGAGUCAAAAGCUGUAAUUUUCUGAUUUUGGUCUUCUACUUUCGAAAAUCAUAAGUAUUUGUAGAAAAUUCCUUUUGCUGCGAUUCCAGUUACUAAUUGAUCUUUAGGAUGUCUGUUACAAUAGUUAUGAAGACACUAACUGUAAAUUCCCAACCAAGCUAUGUCGUUUUUAGCCAUAAAGUUUAUUGGUCAGGAAGUCAGGAAGUUGUUUUGUGAUUUCAUAUUUCUGUUUUUAAUUACACUCUUUGCUUUUGAAUUUUUGUUGUUUUGAUAUGAGAUUGUACAUAUGUAAUGAUUAGAUUAUAAAGUUCCUAUAGAUGUUACUAGUUCCUACAAUUGAAAGUAGAAACCAUGAUUUUAGAUUGCUUAAAGUUGCUCAAAAAUUUAGAAGUUAGAUUAUUGCAUAUUUUUCUGUUAGCUAUCUUUGUGGUAAUUUUAGGCUUUUUGAGUGCAAUCUUUGUGUGUUGUUUUUUUUUUUUUUGUAACAUUGAAGUGUUAUUAUUCAGUAAUCAAUAGUUUUAGUUACAUAAUAGUGUUUGUUAUGCUUUCAAGUACAAGUAGGCAUAUAUCAGCAAAUUUGCAAAAAAAUUUAGCUGAACUGUAUCUGAACUUUGAAAUUGCAUAACUAAUUAUAGAAAAAUCGUUUUGGGGUGAUUCCAACUCUCAUAGUUUCUUCUGUUUGCCUGCUAUAAGUCAUUAGAAGACCUUGAAGUCAAAAUAUCAACGGUUUUGUACAGUUUUCAGUCUGUUUGUAACUGGUUCAGAAAAGCCUGUUUGUGAAAGAAACUGUUUUGGUACUUUAGCUCUUGUUUUAGCAUGUUACCUAAUUCCUAAUUUAAGUUCUAAAUGAAAUGGAUUUAGUAUAAGAUUUUUCAACUAAUGAUUGUAUCUUUUUAUUAGGAACUUGCUGUGAGUAUUGACAAAGGUAGGGGGAAAACUUGGAGAACCUCUGUGCUUGCUCUAAUUGUUGUUUCAUUAGGUUACAUGCUUGUGUGAAAUUUUUGUUUCCUUGCUGCCAUUUAUAUAUGUAGGAUUUGUUUGGAUGUACAUGUUAUCAUAUAAGGGAAUGGAAGUGCUAUGCAUAAAGCACUUUGGGGGUAAAGAAGUUAGGAUUAAACUUUUGUGUAGUUGAGUCCUUGUCCUUGGAGGUACCACAUCCCACAAUGCUCGUGUAAAUGCAUAAGAAUGGCGCAAUUAGUAUAGGUGAAAAGGGCGGGAUUGACGAAAGAGGAACGGACAAGAUGACUAGCAAAAGGGGAAUGUGAAAUUGAGUGGGAGGUAGUUCAUAUAAAUGAGUAGCCUAAGUCACCCUUGUGAUAAAAUACAUGGUAUGGAACAUGUAGACUUAGUCUAUUCGGUUAUAUGAACUACAUGGAGUAAUUGUAUAUGCAUUGUUUAUUUUAUUAAAGUUGUUUAUGUUCUCUUGUUGGAAGAGGUUUUUGCCUCCUACUGGGCUUAUUAUGCCCACCCCUUUAAAUAUUUUGCAGGUGAGGAAUAAAUAGUUUGAAGUUGGUUUCUUCCAAGGAUCUUUUAUUUACGUGUGAAAUAUGUGUGUUGUUGUUUUCCUUAGAAUAAGACGUAGACUUUAGUCUACCUUUGUAAUGUUACUUUUUGGAGUACUUUGUAAUAAAGAAUAAAUUUUAGUCUAUUGUUGAGUUGUUCUUUUCCAAUUUCUUUCAUAUUCUAAUUAUGUAAAAUCUAUUUCAUAGUUAGAAUAUGAGUUACACCUAAAAAAAAAAUAUUUUCCAAAAAUUAGGGUGUGACAAGAACCUUCGCCGCCGUCUCCUUUACAAACAAGUCCAGAAAUGCCUCCGAAACCCAUCGUCCGAGACCCAAAUCUUAGUAUCACGUCGGCAAACGCCUGGUCCCCUGAUUUUACUCGGUGUUUUGCAGGAAACCCUCCUCAGGGAUCACCGAUCUACUUCCUUGAGACUGGGGAAGCCCUGCUCGACCCAACUCCCACACAACCUCUCUCGGCCGCCGAUCUUCAUCACUAUGUCGACUCCGUGCGUCGCCCAAUCCUCGCCCACCGCCGUGAACCUGGUGACUUUGUGACCUGGGCUUAGCAAGCUCGCUCCCACACGAACAUCCGAGUGGGAGAAUGGCCCAACACCACCGACAAAGAGCGGGCAUGGUAUGAAGCUCGCCUCUAGACCGACCUACCGAUCUAGGAGGCGGCGGGCAUCGCUGAAGCUAUUGCUCUGAGUUUCUCGCUGCUUAACUCUACUGACAGGACGCCUAUCGCUACGACGACAUGUCUAUGAAACAGUGCCACCAACACUUUCGACUUCCCCUUCGGACAGAUGAGCGUCUCUUUGCUGGACGUUCUUGCCAUCACAGGGCUGCCGAUCCACGGUAAGCCAUAUGUUCCGAGCGAUUUUGCUUCGACAGAGUUUACCUACACCAGCAAUCCGGGCAUACGACAUCCCUUGAAGUCCUCGUUUCCAAUCUGGAGGAACUAUUUUAUCUAGCAUGCAAAACAACACGAAAGAGGUAUUGCUUUCCUUAAAUAUUGGCUUAAUAAAUUUAUAUUCGGUGGUGGCGCCCAAAAGUCUACGGAUAAGUGGACGAAACUAGCCGUAGCAUUUUACAAUGGGAUUGAAGUAGGGCUAGGGCUGCUCGUAUUGGGCGCACUCUAUCGGGCCUUUCGAUGCUCGCCGCCCGACUUCCUGCCUGAGAACCAACUUCUUGGGUUCGCCGUGUGUAGAAACCCUGCGAAUCGGACUCCUCUGUCCUUCUUCGCCAGUCUCUCCAUCUUGUACAACCAACUGGAGCCACCUCCUACCAUAAACAUGAUGGUCCGUCGGUGCCAUCCCGAGGUCCUAGUAGAUGGCUUCUUUCCUCGGCCUAACUCCGACCCUAAUGUCAAGACAAGCUUCAUGAGGGCGGUUUCUUGCUGCGUCCUUUGCCUUGUUGAGGAGGAGCAAGGCUUCGAGCUCUACGCUCCAAAUCACUUCGCCAGGCAACUCAGCUUCACCCAAUGAGUCCCAUAUCCACUUCUUCCUUCAGUGAACAUGUACACUUCUUGGCGCAAAAUGGGUGAGGCGAGCCAUAUUACCCCGCUGGAGAAUAUCUUCCCUUUCACUCUAGCCUUGCUCGAAAUUGAGCCUUCGCUGGGUGUCGAUCCCGCCUAUCUCUCAUGUGGCAAUCACUCUCUGACAAUCACUGGGAGUAUGCAGACGAUGUCGUCUUCGCUGCCAUCUUCUCUCCCCUAUACGACACUCUAGGCGAGUCGGAUCGUACUAUCCUUGACGCCCAACACGGGCAAGUAGAGAGUCCUCGGAGGACAACAGCACGACCAAGGUCAACAUUGUCUCCUGCAGCCACAGUUGCUCGUCGGCCAAACCAACAUCGUCAUUCAGGAAAGGGAUUCCGCCUCAGAGGUAUGCUAGUGAGCUUGUAAUUUUACAACACCUUUUUGCCCAAUCGGAUUCCCUCUAAUUCGUUCCCCCCCUCCCCCCCUUUUUAUAUAGGUUGCACCUCGCCAAAGAUCUUCCAAGAGACUUGCAUCUGCUAAAGGGCCUGUAGCAUAGUCUAAUGAGGAGACCCUUCCGCCAAUUCGUCAGUCGACAGGCAGAGAGAGCUCGCGCAAGCGCCCUACCGAGGAUGAAGAAGAAGAAACGGAUGAAAGGCGCUACCAGGAGCAGUUUGGUUUGGUAAGCAUCUCAUUCUUAAACCCACUUUACUCAAGUUUGCAAUGUGAUUACUAACUUUCACCUCAUAGGUAUGGCACCGCCAUGUCCGCCCCCGCAUGGUCCACUGAUUUUACUUGUGUUUUGCAAGGAAGCCUCCUCAAGGAUCACCGAUCUACUUCCUUGAGACUACGGAAGCCCUGCUCAGCCCAACUCCCUCACAACCUCUCUCGACCGCCGAUCUUCAUCACUAUGUUGACUCCGUACGCCGCCCAGUCCUCGCCCACCGUCGUGAACCUGAUGACUUUGCGAUCUGGGCUCAGCAAGCUCGCUCCCACACGACCAUCCGAGUGGGAGAAUGGCCCAACGCCACCAACGAAGAACGGGCAUGGUAUGAGGCUCGCCUCCAAACCGACCUACCGAUCUAGGAAGCGGGGAGCAUCGCCGAAGCUAUUGCUCUGAGUUUCUCGCAGCUUAACUCCACUGACAGGGCGCCUAUCUGUAACGCCCCAAACUGCACCUCCUCAGCUUAGGCAAGUUACAGUGCCGCGAGUCUCAAAAGGAGAAACGCAAGACAGUUAAUAUAAGAAAACAUUUAAGAAAAAGACAGCAGAAGCGUAAGAUUAUAUUUUGAGGUGUAAAAUCUUUAUUUUUCUCAAAGUAUUUUAAUUCACCAAGAACAUGGUACAAGAGAUGUUUAAAAAUAAUGAACUCAAAGGAAUACAGUUUCCCAAUAAGAUAUCACAACACAAACUUAUAACAGGAUUGAACGCUUUCAUUCCUCUCAAACUUAAUUUAAGAAAUUACCAAAUAUUAACGAACUUCAAGAAAUAGAAUUACGAAUGAGAAUACAACAAGGCCAACAUAAUAAAAUUUUGGAACAAGAAACUCAAGUAUUAAAGUAUAAGGUAAGCAUCAAAACAAGAUACCGAUCAUAAACAUGCACACCCAGCUCCUCGCCACUAUCCCGUCCCAGUGCACAAUACCUGCAUUCACAAAUUGUUGUAGGGGUGAGCUUUCGUCCUCGCUGCUCAAAGAAACUACCCAUGACUAGGUUUGAAAACAUAAAGUGGAGCUCCAACAUGAAAAUAUGCUUAAAACCAAAUUUAUAAUGAACAACAAACAUUUGAAAUGAAUAUUUCAUUCUCAAAUAAAUGUGGCGUCAUAAAUAUGUACCUCAUGGCCGGUCUUCUUCUGGACCCACUAUCCAACUUACCUCACUAUAUAUGUGUACAACAGGUAAGUGUAGCGAGAGUGUCCACUUACGCCAUAUCGCCUAGAGAAAGUGCCACACCUCAAAGCAUGUUAGACACUCCUCAGUCCAUACAAUCCCUCCGGAGGUUUAGGAAAUCGAAGCCCAAGGAAGUCACUAUGCCCCUCUCACUGUCAAGCCAUCAAUAACUCAUAUAACGGUUACAAUAUUUGUGAUAACCCAAUCAUGCAAUCUCAUAGAUGCAUUUAACAUUUUAUUAAACAAUAAAAUCAUUAAUCAAGGGAGUUCCGGGUCCCCUACCUGGAUUUCGAGGCUUUUCUCGUGAACUCCCAAAACGACGAGCCUUCCGCUCCUCGGGUAACUGGAGUCCCUAAUGUCUGACAUUUAAACCGUAAAUAUCUUAUCGAACAAGUAUAACCAAUCACGACGACUAAUUACCAAUCGUCAAAUCAACUUUUCAUGUUUUAACCAGAAUUGACCAACGUUUGACCGAUCAAUAUUUAUAAUCUUUUUCACCAAUUUCAUAACCAAUUCCACAACCAAAAUCUCUUUCGAUUUCCAUGUCUCUAGCAUAUUAGCCAUUUUAUCUCACAAACUCAGCAUAGCAUUUCUGACUCAACAUUACUAUGGACACCCAGCAUUCAAGUUCCUUUCACCAUAGUAUUAAAAUUACAACUUUCCACAGCUAAGGGCAACCAACUUUUCUAACUCCAAGUUUCAAAAUCAAUGAACCAUGUGUGAACUCAAAUAACAAUUUUCCAUAUAUACACACACAUACAUAUAUAGAAUUUACUUGGGACGAUCUGAUACCAUCCUUACAAACAGUCAAGGAAGCAGUACUCAACCAACAUCACUUUAUUUUCAGUCCUUAAUGAUCAAGAACCAGGAUUAUAAUAAUAGGGUACUAGCUCAGUACCAUCCAACUUCUUCGUGACUUAAAAGAUGAUCUUACCAUCUAGCUAACUUUAAUUAAUCAAUCAUACUAUUACCACAUCAGUAUACUAUAACAAUAAAUCUAAACCAAUCAUCAAAAGAUCACAACCAGUCUUCCAAAGUGUGAUUAAACGGGUAUAUACCUUAAACUGAAAACAGCCAAUGACAGCCUUUACUUUCCUCACAGCAACGUACAGAGAGUUCUUCCAUUCCUCAUCUUCUCCACCAGUCACCAAUUCUAAUAUUAAACAUACCCAAACCUCAGUUACAAAUAAAGUGCAUCAAAGUAAGCAACAUAGCGAUCAAAUUUCCAGAAGUCCAUACUUACUAGAACUAUUUAGCACGUUCUAGCUUCUGCUCAAAAAUAAAAACUCAAUAGCAGCUUUGUAUCUGGAUGAGGAGCACCUUAGCAGUAGCUAGAAUAGAUUCCUCCUUCAAUCUCCCUUUGUCCAAUUCCUCUCUUGAUCGACUGUGUGUAUAAGAGCACAACAAGGUUUCAACAUCAAUGAUCCAACAAAUAAUAACCCAUCAGUCAAUUUUGAAUUUUACCUUCGGAUUAAUAUAGUUCAAGGCGGAAUCCCUUCAUACUAGUCUGCUUCUAAUGAGGAACACCACGCUAGCUAGACCAAUCCUUCCUCUGCUCUCCCUAUCCACACGUGAUAACAAUUCGCUCAAAGCCAAAGAUGACGAGCUAACACCUUGACAAAUUUAACUUGAUCGAUUCAGCCCCGCAAGCCCCAAAGCAUAGAACCGCACUCGGAAACGAACCGAGGAAGACCCAAGAGUCACCGGACCGAGUUCUUCGCGGGUGGAGGAAUCAGAACCGACUUGGAGAGCGCUGGAGUUUCUAGGUUGGUCUAAGUCGGUUGACCAGCUCCGCUCAUUUAUAUAGCCUUUCCUCAAAUAACAUUACACGGUCGUGAUUAAGAGGUCACGGCGAGACUUGGGUCGUCACGUGGCAAUGAUUUUAGGGUUACAGUUUUCAGCCACGUUUUUUAUUUCUGGGUCGUUACAUGGCAGUGACUGUUUAUUAAAUUUUAUAUUAGGUAUUUUAAAUGUGAAUAAUGAUUUUAUAUAUUAAUAAAAUUAUGAUUAAAUAAACAAAAUGACAUAUUAAAAUUAAAUAUUUAUUUCAUGACUUAAAAUGACAUGCCAAGCCUAGAAAAAAAAUACAAUUAUUUAAAGAUAACACAAACAUAACAUAAAAAAAAAAACCGUAAUCUAGAUAUCCAUGUUGCCUUGCACUUCCCAUAAAUGCUCGAAAAAAUUAUAGGAGGGUGAUAUGUAUUUAUAGGAUUUAUAUAAAAAAAUUUAUAUAUUUUUUCCUAACCGUUGCCAGCUGUUUUACCGUUGGGAGCUUUUUUUACCCGUUGCCAGCUUUUUACCGUUGGGAUUGCAACAGUCAAUUCACCUGAGCCGUCAAUUUGCUUUUUUGAAAUGAACCAAUGGUCCAGAUCAAAGGACCGUUGCAUUUGAAUUCCCCGGAACGAGCCCAGGCGCUGACACGUGGCCCAGGAGUUCGUCCGCAGCGUCGCUAGGCGACAAAAAGCACCCGCCUUCUCGCUCUGUCCGCGCCAUGCAUCGCCUUCUCGGUCCGCUCUGCGCGCUUCACGUGGCUGACGUCGUGCUUCACAUGGCUGACGUCGACAUUUUGGGCUGAGCUGGAGACGAAGGCCCGGGUCUUCAAAAAUGGAGGCCUGGGUCAUAGGCCUGACCCAGGUGAAGACCCAAUGAAGGCCUGGGUUAAAGAAAAUUUGUGGGUGGACUUGGCUUUUUUUUUCUGGGUCUUCUUUCGAGGUGGCUUAAGGCCCGGGUGGUGUUUUUGGGGUUGGGGUGAACAUGCUCUAAGGCCCAGAUAGCACCAUACCUAUUUUUCUUUUUCCCUAAAUAAUUUCUGAAACUCUAAUCUUCGACAAGUCAUAACAAUUGAUCUGUAUGUCCGAAGAAUUUCCCGAGCUUCCUCACUAACUCGUUAAUAAUGCACUCGACCUUGUAAAAAUUCCUGAAGAUCUUCUCGAGCACAUUUAAAAACAUCGAGGUCGAUGACAAUUUAUCGAACGACCUCAAAUUAAGCUCGUCAAAUUUUCCGGGUGUUACACUAUUGCUGUGGCAGCAUGUUUAUGGUGAAACAUUUUUCCCCUUUCCACGAUUGCUACGAACCAAUGGGAUUGGUUCAUCACUUCUAUUUUUAGAAGCAUUAUUGGUUGAGCUUAAUUGUUGACUUGUGAUUUAAGAUAUAUAUUGAUCGAGCAUACUAAUUAUGAAAUGUGGAAUUAUUGAGUUAUUUGGUGCGGUAGAGUUGCUAAUGUAAAUAUAAUAACUUGACCCUUGUUGUUGAUAUAGUGGGUGGGUGGUUGUGGAUAUGAAGAGCUAACAGCUCUAAGGGUUGGGUUGAUAUGUUUAACCUACAUGGUAGAUUUUAUGAGUUAUAAAUUAUGGCUACAGGUGUUGAGGAUGUAGAUCGUUAAUAUACAAGUGUUUUUAUGAGUUUCUUUGUAGGUUAGGCUUGUCCACUUUUAGAGGAAGUUCGGCCGAACUUUUGGAAGAAUUUUCCUUUAGAGGUGGUCCCCGCAAGACCUUCUCGGGUUUCGAGAUGAAAUUUGGGACGGGUCUUGUCAAUUGGUAUCAGAGCCUGGUUAUGAUUCCUAAGGUAUAAGCUGUGUUAGAAUCUUGGUUUUGUUAUUGAGUGUAGGUUCAAAACUUCAUACUAGAACCUUAGUGAUUUUACAGUAGUUAAUUAUUUGAGUUGAUGUAAUGUUAGUUGUCUGAAAGUUUUGAUUUUUGUGUUUGUGUUCUAUGUCUAUUGGCUUUUGAGUUUUUCUUGGCUUAGUUCUUUGUUUAUUUUCGACAUAGAGAUGAUUGUAGGACAAAUUACUGGUCACUCCGCUAACUUUAGGGUGCUCGACAAUUUAGUCCGUUAUCUUUCAAUUUCAAUCGAUCACUCCGCUAACUGUCCAAUUUCACACAAUUCGGCCCAUCCGUUAAGUAGCCGUCCAAAUCGAUGGUUAAGUGCUGACAUGGCACACCAAAAAUCAAUUAAUUAUUCAUUUUUCUCAUUUUCCAUUUCUCUCCCAAAUUUCCAAUUAUCCCCCAAAAUUCCCAAUCUCCCCCAAUCUCAUUUUUCAGCCAACACCAAAUUCCCAGUCAACAUAGUCCGACCCUUCUUCCCUCUUCUCCUUCUUCUUCCUCUCCACAUUUUCCCCUCUAUCCCUCAAACUCUCUCACUCAGCUGCCGCAGAAGAGAAGAGCAGAGCAAUGGCUUUCAUCAAGGCCUCGAAGCCCCGCGCCUACUUCAAGCGUUUCCAGGUCAAAUACAAGNNNNNNNNNNNNNNNNNNNNNNNNNNNNNNNNNNNNNNNNNNNNNNNNNNNNNNNNNNNNNNNNNNNNNNNNNNNNNNNNNNNNNNNNNNNNNNNNNNNNNNNNNNNNNNNNNNNNNNNNNNNNNNNNNNNNNNNNNNNNNNNNNNNNNNNNNNNNNNNNNNNNNNNNNNNNNNNNNNNNNNNNNNNNNNNNNNNNNNNNNNNNNNNNNNNNNNNNNNNNNNNNNNNNNNNNNNNNNNNNNNNNNNNNNNNNNNNNNNNNNNNNNNNNNNNNNNNNNNNNNNNNNNNNNNNNNNNNNNNNNNNNNNNNNNNNNNNNNNNNNNNNNNNNNNNNNNNNNNNNNNNNNNNNNNNNNNNNNNNNNNNNNNNNNNNNNNNNNNNNNNNNNNNNNNNNNNNNNNNNNNNNNNNNNNNNNNNNNNNNNNNNNNNNNNNNNNNNNNNNNNNNNNNNNNNNNNNNNNNNNNNNNNNNNNNNNNNNNNNNNNNNNNNNNNNNNNNNNNNNNNNNNNNNNNNNNNNNNNNNNNNNNNNNNNNNNNNNNNNNNNNNNNNNNNNNNNNNNNNNNNNNNNNNNNNNNNNNNNNNNNNUUUUGAUUUUGGGAUUUGAAUUGUAUCUGUUGUGGUUCUUUGUGAUUGUGAGGGUUUAAUUUUGAGAAUUGGAGUAUGAUUUCAGAUGUUUGAUUUAAUGUGUGUGAAUUUGUCGAGGUGAUCAGCUCUUGAAUUUGAGAAGUGUGAGAAAUGUGGAGAGGAAGAAGAAGGAGAAGAGGGAAGAAGGGUCGGACUAUGUUGACUGGGAAUUUGGUGUUGGCUGAAAAAUGAGAUUGGGGGAGAUUGGGAAUUUUGGGGAUAAUUGGAAAUUUGGAAGAGAAAUGGAAAAUGAGAAAAAUGAAUAAUUAAUUGAUUUUUGGUGUGCCACGUCAGCACUUAACCAUCGAUUUGGACGGCUACUUAACGGAUGGACCGAAUUGUGUGAAAUUGGACAGUUAGCGAAGUGAUCGAUUGAAAUUGAAAGAUGACGGACUAAACUGUCGAGCACCCUAAAGUUAGCGGAGUGAUCAGUAAUUUGUCCAUGAUUGUAUGAGGUCAUGUAGGAGGAAUAGUAUUCUUCUCUUUCCAUUACUAGUUUUGACAAAAAUAUUUGGAGUUUUUGGUACUGUGAUCAGUUGAAUUACUAGGCAACUUACAAAGAACUUACUUAGUUGUUAGUUGUGGUGGAGCCAUGGCUAUUUGUUCCUGAUCUGUUCUGAUAUUUGUUGUUCGACUUUUCAUGGAUAAGUUUCGCUGGCAACUAUUGAUUGAGUCUGUUUGUGUUAAAAGUUUGUUGAUAGGUUGUAGGCAUAAUUUUCAUGAUUGUCAAUCCUAUACAAAAGUAAUCUCUCACCAAAUAUGACAUCCUUCCUUUCUUAAUUCUAAUUUUAACAAGUUUCAUUGCAAGUGAUAUUCAUUCCUUUUAAGGAGUGUAUUUCGUGUUUUAUUGCUACAUGAGAAAAGAAAGGAAACCUAAUUUGAUUAGGUUUUAUGUAACACCCUGGACCAAAUUUUUACUAUUUACUGGGUAUUCUUCGAGUUACUGAGGAAUUUAACCGUGUUCGGUAAUUUGGUGAUUUAACACUCGAGUUUAUUGUCGAGUUUUUCUCAAAAUGUUAAAUCCCUCUUUUAAGGCCUCGAUGUAGUAGUACAUGUCGACACGGGUUGAACGGUGCCUUUGGAUUAUCUGUCGGAGCUUCGAGUUUUUUUUUUCUAUGAUUUAUUAGACGUUUGAUCUUAGAAAUUAUCUUUCGGAAGAAAAUAACUUUUAAUCCGGGAUGUCAAGUCCAUUAGGGUUUGAUCUGGGCUGUAGAAUUUAAGCUUCAAAGGUAAAGAGGAGGUUGACCUAGUCAAAGAACCCAACUCGGGUUUGACUGAGCCCAACUGUGCCUCUCUCUCUCCUCCCUCGUCUCCCUUUGUCACUGCCUUCUCCAGCGCAGCACCGCCAUCUCCAGCCACCCCCGGUGACGAAACCGUCACCGUUCUCUUCCUCUCCUCCUCUCCUUUCUAGCCCAGCCCGUGGAUCACGCAAGCAAACCGGAUCAGAGGAGAUCGAAGCUGUCGAACACGACUGUGUUCGUUGGAUUCCAGCCAGCUCGGGCAACGGCGACGGCAACGAACGGUAGGGUUCUUCUCCUCUAUCCUUCUCCUUUCUUUCUAUGCCUUUCACUCUUCAAAUCGAGUUCGAAUUCGGAAAGCCCCUUUUGUGUUUUUAGGUUUACGUUGAGGUUUUCCGGUGGGUUUGUUCUAAGAGUUCCGACGGGACUACCGAGCUCCGGUGAGUUUAGAAAAGGUCGAAUGGAGCUCAAUCGCGCCUUGGAGAGAUUUAAGAGCAGUAAUCAUGGUUUGGAAUGGGAGUAGAAGCUCGAGUUCCCAAUCGGGGACUCCGGUCGAACUUCAAAAUUCGUCUUUAUAAGAAAAUCUGACAAGGGUCGAGGUUCUGCAGUUUGACUUGAGAUGGCUAAGGUAGUUCCUCUUUCUUCUCGAGCUGCUGUGUCGUUGUUUCUAUGUUGGAUCGUUUGGAGUUUGGUGACUGAUUCAAUGUUUUGGUUGUUUGUUGAGAACUUGGUGAUUCGGAGUUUGCGGGGAGGCUAUGGCCAAAUUCCUGCAAGUCUCCGGAAUCCGGUAAACUAUUCCGAUAGGUCGCCGGAAUCCAAUGAGGGUUUCGGCAAAGCAGCAGAUCCGACAGAGAACCGAGAAGGUAGUUCUUGAGGUUAUUCUUUCUAAUUCUAGUCGUAGUUUCCAAUUUAGUAAAAUCUGCCAUGUUAGGAAAGUUUCUAUUUAGGGAGACUUUCCCUUUUUGGAAACUUCUAUUUAUGGAAACCCAUUUUUGGGCGCCCUUAGUGAUUUUGGUGAGAAGUUGUGUAGAAAGGAAGUGAAUGAGGAUUGUAUGGAUGAAGAAUCAAUUGUUUUUGUGUUGUGAUCGAGGAUUUCUCGGAUUAAGAAAAUUGGAUAAAUGAGGAAUGGAGUUGGUGAAAGGUUUGUUCUUAUUGAAGAACUAAUUGAGUACUAAUUGAGUUCAAGUGAAGUAAAUAAUUGAAUUAUUAAAAUGGUUGUUGGAUUUGAAUUGGAUGGUUAAGAGUAAUCAAGGUAACCAGAAUUUUCAAGUCGAAGGUUAAAGUGGAAAAUGUUGAAGCUUCGUUAGUUGGCCAACCCUAAUUCAAUUGGUCAAACUUGGUCAAUUCUGGUCAACCCAGGAAACCUAGCCAAACUAGGAAGAAUUUGAAUCGAUGAUUAUUAUGGAGUCUGGUCUAACCAAUUUAUUCUUCUAUUUAUCGUCAGACGUGGGAUUGGCUAGAGAGUGUGAAUAGUUAGAGGCAGCGCUCGUCGAGUAUUCUGAGCAUUGGAAGGCUUAGGCCUAAUACUGUGAGUGGACUUUUGUUUUAAUUAAAAGCAUGCGAUGCAUUAUAUUGUUGAUCAGUUAUUCUUCUGCUGAAAUUUAUUGUUUUCUUUGAUAUUUGGCAAUUUUCAUCUUUUGGAGAGUUACCGAAAAUGAGAUUUUCGGUGGAUAUGUAUAUUAGAUGUUUAUGAGGAUAGUAUGUAUACAAAUGCUAACUAGCCAUACGUGCCUGGUCCAACAUAAUGAGGUAAAAUUUCAUUAUGGCGCGACAUGAGUGUUAGACACUAGCGUCAUAGCCCUAAAUGAAAACUACUUUCUUUUCUGGUUUAUUUAGGUUGUCAAAUAUGAAGUCCACACGUAUAGAAAUACACCGUCCUCUUCGGUCCGAAUGAGGAAAAAUACCAUUAUGGCGCAACGUGAGCGUUAGACGCCAGCGUUGUAGCCUUGUAUGAAUUUCUUUUUUUUCUAAAUUGUUUCUAGGAUUCAUACAAGGAGUCUGACGAGUGUAAAUACUUACGAAUAUAUGAUUAUAUAUAAUUUAGCCUGAGAGUCUCCAUUUUAUUUGAGUUGGUGACUAGCCGGAGCUAGUCGUGAAAUUACUAGUUUAUGAGUUGAGCGCUUUUGAGCUACCGCAUGCAGUAUAUUUUUUCUUUGGAAAUUGAAAUGGAGAAGCGUAAAUAUUUUUAUUAAUUUAUUUUUGUCCACUCACUCUAACGUGUUUCAAAUGUUUUCCCCUAGGCCCUUCGUUUUAAAAUGCUCAGUUGGCAGGUUUGCAUAGUUGAGGUCGGGCGUACGUGGAGAAGAGGCAUAGUCAAUAGUAUAGCUUCCGCUCAUUUCUACAUUUCUAAUUCUUUUCCUCUCAGUUAGAAUUGCUCUGAACCUAUAAAUGGUUGGUUAUGAGAUUUGUUUAAAGUUAGUAUUUAAUUUGGGUGGUGUUGUGAUUUGGGGAGCACGAAGGCUCUAGGAGUUUAUGGUUGGAUUUAAAUUUUCAGAAGUGUUUGCAGGUUUUAUUAGGAAGGGUUAUCCAUUUUCAAGGGAGGUUAUGCCGAAUUUUCGGUAAACUUUCCUCGGGUUUCAGGAUGAAAUUCAGGGUGGGUCCUGACAGUUGGUAUCAAAGCACUAGGUUAUAUGCUUUAGACACUAUGUGUUGAUUAGGUUUGUGAUGUAGUUGUUCUUCUUUUAUUUAUGGAAAGUAGUGUGCCAUAAAUGUCUACAUCUUUAAGACUAUGCCUCCGUACGCCGACCUCUUGAGUGUUCAUCCUUCGAGUUUGAAAAGGUGUAUAGUUUGCACCUAUUCCAAGGUUCAUUAAUUUAAUAUCUUUGAUAUUAAUGGUUGGAGUUGAUUUGCGAGUGGGGAACGAAAAAGCUUGUUAGCAUUCCUUUCAGGUAUCCAAUGAUUGAUUGGGUUAAGAUUAAGGUUUCAGAUUAAGAUGCUAAGGUGAGCAUCUUGUGCAAAUCUGUUGGGUGAAAUGUUGAUGAUUAAUGCCUUGGAGUUGUCCAUUUUUAGUGGGCAAGAUUAGAGUCAAAAAUUGGUUGAUGGGAGAUUUUGGUAUUGAGUUACAUGACUUCUGAGAGAGUCUAGUUGGAAGGAAAGUUCGAAGUAGUGGUGUAUUCUAUUGAUGUAAAAGUUAGUUGAAAUGAUGAGGUGAGGUAUCCAAUGGUAAUUCAAAGGGGUACCUAUAUGAGUUGUUGAGGACCCUAGUCUUGGGUUAAAUAAGGUUUUAGGGAAUUUGUCGCUAGUGAUUGUGUGGUAAGACAUUGCUGCAUAAAGAGCUAAAUGUCAAUUUAGAUAAGUCAUGAUUGAAGGCCAAUUUGCCGACUAUGUUUAUCCGCAGUAGAAAGCAGUUGGGAACAUUUUGGAAUAAUGCUGGUUAUGUCAGCACAUAUUCUGGUUCCUACAACUCUAAUUAUGGAUAAGUUUUUAUCUUUUGAGCAAUUUAUUAAAAUGGUGGUGGUAAUAUCUUUUGGAAAUGACAGAUAAUAAUAGUCGAUGAAUAGUAAGAUUUCUGAUGAUUUUGGUCUCUAUUGUGGGUUAGUUGAAGUUUGUUUAAGCACUAAGUGUAAUGACUUGAAUUGCUUUUCCUUGGGUUAGUUUUUUUCAAAAGUCAUUGGUCAGUGCGUUAUGACAACUUGUUGUUGUGCCACAGUCGGGGAAUUUUAGAAAUUGAUUGGUGGCACUAAAUGUUUUGAGUUUCAAGCAAGUUUGGAAUCGUGGAGUGAGAUGUCAGUUAUAUUUUUUUAAUCGUGGGGCCAUUAUGGUUUCUUUCGGAAUUCCAGGUGUUGAAGUUUGGUUUCCAGAUUUGUUGAGUGUUUGGGAAGAUGAUAAUGUAAUGGAAUUGAAAAGUAAUGGUGGAGUGAGAGCGAGAUGGUUGUGGUCACUCCAGUUUUAUGACAACGCCUGGUGAAUUUAUUACGUGUUGUCAUAGGUAUUCUAUAGCAGUUGUGUGGAGUUGGUGAAAGUGGUAGCAGUGGAAUAAAACCCACUGGAUCAUAGAACAAGAGUGUGUGGGUGUCCAAAGUAUUUUUUUAAACAAUGUCAUUCCGGGUGGUUAAUGUAAGUCUCAAAUUUGUGAUCGAAGUUGGUUUUUGACAUCAUUUCGUUCGUAAUGGGUGACUAACUACGACAUAACAAUGGGAGGAUCUGUUCUCACCUUAUUUCUAAUUCGGUGAGAUGGAGUAAAAUUUUGGUCGUGGUGUGUGUGGGAAUAUUUAAAUUAUUCCUACUGUAGGUUUUUGGGUAGCAUCCUCAGAGCUUAAAAUUAUGAAGUGCGAAUUCAAACUCUACGUUACAAGGGUUAGAGAUUCUGGUUAGUUGUCGAAUUUAUGAUAAAUUGGUUGUUGUGUCGUAGGUAUGGAUCCUGGAUAAAUCCAGUCGUGAUCCCAAGUGAGCUGGAGUUUAAUUAAGCGAUGAAUCUUGGAGCCAUAAGUCCUAUGUGGUAGUCUAAGAGUCGUGUGGUGAUGUUGAUUAGAUGGGUUGUGUCGUUGUAGGUAUAUUUUAUGAUGUAGCUUUAUGGGAGAAGGUUUUUCCCCUGUUGACUCAAGAAGGUUUUCCCUUGUUCACUCAAGAAGCUUUUCGAGUCAAGGUUUAUUAAGAGACUUAUUACUACGAAUAGUUGAUUUAUUGAUAGGUUGAUCAACGUCUCUUCUCGGGAUCGUUUUGUGGUGGGACCACUCGUUGAUCCAAGUUUGAUUUGGGAGGUCUUCGCUUUUUGGUUGUGCGUUCAUCCAUUGGUGUCAGGAUGAUUAGUUGAGGUUUCUAUUGCGAUUUCGAAACGGCUUCUGGCGGAUAUCGGAGAUUUGUGGAGCUUUUGAGCUUGAAGUUAGAGGACUUGCCUUUCGUGUGCUUUAAGUCAUUUCUUCUGGAACUUGAGCUGAGUUUUAGCCAUGAGUUUUGAUUCUUGCUUGAAUUCAUGGUUUUCGUUGGUUGGGGAACCACAAGGUGUAGUAGUGGAUCUUGUAUAAAAAUUUAUCUUUGCUUUUGUUAGUUGCAUGUUAUUGCAAGCUCGGGUAUCGAAUAAUCUUUUUGGUGGGAAGUCAUGGCCCUGGGAGGCGUAGGAGACUUGAGCAUAUCUGAUUUUCAGAUCAUUUUCUGCUAUCAGAUUAAUUAUUAUUGGAGGUAGAAAAGAAGUGUGUUUGUCGAGUUCAAAGGUUUUGGUAUUUGGAAACAUUCUUAUGGAACGGCUAGAGUGAGCCGUGUGCUUUUAAUUAUUGAAUUUGGGGUCGCGGUUGUACCCGAAUAAGUAGCAUGGCUGAAGAUGUAAAUUUUUGUCAAUGCUUAAGAAAGGUGUUCUAUUUAUGUGGAUUUCAACGUCAAGUUUGGCAUCAUGAAUUGGUUGUGCCAAUUUUUCGUGGGCAUAAUUAGUUAGUUUUUGCUUAUGGCAAGCAAGGAGGAAUAUCCAGUUUCCACAUGAUAGUCAUGUUUCAAAUUAUCUUCUGGUUUGUGGUAAAGAGAAUAGUGGAGAUAGCAGAAUCAGGAGAGAGUUGAAAUUCUCAUAAGCUGCUAGUUUGUGGUAUUCAAAAAGGUAAUGUAAUAGUUUUGGUGAAGAGACCUAAGUGACGUGGUAUUGAUCUUUUCAUAAUGUUAUUUCGAGAAUCGAGGUUAUCAUAUGUUGGUGGACUGGUCUCUUAGGCAGAGCAAGGUUGUCUUGUGGACUUGCGAGAGCUUUGACUCCAUGAAAGACUCUGCGAAAUGUCUCGGCAUUAGAAGUGAUUGUUGCAGUUCUGCAGUGUGUUCAUCCUUAAAAAUCUGUUCAAUUAGCGGGUCUUAAUUUUGACCCCUAUGAGCAUGUGGGAAUGUGUGAAUGUGUGAACUUUAGUUUCCUAGCAAGUGGGCUUCAUUGUCGAGCUGUGAGCAGUGUAAUGACGAGGUUGUUGCGUGACGUUAGGAGAUUUGAGCCCGAUGGUGAUAGCAAAUUUAUGCGUUUUAUUUGGGUUAGCUAUUUCCAUUGCUCAGGAAAGAGUGUGCAUACCAACGGGUACUCGUACACUGUCACAUCCCGACCCUUAUAUUUUUACCUUAUUUACUACCUUGGUUAUAAUAAGAAUUUUACCGUCUCCGUCAUUGAGGUAAUAGUUUAAUUGGUCCCUAGAGGGGUUUCGGGGACGAUUAUGUGCGGAGGAUUAUUCGUAGGAGGAAAAUAUGACGACGGUAAAAAAUGGUAAAUUUUAGCUAGUAAAAGGUAAUUUUUAUUCGGGUAUUAUUUUUUCGGGGUGUUUUAUUUUUGGAAUUGGGUUGUAUAUAGGACGUGGAUCGGGUAGGAGGCCCAAGCCUAUUUCUUCUUCUCUCUUUUCUUUCUCUCUUCUCUCUCUCCCUCCAGAGCUCUCUCUCCCCCGCCGGUUUCCUCCGCUCAGCUCUCCGCCGUCCGGCCACCGUAGGCCGCCGCUCUGGUCCCGUUCGGUUGCCCUCCGACCCAGCUUCCAUCCUAGGCCGGUGAAGGCUGCGCUAGCGCCGCCGUGAAGGAGUUCUCCCGCCUAGAACCUCGGGCUGCCCAAAGUCCUCCAUCGCCGGAACUCACUCCUCCGGCCACCAAUCCGGGCAAACUUGGUACGGUUUUGUAGAUCUCCUUCCCAGCAGCCUUGCCCUAAAAGGGCUCACUCCUGUUUGCUUCAGGUAAGGAGAAAUUUGAGGUGGAAACUCUAGGGCGUUUUUGAUGUUUUUGUUCGAUUGGCAUAGCUAGGCUUGGAUUUUGGGUUUGUGCUAGUUAGAAAAGUUGUAGAGCAUGAGGAGAGGAUUAUUUUGUCAAAAUUUCAUAAGAAUUGGAGGUCGUCGGAAUCGGCCUCUGGCUGCCGCUGCCGGCGGGGCUGGCGCCGGCGCCGGCGCCGGUUGGGAGAUUUUAAUGUUUUUAAAUUUGGAAUAUUAAGGGGAGUUUAUUGGAGUGAGUUAUGGAAUUUUUGGAUGAGUUUUGGAUAGGUUGGUGAAUUUCCGAAGUUUGGUAUUUUGGCGGUGAUUUAAUGUAGAAUCCGGCCGUUGGAUUAAAGUUGUUUAAACUGUGGGAAGGUGUAGUUACGGCUGCUGGUUCUAGGGUUGAAAUGUGGACCAUUUCGAAGUUAGGAAAUGACAAGCGUGUUUAUGGCUCUCGGUUAAUUUCUCCUAUUUUGCAUAAAUAUUGGAAUUUCGGACUAGGAAAUUUAUAUUAUUUUUGGAACAGGUCGUGAGGAGGCUCGAGCAGACGAGGCUCCAGAUCGACAUCAGGCUUAGGCCUAAUUUGUGAGUGGACUUUUGUUUUAAAUAAUGUGCAUGCGAAAUAAUUUAUGUUGUUAGAGAAUAACCGAAAUUGAGAAUUUCGGUGAGUAUGUAUAUAUAUCCAUAUUUGGAUGAUUAUGAGAAUAAUAAGUAUAUUAGGGAAUGCUAGCUAGCUAUACGUGCUUUUCCACCAUACUGAGGUAAAAUGCCAUUAUGGUGCGACGUGAGCGUUAGACGUAAUCGUCGUAGCCCUAUAUAAAUAUAAUAAUUUAUAUAGGGGAUAUGCGCGUAUAUAUUUAUACACCGUCUUUUCCACCAUAAUGAGGUAAAAUGGCAUUAUGGUGCGACGUGAGCGUUAGACGCAAGCGUCGUAGCCUUGUGUGAAUUUUCUAUUUGUCUUUGUUGUUUUAAGAAAAUUCAUACAAGGGAUAUGACGAGUGUAAUAUAUACAUAUUUUAUUUUAACCUGAGAGGCUCUUAUUUUUGAAGUGUUGGUGACUAGCGCGGCUAGUCACGUUUUGGUAAAUUUUUAAAAAGCUUUUGAGCUUGUUGUAUGCUGUUAAUUAUUUUUCCACAGAAGUUAAUUUAGGAAGCAUAAAGAUUUAUUUUCUUUUAAAAUUUAUUUUUGUCCACUCACUCUAACGUGUUUCAAAUGUCUUCCCCUGGGCUCUUUGUUUUAAAAUGCCCAGUCUGCAGAGUUCGGGUUGGAUCUAGUAGAAGGCGAGGCAUAGUCACCAGUUUUUCCGCCAGUUUUCAUCAAUAAGUUACCUGUUUAACCUACUAGUAUUUUCUUGCUUCCGCUAGUGUCUAGUAGCUCUGAAUACUUUAGGAUUAUUGUAUAUUAUCUCGGUAGUGUGCUCGGUCGGUUGACUUCAUGUUUAGAAUUUCUGAAGGGUAAGAUUUGCUGUUUUUAGCUGGAUAAUAUUAUGAUGUUUGGACGUGUUGUAAUAAGAGUGUAAAUUUGAAUUUUUCGAGUUAGGGUUGUCCAUUUUCGAGGGAGAUUUUAUCAAUCUUUACGGUAAAUUUUCCUUGGAGGUGGUCCUCACACGACUUACUCCGGGUUUCAGGGUGAAAUUCGGGGUGGGUCGUGUCAGUUGGUAUCAGAGCUUUAGGUUUCCUUUUCCUGCUUCCUUGUCACUAUCAUAUUUGCCUAAGUAGCACGUAGUGUCUAUAGAGUGAUGAUCCGACCGCGGCGGAUUCAUUGGCAUUUUAUGCUUUUGAUGCUAUGUGUUAUUGGGUAUGUGUGAUAGUUGUGUUAGUCUUAUUUAUGGACUACUAAAUAUCUUCUUCCUCAGGUACAAUGCCUCCUAGGCGCCCAUGGCAACCCUGUGUGGCUACUUCGACCAAUGCCGAUGAGGGCAAUGAGGUCAGGGGACUGGUUGAUGAUAUUGGAAAUAUGCUGAGGGAUGUCAUGGAUCGAGCUCCACGCCCUCCUACGAUGAAAAGGAGAGAAGUUUUUGAUGCUGGAGCCAGAGAGUUCAAGGGUGCCAAGGGACCUCUUGAUGCUCACAAUUGGGUGGACAAGAUGGAAAAUGCUUUUGCGAGCACUGAGUUGCCAGAAGAAAGAAAGGUGAAGAUGGCAGUGACUUUUCUGGAUGAUUCAGCACAUCACUGGUGGUCGCUUGCCAGCAGGAAUAUUGAGGAUGCUCUGAAUAUGUCGUGGGAGCAGUUUAAGACUCUCUUCUUGGGGCAAUAUUUCAAUCAUGCCCACCGCAGCAGAAUUCAGUCGGAUUUCCUGCAUUUGACGAAAAGGGAUGAUGAGGGUAUCUUAGAGUUCCAGGAAAGGUUCACUUCCCUGAGCUACCAUGUGUCCUAUCUGGUUCCUGAUGAGAAGACCAGGAUUGAAAUGUUCAUUGGGGCACUUGGUGGGGUAUAUGCAGACCAGAUGACAGGGGUAAUUUACCCGACCUUUGCGGAUGCAGUUGGGGCAGCCAUGGCCAUUGAGUCCAGGGAGACAUAUGGUGCUCGGCCCCGUGAUUUCAGUGGCCCCAGUCAGGGUCCAUCAAAGAAGACUGCUUCAUCAUCCGCUUCAAGGUCUUCUGCUGGUAGUGGCAGUAGUGGUAGAUCUAGCUCUGGUGUUCGAAGCAAGUCUAAGGGACGUUUCAAAAGUUCUUCUCGUAGUCAUUUGGGUAGGCAGCAGUCUGGGCAGUAUGGUUCUGGUAGUAGCUUCCAUGGUGGGUCAACCGGUAGCCAGACUUUUUCUUAUGGGGAGCAGCAGUUUUCUGGGUGCUUUGAGUGUGGUGGUCAGGACCACUUCAGGAGAGAUUGCCCAUUGUUGGCUUAGAGGACCACCCCUACCCCUACUCAGCCAGUUGGUCAGUCUUCAGCUAGAGGCUCUAGUAGUGGUGCCCAGGGUAGUUCUUUGGUCAGAGGUGGCUCUCAGAGAGGUGGUAGUCAGCGUGGACGUCCCAUGACUCGCGCUAGACUGCAUGCUAUGACCGAGCAGGAGGGUCGUACUUCUUCAGAUGUCAUCAUUGGUACGUUAUUAAUUUUUGGUCAGCCUGCAUUUACUUUAAUUGAUCCCGGAGCCACGCAUUCAUUCUUGUCUAGUAGAUUUGCCCUCCAUGCCAAUGUGCCAUCAUCGUCUCUUCCAAGCGAGUGACAUGUGUCUCUACCCUCCGGGGAGGUGAUGAGGAUAAAUUGGGUGUUUAGUGGUUGUGAAGUUUUAGUGGAAGGAGUUAAUUUCGAGGCUGAUUUAAUUCCUCUAGAUAUAGUGGAGUUUGAUGUGAUCUUGGGAAUGGACUUUUUGGAAGCAUAUAGAGCUGUGGUAGAUUGUUUUCAGAAAGUAGUGGUGCUUCGAAGUCUAGAAGGUUUUGAGGUUGCUUUUCACGGGGAAAGAGAUGUUAUUUCUAGUUGCAUAAUUUCCGCUGUUGCUACAAGGAAAUUGUUGAGUAAAGGCUGUCAGGCAUUUUUAGCUCAUGUGGUGGAUUCAAGUAUGGGAGUUGUGGGAUUAGAAGAUAUUCCAGUAGUAAGGGAGUUCCCGGAUGUUUUUCCUGAAGAGUUGCAUGGUUUACCUCCUACAAGGGAGAUAGACUUCUCUAUAGAAUUACUUCCCGGAACUAUGCCUAUCUCUCAGGCACCUUACAGAAUGGCUCCAGCGGAAUUGGAAGAGUUGAAGACUCAAUUGCAGGAGUUGGUAGAUAAGGGUUUUAUUCGGCCUAGCAUGUAUCCAUGGGGUGCUCCGGUGUUGUUUGUUAAGAAGAAAGACGGCACCAUGAGACUAUACAUUGAUUAUAGGAAGUUGAAUCAGGUCACAGUGAAGAAUAAAUAUCUGUUGCCUCGGAUCGAUGAUUUAUUUGAUCAGUUGAGGGGUGCCUCUGUUUUCUCUAAGAUUGAUUUGAGAUCGGGUUAUCAUCAGUUGCGGAUCCGAGAGGGGGACAUAGCCAAGACUGCUUUUCAGUCACGAUAUGGUCAUUAUGAGUUUGAGGUGAUGCCAUUUGGACUUACUAAUGCACCCGCGGCGUUCAUGGAUCUCAUGAAUAGGGUGUUUAGUCCAUAUCUUGAUUGUUUCGUGAUCGUAUUCAUAGAUGACAUCUUGGUUUACUCAAGAAGUGAGAAGGACCAUGCCAAGCAUCUAAGAAUAAUAUUGCGGAUUUUGGAAAAUUCGCAGUUAUCUGCUAAAUUUAGCAAGUGUGAGUUUUGGCUAGAUAAAGUUGGGUUUUUGGGUCAUGUGGUUUCGGCAUAAAGAAUUAGUGUGGAUCCCCAAAAGGUGGAAGCAGUGUCAAAUUGGAGAAGACCCACCACUGUGACGGAGAUUCGUAGUUUCUUGGGUUUAGCAGGUUAUUAUCGGCACUUUGUGAAAGAUUUUUCAAAGAUUGCUGCUCCUCUUACAAGAUUGACUAGGAAGGGGGUUAAGUUUGAAUGGUCAGAUCUAUGCGAGCAAAGUUUUCAAGAAUUGAAGAAUUGCUAGACAAGUGCUCAUGUUUUAGUACUUCCGGAUGAUAGUGGAGAGUAUGUGGUCUAUUGUGAUGCUUUUAGAUGUGGUCUAGGUGGAGUUUUGAUGCAGCAUGAUCGAGUUAUUGCCUACGCUUCUAGGCAAUUAAAGCCGCAUGAGGGGAAUUAUCCUACUCAUGAUUUGGAGCUUGCAGCGGUAGUUUUUGCUCUCAAGUUGUGGAGACACUAUCUUUAUGGAGCCAAGUGUCAGAUUUUUACCGAUCACAAGAGUCUUCGGUAUGUGUUCACUCAAAGAGAGCUAAAUAUGAGACAUAGAAUGUGGAUGGAGUUAAUCAAUGAUUAUGAUUGCACUAUUGAGUAUCAUCCUGGAAAAGCUAAUGUGGUAGCUAAUGCUCUUAGCCGAAAUCCCUCCAUAUCUUUAUCUCAUAUAAAGAUGGUUCGUGUUCCGCUUCUUUGUGAGUUGCGAGCUACAGGGGUGGAUUUAGCAGUAGAUGAGGUUGGUGCUUUGGUAGCCAGUUUUCAUGUGAGGCCAGUUUUGGUUGAUAGAGUGCGGGAAGCACAGAAUAAUGAUCCUUCCAUAGUUCGAUUGGUAGAAAGAGCUUUGAGCGGAGCCACAGCUGAUCAUUUCUCAGUUAGAAGGGAUGAGACUUUAUUGUUUAAGAAUCGGCUUUGUGUUCCAAAAAGAAAUGAAGAGUUGAAGAGUGAGAUUACGGAGGAAGCUCAUAGUUCUGCAUAUGCUACUCAUCCGGGUAGCACAAAAAUGUAUCGGAUUUUGAAGAAUUAUUAUUGGUGGCCAAACAUGAAGAGAGAAAUUGCAGCUUAUGUGAGUAGAUGUUUGAUUUGUCAGCAAGUAAAAGCUGUAAGUGUCACAUCCUGACGUGUCGCGUAACCGGGGUCAAACAACUUCAAUUUAAUUACCCUGCAAUCGUAGUAAUAUGGACAAGUAGGGAUUGUUCUAGCCGGGGAAACCAAAGGGCGAUCGAAAGAAGAGAAACCAAACAACUUAUAAACAAGUAUUCACAUAUAUACAUUGAAAUAUUGGGGGUUUAAGAUUGAAUAAUUCUAACAAAUCACCUACUGAAAAUUAAACAUAAGAUUAUUAUAUAUAAGUGAUCAACAUACUCAUGCAACACAUAACGCGAAAAACUAUCAAGAACACAUAACAACUUCAUGCAAGGCCGGGCAGCAACGUUCAAAUUAUCCUAGACUCUAACCAAUUCCGAUUCUAAUUAGAGCCUUUGCAGUUAUCUAAUUGUUAAGACUCCUCAAGUAUUUAGAACCAUCUUUGCGCUUAAUCCUAAACAUAGAUGCUAACUCAUUUAAAGACACGUUGCGUAAAGAUUAAACAAGAAAACACUUUAGCACACGAGUCAAUCGGAAACAUGAUCUAAGGCAUGGCGUCACUCAUCCUAUUAGCAUGCAAAUUAUCAAAAUUAUAUCCGCCCUAAGUUAAUAACAGAGACCAAGACAACUUUGCGUAUGAAUCAAUCCAAAAUUAUUAUGGUAGAUGAAACCGCACCUUAAGGACAACCAUGGCCGAGGCAACCUCAAGGAUUGAUUUAGAUGCACGAAUUCAUGACAAUUAAUUAAUUAGAAAUAAAAAACACAUAAGAACAUGCUACUGCCCCAAAACCUAAAUCACGAAAUCAUCAUAUAUUCAAGAAGUUAUAAAUCAAAACAUAGAACAAUCAAAGAUCACAAAGAAAUCCGAAAACCUUGUUUGAUAAAUAAAACCAAAAUCGAAAAGUAUAUUACAAUAGAGUUCGAAACCAUAUAGAAAAUAAUACAAGAAGCCAUGAGAAAAUCACACUUUUACAACCUUGAAAGAUUCGGCAAGUGUGGGGAAAAUCGGUGGAAGGAUGGAAUGAUUCUUAUGGUUUGUGGUGGAUGAAACGGCUAAGUAAUUUUCUGUAUAGGGUUUGGUAGAGUUUCGGCUGUGUAAUUGCAAGGGUCGAGAUCAUCCCCUUCUGCCCUUGAAGUCAUGCUUUAUAUAGAGGAAAAACCCUAGAGAAGCCGGCCACAAAGUUGAAACCAAGUUGGUUUAGGUUUCCCUAGUUUUUCUCAAUUCGGCAGAAUGACCUCCGUCUGAUGAUUACGUCAUAACUCCCUCUAGAAAAUAGAUAUUGAGGUGAUUCCAAUUGAUUUGGAAACUAGACUCCCCUAGCUCUCUAUCCAUAUCUAGCACGUUUUCCGAUUCAUUGUGAGCUGUCCUGGAGAUUCCGUUGAAGUUGAGAGACGUCCACAUGAAUUUUCCCGAAAUUAAUCAGGGUUUUCAAGACUUGGAUAUUCCUUGAUAUUCUGCUGAAUUUAGAUUUUCUUCUCCAUAUUGGACUUGGUUUGGACCUCUCCUUUCAUGGAUUAGGCUUCGUGGAUCAGCUGCUUUGCAUCCCUAGGUCCAUCAAGAACACUUCUCUCGGCAAUGAUUCAAGCAUAAUUAACUUCAAUUCUCCUGAUUCUUUCUCCCAUAACUCUUCUACAUAUCACCUAAGUAUCAGAGAAGUUAAAUCAAUUUGUGACAAUGUAAAAGCUUUACAGAAUCAUAAGAACAUCAGGCUCCACAAAUCAGCUUUUGACAAUUUUCUACAUCAUUCCUCUAUGUUAAACACGUUUUACACACAACUCUACCAAAAACUUCCAACUCUACAUUAUGACUCUAUUCUACGACAAUAAGAGAUAAUCAAAGUACAAAUGGAGGUAAUAACAUAUUAAGAAUGUCGCAUUUUAUGCGCCUAUCACAUCCCGACCCUUAAAUUUUUACCUUAUUUACUAGCUUGGUUAUAAUAAGAAUUUUACCGUCUCCGUCAUUGAGAUAAUAGUUUAAUUGGUCCCUAAAGGGGUUUCAGGGACGGUUACGCUCGGAGGCUUAUUAUAUGUUUAUAAUCAAGGUGAUCACUUACAAAUAUUUUUAAGUAAAAGUUGUGUUUGAUCACUUCAUUUCAAAUCACUUCAAUUACAAGGAGUCUGACGAGUGUAAAUACAUACACUUAUAUAUGUUUAUAUAUAAUUUAGCUUGAGAGGCUGUAUUUUAUUAAGUUGUGGUGACUAGCCGGUGCUGGUCGUGAAGUUGCUAGUUUUUGAGUUGAGCACUUUUGAGCGAUUGCAUGCAGUAAAUUUUCUUUGGAAAUUAAAUUGGGGAAGCAUAAAGAAAUAUUUUUAUUUAAUUUAUUUUUGUUCACUCACUCUAACUGUUCCACAUGUUUUCCCCUGGGCCCUUCGUUUUAAAUUGCCUAGUCUGCAGAGUUCAGGUUGGACCUAGUAGGAGACGAGGCAUAGUUACCCGCUUUUCCGCCAGUUUUCAUCAGUAGGUUACCUGUUUAACCUACUAGUUUUUUCUUGCUUCCGCUAGUGUCUAGUAGCUCUGAAUACUUUGGGAUUAUUGUAAUUUAUGUUUAAAAUUUCUGAAGGUUAAUUAUGUGAUGUUUGGACGUGUUGUAUUAAGAGUGUAUUUUGGAAUUUUCGAGUUAGGGUUGUCCAUUUUCAAGGGAGAUUUUUAUCAAUCCUUUCAGUAAAUUUUCCUUAGAGGUGGUCCCCGCACGACUUACUCCGGGUUUCAGGGUGAAAUUCGGGGUGGGUCAUGUCAGUUGGUAUCAGAGCUAUAGGUUUCCUUUUCCUGCUUUCUUGUCACUAUCAUAUUUGCCUAAGUAGCACGUAGUGUCUAUAGAGUGAUGAUCCGACCGCGGCGGAUUCAUUGGCAUUUUAUGCUUUUGAUGUUAUGUGUUAUUGGGUAUAUGUGAUUGUUGUGUUAGUCUUGUUUAUGGACUACUAAAUUUCUUCUCCUUCAAGUACUAUGCCUCCUAGGCGCCCGCGGCAACCCCGUGUGGCCACUUCGACCAAUGCCGAUGAGGGCAAUGAGGUCAGGGGACUGGUUGAUGAUAUUGGAAAUAUGCUGAGGGAUGUCAUGGAUCGAGCUCCACGCCCUCCUGUUGUGAAAGGGAGAGAAGUUUUUGAUGCUGGAGCCAGAGAGUUCAAGGGUGGCAAGGGACCUCUUGAUGCUCACAAUUGGGUGGAUAAGAUGGAAAUGGCUUUUGCGAGCACUGAGCUGCCAGAAGAAAGAAAGGUGAAGAUAGCAGUGACUUUUCUGGAUGAUUCAGCACAUCACUGGUGGUCGCUUGCCAGCAUGAAUGUUGAGGAUGCGCUGAAUAUGUCGUAGGAGCAGUUUAAGACUCUCUUCUUGGGGCAGUAUUUCAAUCAUGCCCACCGCAGCAGAAUUCAAUCGGAUUUCCUGCAUAUGUCAAAGAGGGAUGAUGAGGGUAUCUUAGAGUUCCAGGAAAGGUUCACUUCCCUGAGCUACCAUGUGUCAUAUCUGGUUCCUGAUGAGAGGACCAGGAUUGAGAUGUUCAUUGAGGCACUUGGUGGAGUGUAUGCGCACAAGAUGACAGGGGUAAUUUACCCGACCUUUGAGGAUGCAGUUGGUGCAGCCAUGGCCAUUGAGUUUAGGGGGACAUAUGGAGUUCGGCCUCGUGAUUACGGUGGCCCUAGUCAAGGUCCAUCCAAGAAGGCUGUUUCAUCAUCCGCUUCUGGGUCUUCUGCUGGUAGUGGCAGUAGUGGGGGAUCGAGCUCUGGUGCUCGAAACAGGACUAUAGGACGUUUCAGGAGACCUUCUCGGAGUCAUUUGGGUAGGCAGCAGUCUGGGCAGUAUGGUUCUGGUGGUAGUUUCCAUGGUGGGUCAUCCGGUAGCCAGACUUUUUCUUAUGGGCAGCAGCAGUUUUUUGGGUGCUUUUGAGUGUGGUGGUCAAGACCACUUCAGGAGAGAUUGCCCAUUGUUGGCUCAGAGGACCACCCCCACCCCUACUCAGCCAGUUGGUCAGUCUUCAGCUGGAGGCUCCAGUAGUGGUGCCCAGGGCAGUGCAUCGGUCAGAGGUGGCUCUCAGCAGGGUGGUGGUCAGCGUGGACGUCCCAUGACUUGCGCUAGACUACAUGCUAUGACCCAGCAGGAGGGUCGUACUUCUCCAGAUCUCAUCAUUUGUACGUUAUUAAUUUUCGGUCAGCCUGCUUUUACUUUAAUUGAUCCCGGAGCCACGCAUUCAUUCAUGUCUAGUAGAUUUGCCCUCCAUGCCAAUGUGCUAUCAUCGUCUCUUCCAGGGGAGUGGCAUGUGUCUCUACUCUCCGGUGAGGUGAUGAGAAUAAAUUGGGUAUUUAGUGGUUGUGAAGUUUUAAUGGAAGGAGUUAAUUUCGAGGCUGAUUUAAUUCCUCUAGAUAUAGUGGAGUUUGAUGUGAUCUUGGGAAUGGACUUUUUGGAAGCAUAUAGAGCUAUGGUAGAUUGUUUUCAGAAAGUAGUGGUGCUUCGAAGUCCAGAUGGUUUUGAGGUUGCUUUCCAAGGGGAAAGAGAUGUUAUUUCUAGUUGCAUAAUUUCCGUUGUUGCUGCAAGAAAUUGUUGAGUAAAGGCUGUCAGGCAUAUUUAGCUCAUGUGGUGGAUACAAGUAUGGGAGUUGUGAGAUUAGAAGAUAUUCCAGUCGUAAGGGAGUUCCCGGAUGUUUUUCCUGAGGAGUUGCCUGGUUUGCCUCUUGCAAGGGAGAUAGACUUCUCUAUAGAAUUACUUCCUGAAACUAUGCCUAUCUCUCAGGCACCUUACAGAAUGGCUCCAGCGGAAUUGAAAGAUUUGAAGACUCAAUUGCAAGAGUUGGUAGAUAAGGGUUUUAUUCGGCCUAGCAUGUAUCCAUGGGGUGCUCCGGUGUUGUUUGUUAAGAAGAAAGACGGCACCAUGAGACUAUGCAUUGAUUAUAGGAAGUUGAAUCAGGUCACAGUGAAGAAUAUAUAUCCGUUGCCUCAGAUCGAUGAUUUAUUUGAUCAGUUGAGGGGUGCCUCUGUUUUCUCUAAGAUUGAUUUGAGAUCGGGUUUUCAUCAGUUGCGGAUCCGAGAGGGUGACAUAGCCAAGACUGCUUUCUGAUCACGUUAUGGUCAUUAUGAAUUUGUGGUGAUGCCUUUUGGACUUAUUAAUGCACCCGCGGUGUUCAUGGAUCUCAUGAAUAGGGUGUUUAGUCCAUAUCUUGAUCGUUUCGUGAUCGUAUUCAUAGAUGAUAUCUUGGUUUACUCAAGAAGUGAGAAGGAGCAUGCCAAGCAUCUAAGAAUAAUAUUGCGGACUUUGGAAAUACAAGGAGUCUAACGAGUGUAAAUACAUACACUUAUAUAUGUUUAUAUAUAAUUUAGCCUGAGAGGCUCUAUUUUAUUAAGUUGUGGUGACUAGCCGGUGCUGGUCGUGAAGUUGCCAGUUUUUGAGUUGAGCACUUUUGAGCGAUUGCAUGCAGUAAAUUUUCUUUGGAAAUUAAAUUGGGGAAGCAUAAAGAAAUAUUUUUAUUUAAUUUAUUUUUGUCCACUCACUCUAACUGUUCCACAUGUUUUCCCUUGGGCCAUUCGUUUUAAAUUGCCUAGUCUGCAGAGUUCAGGUUGGACCUAGUAGGAGACGAGGCAUAGUUACCCGCUUUUCCGCCAGUUUUCAUCAGUAGGUUACCUGUUUAACCUACUAGUUUUUUCUUGCUUCCGCUAGUGUCUAGUAGCUCUGAAUACUUUGGGAUUAUUGUAAUUUAUGUUUAGAAUUUCUGAAGGUUUAUUAUGUGAUGUUUGGACGUGUUGUAUUAAGAGUGUAUUUUGAAAUUUUCGAGUUAGGGUUGUCCAUUUUCAAGGGAGAUUUUAUCAAUCCUUUCAGUAAAUUUUCCUUGGAGGUGGUCCCCGCACGACUUACUCCGGGUUUCAGGGUGAAAUUCGGGGUGGGUCGUGUCAUCAGCUUUAUGCCGUUUGAGCAAGAAUCCAUCUUCACCUUCAAACAAGUCACAAACCGUCAAGAAAUGGCAAGCCAAACGACGAGUGAAGGUGAUUUUUAAGAAGUCUACAAGAAGCAUAAUGAACGAAGAAGCGGAGGAAUCCUUGUCAGUAAACUAUGUUUCUUUUGAAGAGCAACCAAGCAAAAAAGAAGACAAAGAGUUUAUUGACACAGCAGAGCCUGCCCCACCUCAAAUAGAAGCCGAAGGACAAGCUGCUAUCGAUGACCUUCAAGAGAUCAACCUUGGGACAGUAGAAGAGCCAAAACCCAUAUUUGUGAGCGCACUAUUAACACCAGAUGAACUAGGGGACUACAUGUAACAUGCCAGACCCAAUUUUACCUAUUUACUAGGUAUUCCAUGAGUUACUGAAGAAUUUAACCGUGCUCGGUAACCUAGUAAGGUAACACUCCAGUUUAUUUUCGAAUUUUUUUCUCAAAAUGUCAAACUCUUCUUUUAAGGUCCCGAUGUCGUAGUACGAAUCGUUUAGAGUUCGUCGGUGUCUUCAGAAUUGUUUUGCAGAGCUCCGGCUAGUAUUAAUUUGACUGAAAUUAGGGUAAUUUUUUAAGUUUUAAAGGAAAAGAGGUGGUGGACUUUGGUCAAAUGCCCAAAGGGGGUGUUGACCGGCUCUCUCACUCCUCUCCUCGACUCUCCCUCGUCUCUCAUCCUUGCCGCGCCAGAGUGGCGCCGUCCGGCCAUCUAUGGCGACAAGACCCCGCCAAUAUCUUCCUCUCCCUCUUCUUUACAAAGUCUAGCUUUCAAUUCACCCAAGCACGAACCCUGGAAAGAGAUCGACGGGAAGAAGCACAGCGGUCCUUCGGCGAGCCUUGUCAAUGUCGGCCACGUCUUGGCGCCCGAACGGUAGGGUUCGUCUCCUUUAUCCUUCUUCCCUCUUUCUUUGCCUUUGACUCUUCAAAUCGAGUUCAAAUUCGGAAAGCCCUCUUUUGUGUUUUUAGGUUUUCGUCGAGGUUUUCCGGCAAGUUCGUUCUUGGAGCUCCGGCGGUAUUUCCGAGCUCCGAUGAGUCUAGAAUCGGUUGAAUGGAGCCCAGACGUGUCUUGGGAAGGGUUGGAGGAAGCGAUGGUGGUUUUGAACCGAGGUAGAGGCUUUCUGGCGAAGGGGGGUCCCUUGUUCUUCUGUUGGUUCUCCGUUUCUGUCAAGGCAGAGGCUUGGUGUGUCACAUCCCGACCCUUAGAUUUUUACCUUAUAUACUAGCUUGGUUAUAAUAAGAAUUUUACCGUCUCCAUCAUUCAGGUAUAGUUUAUUUGGUCCCUAGAGGUGUUUUGAGGGACGAUUAUUUGCGGAGAAUAAUUCGUAUGAGAAAAAUAUGACGACGGUAAAAAUGGUAAAUUUUAGCUGGUAAAAUGUAAUUUUUAUUAGGGUAUUAUUUUUCGGGGUGUUUUAUUUUUUUUUGGAGUUGGAUUUAAUGGUGGAGUUGGACCGGUUGGAAAGGCCCAACCCAUUUCCCUCUCUUCUCUCCCGUUUUCCCCUCCCCCGAGUCUUCUUCCCUGCCGGAUCGUCCAACCAACGUCUGCCGCCGUCCGGCCAGCCACCGGCUGCCGCUCCAGCCCAGUUCGGAGCCCCGCCACCUCCUCUCCCUUCCCGGUCUAGUGCCCCUGCCGGUAACGCCGCCGAGCGGGAGUUUUCCCUCAGGAGACGUUGGACUAUCCUUUGCCGGAACUCCCUCCUCCGGCCACCAAAACCGGCGAUCCUUAGCUCAUUUUGUAGCCCUCCUCCCGUGCAGCAACCCCUCCAUAGAGCUCACCCUCUCUUGAGUUAGGUAAGGAGAAAUGUGGAGUUGAAAUUUCUUGGGCUUUUAGGAUGUUUUUAGUCGAUUUCCCUAGUUAGGCUUGGAAUUGGUGUUUGUGCUAGUUAAGAGAGUUGUAGAGCAUGAUGAGAGGAUUAUUUUGUCAAAAUUUCAUAGGCAUUGGAGGUCGCAAGAAUCGGCCGGCGGAGCCGGCGCCGGCGCUGGAGCUGUUUGGGAGAUUUUAAUGUUUUUAAAUUUGGAAUAUUAAGGGGAGUUUAUUGGAGUGAGUUAUGGAAUUUUUGGAUGAGUUUUGGAUAGGUUUGUGAAUUUUCGAAGUUUGGUAUUUUUGGUGGUUAAUUAAUGUAGAAUCCGGCCGUAGGAUUUAAGUCGUAUUCUGUGGGAUGUUGUAUUUACGGCUGCCGGUAUGUUCGGUGAAGUUGAGCCGUAUUGAGUUAAGAAUGGCAAAUUUGGGCAAUGAUGAGUGUGUGGGAGGCUCACGUUUAAUUUUGCCCAUUUUGUUUAAUUAUUGGAAAUUUCGACUGGGAAAUUAAUAUUGUAAUUGGAACAGGGCGAGAGGAGGCCCGAGCAGGAGGAAGCCUCGGAGCGUCAUCAGGCUUAGGCCUAAUUUGUGAGUGGACUUUUGUUUUAAUUGAAAAGCAUGCAAUGAAUUAUUUGUUGAUCAUUUAUUUCUUUUCCUGAGAUUUAUUUCUUUUUCGAAUAUUUGGUAAUUUUCCUCCUUUGGAGAGAUCCUGAAAAUGAGAUUUUCGGUGGAUAUGUUUAAUGGAUAUUGUGAGUAUAGUAUGUAUAUAAAUGCUAGUUAGCCAUACGUGCUUGAUCCGCCAUAAUAAGGUAAAAUACCAUUAUGGUGUGACGUGAGUAUUAGACACAAACGUAGUAGCCCUAUAUGAAAACUAUUUUCUUUUCUGGUUCAUAUAGGUUUUCAUAUAGGGAGUCCACACGUAUAUACACUUGUGCUUUUCCGCCAUACUGAGGUACAAUUCCAUUAUGGUGUGACGUGAGCGUUAGACGCAAGCGUAGUAGCCUUGUAUGAAUUUCUAUUUUGCUUAUUCCUUCAUAGAAUUCGUAUAAGGAGUAUGACGAGUAUAAAUACAUACACAUAUAUAUAUAUUUAUGAUUAUAUAUAAUUUAGCCUGAGAGGCUCCAUUUUAUUUGAGUUGGUGACUAGCCGGAGCUAGUCGUGAAAUUGCCAGUUUAUGAGUUGAAUACUUUUGAGCUACCGCAUGCAGUAUAUUUUUCUUUGGAAAUUAAAAUGGGGAAACAUAAAUAUGUUUAUUAAUUUAUUUUUGUCCACUCACUCUAACGGUUUCAAAUGUCUUUCCCUAGGCCCUUCGUUUUAAAAUGCCCAGUCUGCAGAGUUCGGGUUGGAUCUAGUAGGAGGCGAGGCAUAGUCACCCGCAUUUCCGCCUGUUUUCAUCAGUAGGUUACCUGUUUAACCUACUAGUGUUUUCUUGCUUCCGCUAGUGUUUUCUUGCUUCCGCUAGUGUUUAGUAGCUCUAAAUACUUUGGGAUUUUUGUAUAUUAUUUCGGUGGUGUGCUCGGUCGGUUGACUUUAUCUUUAGAAUUUCUGAAGGAUAAUGUUUGCUGUUUUUAGCUGGAUAAUAUUGUGAUGUUUGGACGUAUUGUAAUAAGAUCGUAAAUUUGAAAUUUUCAAGUUAGGGUUGUCCAUUUUCAAGGGAGGUUUUAUAAAUCUUUACGGUAAAUUUUCCUUGGAGGUGGUCCCCGCAAGACUUACUCUGGGUUUCAGGGUGAAAUUUGAGGUGGGUCGUGUCAGUUGGUAUCAGAGCUUUAGGUUUCCUUUUCCUGCUUCCUUGUCACUAUCAUAUUUGCCUAAGUAGCACGUAGUGUCUAUAGAGUGAUGAUCCGACCGCGGCGGAUUCAUUGGCAUUUUAUGCUUCUGAUGCUAUGUGUUAUUGGGUAUGUGUGAUAGUUGUGUUAGUCUUAUUUAUUGACUACUAAAUAUCUUCUUCCUCAGGUACUAUGCCUCCUAGGCGCCCACGGCAACCCCGUGUGGCUACUUCGACCAAUGCCGAUAUGGGCAAUGAGGUCAGGGGACUGGUUGAUGAUAUUGGAAAUAUGCUGAGGGAUGUCAUGGAUCGAGCUCCACGCCCUCCAACUGUGAAAAGGAGAGAAAUUUUUGAUGCUGGAGCCAGAGAGUUCAAGGGUGCCAAAGGACCUCUUGAUGCUCACAAUUGGGUAGACAAGAUGGAAAAUGCUUUUGCGAGCACUGAGCUGCCAGAAGAAAGAAAGGUGAAGAUGGCAGUGACUUUUCUGGAUGAUUCAGCACAUCACUGGUGGUCGCUUGCCAGCAGGAAUAUUGAGUAUGCUCUGAAUAUGUCGUGGGAGCAGUUUAAGACUCUCUUCUUGGGGCAGUAUUUCAAUCAUGCCCACCGCAGCAGAAUUCAUUCAGAUUUCCUGCAUAUGACGAAGAGGGAUGAUGAGGGUAUCUUACAGUUCCAGGAAAGGUUCACUUCCCUGAGCUACCAUGUGUCAUAUCUGGUUCCUGAUGAGAAGACCAGGAUUGAGAUAUUCAUUGGGGCACUUGGUGGGGUGUAUGCGGACAAUAUGACAGGGGUAAUUUACCCGACCUUUCCGGAUGCAGUUGGUGCAGCCGUGGCCAUUGAGUUCAGGGGGACAUAUGGUGUUCGGCCCCGUGAUUACGGUGGCCCUAGUCAGGGUCCAUCCAAGAAGGCUGCUUCAUCAUCCGCUUUUGGGUCUUCUGGUGGUAGUGGCAGUAGUGGGGGAUCGAGCUCUAGUGCUCGAAACAGGACUAGAGGACUUUUCAGGAGACCUUCUCGGAGUCAUUUGGGUAGGCAGCAGUCUGGGCAGUAUGGUUUUGGUGGUAGCUUCCAUGGUGGGUCAUCCGGUAGCCAGACUUUUUCUUAUGGGCAGCAGCAGUUUUCUGGGUGCUUUGAGUGUGGUGGUCAAGACCGCUUCAGGAGAGAUUGCCCAUUGUUGGCUAAGAGGACCACCCUCACCCCUACUCAGCUAGUUGGUCAGUUUUCAGCUAGGGGCUCUAGUAGCGGUGCCCAGGACUGCAUGCUAUGACCGAGUAGGAGGGUCGUACUUCUUCAGAUGUCAUCAUUGGUACGUUAUUAAUUUUCGGUCAGCCUGCAUUUACUUUAUUUGAUCCCGGAGCCACGCCUUCAUUCAUGUCUAGUAGAUUUUCCCUCCAUGCUAAUGUGCCAUCAUCGUCUCUUCCAGGCGAGUGGCAUGUGUCUCUACCCUCCGGUGAGGUGAUGAGAAUAAAUUGGGUGUUUAGUGGUUGUGAAGUUUUAUUGGAAGGAGUUAAUUUCGAGGCUGAUUUAAUUCCUUUAGAGAUAGUGGAGUUUGAUGUGAUCUUGGGAAUGGACUUUUUGGAAGCAUAUAGAGCUAUGGUAGAUUGUUUUCAAAAAGUAGUGGUGCUUCGAAGUCCAGAUGGUUUUGAGGUUGCUUUCCAAGGGGAAAGAGAUGUUAUUUCUAGUUGCAUAAUUUCCGUUGUUGCUGCAAGGAAAUUGUUGAGUAAAGGUUGUCACGCAUAUUUAGCUCAUGUGGUGGAUUCAAGUAUGGAAGUUGUGGGAUUAGAAGAUAUUUCCUAUUGUAAGGGAGUUUCCGGAUGUUUUUCCUGAGGAGUUGCCUAGUUUGCCUCCUGCAUGGGAGAUAGACUUCUCUAUAGAAUUACUUCCCGGAACUAUGCCUAUCUCUCAGGCACCUUACAGAAUGGCUCCAGCGGAAUUGAAAGAGUUGAAGACUCAAUUGCAGGAGUUGGUAGAUAAGGGUUUUAUUCGGCCUAGCAUGUCUCCAUGGGGUGCUCUGGUGUUGUUUGUUAAGAAGAAAGACGGCACCAUGAGACUAUACAUUGAUUAUAGGAAGUUGAAUCUGGUCACAGUGAAGAAUAAAUAUCCGUUGCCUCGGAUCGAUGAUUUAUUUGAUCAGUUGAGGGGUGCCUCUGUUUUCUCUAAGAUUGAUUUGAGAUCGGGUUGUCACCAGUUGCGGAUCCGAGAGGGGGACAUAACCAAGAAUGCUUUUCGGUCACAAUAUGGUCAUUAUGAGUUUGUGGUGAUGCCAUUUGGACUUACUAAUGCACCCGCGGCGUUCAUGGAUCUCAUGAAUAGGGUGUUUAGUCCAUACCUUGAUCGUUUCGUGAUCGUAUUCAUAGAUGACAUCUUGGUUUACUCAAGAAGUGAGAAGGAGCAUGCCAAGCAUUUAAGAAUAAUAUUGCGAACUUUGGAAAAUUCGCAGUUAUUUGCUAAGUUUAGCAAGUGUGAGUUUUGGCUAGAUAAAGUGGGGUUUUUGGGUCAUGUGGUUUCGGCAAAAGGAGUUAGUGUGGAUCCCUAAAAGGUGGAAGCAGUGUCGAAUUGGAGAAGACCCACCACUGUGACAGAGAUUCGUAGUUUCUUGGGAUUAGCUGGUUAUUAUCGGCGCUUUGUGAAAGAUUUUUCAAAGAUUGCUGCUCCUCUUACAAGAUUGACCAGGAAGGGGGUUAAGUUUGAAUGGUCAGACCAAUGUGAGCAAAGUUUCCAAGAAUUGAAGAAUUGCUUGACAAGUGCUCUUGUUUUAGCACUUCCGGAUGAUAGUGGAGAGUAUGUGGUUUAUUGUGAUGCUUCUAGACGUGGUCUAGGUGGAGUUUUGAUGCAGCAUGAUCGAGUUAUUGCGUACGCUUCUAGGCAAUUGAAGCCGCAUGAGGGGAAUUAUCCUACUCAUGAUCUGGAGCUUGCAACGGUAGUUUUUGCUCUCAAGUUGUGGAGACACUAUCUUUAUGGGGCCAAGUGUCAGAUUUUUACUGAUCACAAAAGUCUUCGGUAUGUAUUCACUCAAAGAGAGCUAAAUAUGAGACAGAGAAGGUGGAUAGAGUUAAUCAAUGAUUAUGAUUGCACUAUUGAGUAUCAUCCUAGAAAAGGUAAUGUGGUAGCUGAUGCUCUUAGUCGAAAUCCCUCCAUAUCUUUUUCUCAUAUAAAGGUGGUUUGUGUUCCGCUUCUUUGUGAGUUGCGAGCUACAGGGGUGGAUCUAGCAGUAGAUGAGGUUGGUGCUUUGGUAGCCAGUUUUCAUGUGAGGCCAGUUUUGGUUGAUAGAGUGCGGGAAGCACAGAAUUGUCACAUCCCGACCCUUAUAUUUUUACCUUAUUUACUAGCCUGAUUAUAAUAAGAAUUUUACCGUCUCCGUAAUUGAGUAAAUAGUUUAAUUGGUCCCUAGAAGGGUUUCGGGGACGAUUAUGUGCGGAGGAUUAUUCGUAUGAGGAAAAUACGACGACGGUAAAAAUGGUAAAUUUUAGCUAGUAAAAGGUAAUUUUUAUUCGGGUAUUAUUUUUUCGGGGUGUUUUUAUUUUUGGAAUUUGGGUUGAUAUAGGUUGGACCGGUGGAGGCCCAACCCAUUUCUUUUUCCUUCUCCCUUUCUCUUCUUCCCUCUUUUCUUUUCCUCUCCCCGAGCCUCCCGCUGCCCGGUUUUCCGGNNNNNNNNNNNNNNNNNNNNNNNNNNNNNNNNNNNNNNNNNNNNNNNNNNNNNNNNNNNNNNNNNNNNNNNNNNNNNNNNNNNNNNNNNNNNNNNNNNNNNNNNNNNNNNNNNNNNNNNNNNNNNNNNNNNNNNNNNNNNNNNNNNNNNNNNNNNNNNNNNNNNNNNNNNNNNNNNNNNNNNNNNNNNNNNNNNNNNNNNNNNNNNNNNNNNNNNNNNNNNNNNNNNNNNNNNNNNNNNNNNNNNNNNNNNNNNNNNNNNNNNNNNNNNNNNNNNNNNNNNNNNNNNNNNNNNNNNNNNNNNNNNNNNNNNNNNNNNNNNNNNNNNNNNNNNNNNNNNNNNNNNNNNNNNNNNNNNNNNNNNNNNNNNNNNNNNNNNNNNNNNNNNNNNNNNNNNNNNNNNNNNNNNNNNNNNNNNNNNNNNNNNNNNNNNNNNNNNNNNNNNNNNNNNNNNNNNNNNNNNNNNNNNNNNNNNNNNNNNNNNNNNNNNNNNNNNNNNNNNNNNNNNNNNNNNNNNNNNNNNNNNNNNNNNNNNNNNNNNNNNNNNNNNNNNNNNNNNNNNNNNNNNNNNNNNNNNNNNNNNNNNNNNNNNNNNNNNNNNNNNNNNNNNNNNNNNNNNNNNNNNNNNNNNNNNNNNNNNNNNNNNNNNNNNNNNNNNNNNNNNNNNNNNNNNNNNNNNNNNNNNNNNNNNNNNNNNNNNNNNNNNNNNNNNNNNNNNNNNNNNNNNNNNNNNNNNNNNNNNNNNNNNNNNNNNNNNNNNNNNNNNNNNNNNUAUUAUUUUAUUUUGUCCACUCACUCUAACGUUAUUAAAUGUUUUCCCCUGGGCCCUUCGUUUUAAAUUGCCCAGUCUGCAGAGUUCGGGUUGGAUCUAGUAGGAGACGAGGCAUAGUCACCCGCAUUUCUGCCAGUUUUCGCCAGUAGGUUACCUGUUCAACCUACUCGUGUUUUUCUUGCUUCCGCUUGUGUUUAGUAGCUCUGAAUACUUUAGAAUUUUUGUAUAUUAUGUGUUAAAUUAAUAGUGUAAUUAAUUUUCGAGUUAGGGUUGUCCAUCUGCAAGGGAGAUUUUCUCAAUCUUUUCAGUAAAUUUUCCUUGGAGGUGGUCCCCGCACGACUUACUCUGGGUUUCAGGGUGAAAUUCGGGGUGGGUCGUGUCACAGAAUAAUGAUCCUUCCAUAGUUCGAUUGAUAGAGAGAGCUUUGAGCGGAGCCGCAGCUGAUCAUUUCUCAGUCAGAAGGGAUGGGACUUUAUUGUUUAAGAAUCGGCUUUGUGUUCCAAAAAGAAAUAAAGAGUUGAAGAGUGAGAUAAUGGAGGAAGCUCAUAGUUCUGCUUAAUUAUGCUGCUCAUCCGGGUAGCACAAAAAUGUAUCGGAUUUUGAAGGGUUAUUAUUGGUGGCCAAACAUGAAGAGAGAAAUUGCAGCUUAUGUGAGUAGAUGUCUGAUUUGUCAGCAAGUAAAAACUGAAAGGCAGAAGCCUUCUAGAUUGCUUGAGUCGUUGCCUAUUCCAGUAUGGAAGUGGGACCACAUCACCAUGGAUUUUGUUUUCAGUUUACCUCAUACCCGUGAAGGGCAUGACGGUAUUUGGGUGAUUGUGGAUAGACUCACCAAGUCUGCACAUUUCUUGCCAGUGGGAAAGAAGUUCAAAUUGGAUAAAUUAGCGGAGCUUUAUGUGAAUGAAAUUGUGAGGCUUCAUGGUGUUCCUGAAUCAAUAGUGUCAGAUCGAGAUCCUAGAUUUGCUUCUAAAUUCUGGGGAGCUCUUCAAGCAGCUUUAGGUACCCAAUUACUCUUCAGCACUGCUUUUCAUCCUCAGACUGAUGGGCAGUCCGAGAGGACUAUUCAGACUUUGGAGGAUAUGUUGAGGGCUUGUGCUUGGCAGUUUAGAGGAAGUUGGGAUAAAAACCUAUCUUUGAUGGAAUUUGCCUAUAAUAAUAGCUUUCAUUCUAGCAUUGGUAUGGCUCCCUUUGAGGCUCUUUAUGGGAGGCAGUGUCGCACGCCUUUGUGUUGGAAUGAAGUAGGGGAAAAAGAGAUUUGUGGCCCAGAGUUAAUCCAUGCUACGAAUGAGAAGAUUAAAGUGGUCAGGGAUAGACUCAAGACCGCUCAAAGUAGGCAGAAAAGUUAUGCAGAUGUCCGUAGGAGAGAUCUUGAGUUUCAAGUGGGUGAUUGGGUGUUCUUGAAACUAUCUCCUUGGAAAGGGGUAGUACGUUUCGGUAAGCGUGGGAAGCUUAGUCCGAGGUAUAUUGGCCCUUAUAAGAUAAUAGAGCGAGUUGGCUCACUUGCUUAUCGAUUAGCCUUGCCUCCAGAGUUAUCCAAGAUACAUAAUGUGUUUCAUGUAUCCAUGCUUCGCAAGUAUAUCGCCGAUCCUUCUCAUGUGCUACAAGAGCAGCCGAUCAGUUAACGAAAGAUUUGUCUUAUGAAGAGGAUCCGGUUCAGAUUCUUGAUCGAAAGGAGCAAGUGCUCAGAAACAAGACAAUCCCACUUGUCAAGGUGUUUUGGAGAAGUUAUCAAGUAGAAGAAGCUACUUGGGAAUCAGAGAAGCAAAUGAUGCAGCAGUAUCCCUAUCUCUUCAAAUGACAGGUGUGUAAAUUUCGAGGACGAAAUUUUUAUAAGGAGGGGAGAAUUGUCACAUCCCAACCCUUAGAUUUUUACCUUAUUUACUAGCUUGGUUAUAAUAAGAAUUUUACCGUCUCCAUCAUUCAGGUAUAGUUUAUUUGGUCCCUAGAGGUGUUUUGAGGGACGAUUAUUUGCGGAGAAUAAUUUAUAUGAGAAAAAUAUGACGACGGUNNNNNNNNNNNNNNNNNNNNNNNNNNNNNNNNNNNNNNNNNNNNNNNNNNNNNNNNNNNNNNNNNNNNNNNNNNNNNNNNNNNNNNNNNNNNNNNNNNNNNNNNNNNNNNNNNNNNNNNNNNNNNNNNNNNNNNNNNNNNNNNNNNNNNNNNNNNNNNNNNNNNNNNNNNNNNNNNNNNNNNNNNNCCGGCAAGGAGAGAGGGAGGGAAUCGGGAGAGAGAGAGAGGAAAAAGAGGGAGAGAGUGUUGGGCUUUCUCCACACAACCGGUCCUAAACCACCAAAUAAACCCAACUCCAAUAAUUAACACCCCAAAAUAAAACCUUUAUAAAAAUUACCUUUUACUAGCUAAAAUUUACCAUUUUUACCAUCGUCACGAUUUCCUCCUACGAAUAUUUCCGCUGAAAUAAUCGUCCCUCAAAACCCCUCUAGGGACUAUUUAAACUAUAAACUCAUUGACGAAGACGAUAAAACUCUCAUUAUACCAAGCUAGUAAAUAAUGUAAAAAUUUAAGAGUCGGGAUGUGACAAUUCUCCCCUCCUUAUAAAAAUUUCGUCCUCAAAAUUUACAUAAUUGACAUCAAAGAGGAAAGGAUACUGCUGCCUCAUUUGCUCCUCCAAUUUCCAAGUAGUUUCCACUACUUGAUGACUUCUCCACAGAACUUUAACAAGAGGAAAUGAUUUGCUUCUAAGCACUUGCUCAUUUGGGUCAAGAAUCUGAACCGGCUCCUCAUCAUAGGUCAAAACUUUCUUCAAAUUAAUCGGCUGGUCUUGCAACACAUGAGAGGGAUCGGCAAUAUACUUGCGAAACAUGGAUACAUGAAACGUGUCAAGACCCACCCCGAAUUUCACCCUGAAAUCCGAAGUAAAUCCUGCGGGGACCACCUUCAAGGAAAAUUUACCGAAAAUUCGGCAUAACCUUCCUUGAAAAUGGACAACUAUUUCUUGAAAAAAAAAAAAUCAAACUUAACACUUCUAUAAUCAAACCUCCAUCCUCAACUCCUGGAGCCUUCCUGCUUCCCAAGUUUAACACAUCUCCUAGUAUAUUAAAUACUAAACUUCGGGAAUUCCACAACCAACAACAAAGACAUCAUUUAUUCACUAACAGGUUAUCAGAGCAUAUCUAGUAAUGAAAAAAUAACAAUAAAUAAAGAUUAAGCGGAAGCAGCCUCUGACUAUGUCUCGACUCCAUGUACGCUCAACCUCAAUUAACUUAGCCAGCAAACUGGGCAUUUUUAAACCUAAGGGCCCAGGGGAAAGUAAUUUAAAAAUGUUAGAGUGAGUGGACGAAAAAUAAAUUCAAUAACUUAACAAUUAUAAAAUUUAAAUAUUUUCCCACUUUUCAACUGUUAAAACUUAACAGCAUGCAACUUAAAUGUCCUUAAAACUUUAAAUCCAAAAUCAUUUAAUAAAGGACAAACCAACCCCGCUGGUUAAUUAAAACAGAAAUCUCAUACGAGAAGAUAAACCAGCCUCGCUGGUUAAUCAAUUAUAUUAUUGAGAAGAAUAAAAUAAGGGGAAGAGUUAUCACCACAAAAAAGAGCCUCCCAGGCUCUGGUCGAUGCCUCCCAGGCUAAAAUAGCGACCCACGCUAAGCGCUCAACUCACAUAUGAUGAGGACCACUAAAUAAGGCUAUAAUAUCGUCCCACGUUAAGUGCUCAACUCACAUAUGAUGAGGACCGCUAAUAAGGCUAGCUAACUAAUAAAUAUAAAUACCGAUCGGUUGCCUCCCAGGCUAUAACAGCGUCCCACACUAGGCGCUUUACUCACAUAUGAAGAGGACCACUAAUAAAGCUAUAAUAGCGACUCACAUAUGAUGAGGACCGCUAAUAAGGUUAGCUAGCAAUAAUCAAUAUAAAAGCGACCCUAUAUUAUGGAGACUAAAAUUAUACGAAGUCACUUAAAUCCAUUAAACUUCCCCAAUAUCAAAUGAAUGGUACGGUUCCCAACCGUAUUUGAAAAUCAUCAUAAGAAAUUAUACUAAAACUCAAUGACGUGUCUCACAUGUCAAAAUAUUCUCGAAACCAUAUUAUAAGCGAGAUUUCAAUAUCAAAUAUAAAUCAUAAAUAACAAUAUCUCCACUCGAAAAUACUCGCUAAAAUAUUCUCCAAGUCAAAAUCAUUAUGCCUCAAAUAAACAAUUAAAUUAUGAUGGAGAACUACCGAAAAUCCCAUUUUCGGUAAUCAAUUAUUAAUCCCAAAGUCACCAUUAAAUCAAUCACAAUGAAAUCCGAAAUUUAUAAAAUAACCAAACUCAAAUAUCAAAUUAAUAAUCCGAGCUUAAAUCCAUAAAUCAUGACCAAACGUUAAUCAAUGCAUCACACUCAAAUAAUUUUCAAGAUCCUCUCAUGAGCCGAAAAUUAUAAUAUAUGCUCGGAAAAAUAAAAUGAUAAUUUAUAAAAUCUUACAUGCAUAUUUAAUUAAACCAAAAUGUCCACUCACAACUUUAGGCAUAAGCCCGACGAUAACCGCAUCGCUACUCAAGCGAGGUUCCCUUCGCAUCCUGGCACAACAACUAUGCUUAGAACCAAACUUCAAUUCCAGAAAAUAAAUACAUGAAUAAAAACAUCCAACUCUCUUCCGUUUAACCCACUACUCUUAAUAGGGUUAAACUCGCCGAAUUCGCACCAAACUCCACCACAACCUUAAUUCAUCAAUUCUAACAUUCUAUAAAAAAAUACCAAGGAAAUCCAACGGCCGGAUUUUUAUUCUAAUAACCGGCAAAAUCCUUAAUCUUUUAAAAAUCCCAAACCUUAUCAAAACUCCUCCAAAAAUUCCAAACUUCACAUCAUUAAACUCCCCUUAACAUAACACAUUUAAAACCCUGAAAAGCCCCCUUACAGAGGCCGGCGGCCAACUCCGGCGACCCCCGAUGGCUACCAAAUUUUAACAACAUCUUCCUCUCAACAUCCCAAACAACUUUCAUAACUAUCACUAAGUCCAAUUUCAAGCUUAAACAUGUCAAUCGAACAAAAACACAAUCAAGAACCCUAGAAGAUUCAAACCUCCGAUUCUCCUUACCUAGCUCGAGUUAGGAUGAAUCCUUUUAGGGUUUUUCUGCUGGGAGGGAGAGCUUCAAGUUGAGACCAACAGCUCCGGCUAUGGUGGCCGGAAAAGAGAUUUUCCGACGAAAACCCCACCACGCACAGUCGCGGCUUUCCGGCAUGAUUUCUCCUUCACGGCGGCGCGACAACGACUGCCACCUACCUAGACAUGUAGAGGAUGCUCCAAGCUUCAAAUCGAUACCAAGCACGCCACCUAGCUCGGCCGGACGGCGGCGGAUGGAGGUGAUGAAGUUGCCGAUCGGAGGAGAGGCGCGGGAGAGAGAAGAGAGACUGAGCGGGGUGAAACUGAUUUCUUACCUUACCCAUCCGGUAAGUUUCCAUUUUUAUACCCCCAACCAAAAUAAUAACUCUUGUUUUUAUACCAUAACUUAUUCAUACGAACUCCUAUUUAAGUGUGCCACGCGUUUGCGAACUCCGCUUAACGUCCUCUACAACUUUCAUGAAGAAAGUUUUUACAAAUUUUAGACGAAAGAAAAAGUCAACUUUUGGAGCCUUAAAUAGUAAACGGUUACUCAAAACGGUAAAAGCCAAAGUAACCUAAAAGUAAAUAACCGCAAAUUGACUUAAGAACCGGGAUGUGACAAAACACAUUAUGUAUCCUGGAUAAUUCUGGAGGCAAAACUAACCGAAAAACAAGUGAACCGACUCGCUUUAUAAUCUCAUAAGGAACAAUUCAUUUCGGACCAAUAUAUCUCGGGCCAAGCUUCCCACGUUACCAAAACGUACUACCCCUAUCUAAGGAGAUAAUUUUCGAAAACACUCACUUGAAACUCAUGGUCCUUCCUGCGGACAUCUUUAUAACACUUCUGACUACUUUGAGCUGUUUUAAGUCUAUCUCUAACUCCUUUAACCUUUUCAUUUGCAUACUGAAUUAUUUUUAACCUUCGCAAUGACUCUAAAUCCUUCGUUGAACUACCACUAACGUUUACACGUAAAUGGGUUCAGUGAUACCUGCUCCAGAGUACGAGUACCCGUAGGUAUGCACACUCUUUCCUGAGCAAUGGAAAUAGCUAACCCAAAUAAAGCACAUAAAUUUGCUAUCACCAUCAAGCUCAAACCUCCUAACGUCACGCAACAACCUCGUCAUUACGCUGCUCACAACUCGACAAUGAAGCCCACUUGUUAGGAAACUAAAGUUCACUCAUUCCCACAUGCUCAUAGGGGUCAAAAUUAAGACCCGCUAAUUGAAUAGAUUAAAGGAUACACACACUGCAGAACUGCAACAAUCACUUCUAAUGAUGAGACAUUUCGCAGAGUCUUUCACGGAGUCAAAGUUCUCGCAAGUCCAUAAGACCACCUUGCUCUGCCUAAGUGACCAGUCCACCAACAAAUGAUGACCUCGAAGCUCGAAAAUACAUUAUGAAAAGCUCAAUACUACUACCCUUAGGUCUCUCCACCAAAACUAUUACAUUACCAUUUUGCGAACCACAAACUAGCAGCUUAUGGGAAUUCCAACUCUUCCUUGAUUCUGCUAUCUCCACUAUUCUCUUUACCUCAAACCAGAAGAUAAUCUGAAGCAUGAUUAUCAUGUGGAGACUAGAAUUUCCUCCUUGCUCGCCAUAAACAAAACUGACUAAUAAUGCCCACGAAAAAUUGGCACAGUCAAUUCAUGAUGUUGAAAUCCACAUAAAUAGAACACCUUCCUUAAGCAUUGACAGAAUUUACAUCUCUAGCCAUGCUACUUAUUCGGGUGCAACCGCGACCCCAAAUUCAAUAGAUAAAAAUUAUACAGCUCACUUUAGCCGUUAAACGAGAUUUAAAAUCCCAAAACUACACAACACACUUUUUCUUUCUACCUCUAUUAACAAUUAAUUUGACAACAUAAUACGAUCUGAAAAUCAGAUAUGCUCAAGUCUCCUACAUAUUCCAGGCGCCACAGCUUCCCGCCAAAAAGAUUCUCUGAUAAUCCGAGCUCACAGCAACAAGUUAACCAUCGAAUAUAAAAGUUAAUUUCCAUACCAGGCCCACUACUACACUUGUGGCUCACCAACCAACGAAAACUAUAUAUUCAAGAAAAAGCCAAAACUCAUGGCUAAACUCAAUUCAAGCUCCAAAAGAAAUAAUUUAAAGCAUAUGAAAGAUAAGUCCCCCAACUUCGAACUUAAAAGUUUCACCACUAACCCGUUUCGAAUAUGAACUAGAAACCAAAAUUUAAUAGAGUGAUUUCAACUACUCACCCUGAUAUCAACGGAUGGACACACAUCCAGAUAGCGAUGACCUUCCAAAACAAACCUGAGUUAGCAAGUGGUCCCACCAAAAUACGAUCUCGAGAAAAGACAUCGCUCGACUUACCAAUAUCUCUACUAACCACAACAUUGAAACUCUUAAUAAACCUUGACUCGAAAGCUUCUUGAGUCAACAGGGGAAAAACCCUCUUCCAUAACACUACAACAUAAAAUAUACCUACAACGACACAAACCAUCUAAUCAACAUCACCACGCGACUCUCAGACUACCACAUAGGACUCACGACUCCAAGAUUCAUCACUUAAUUGAACUCCAGCUCACUUGGGAUCACGAUUGGAUUUAUCCAUGAUCCAUGUCUACAACACAACAACCAAUUUAUCAUUUGUCUCAAAAAAAAUUCGACAAACUAACCAGAAUCUCUAACCUUCAAAUCGAAGAGUUUGAAUUCGCACUUCAUAAAUUCAAGCUCUGAGGAUGCUACCCAAAAACUACAGUAGGAAUGAUUUAAAUAUUCCCACACACACCACAACCAAAAAUUCUGCACCAUCUCACCGAAUUAUAAAUAAGGUGAGUGAACAUAUUCUCCCAUCAAUGUGUCGUAGUUAGUCACCAAAUGCUAACGAAGUGAUGACAAUGAACCAACUUUGAUCACAAAUUCAAGACUUAUUUCAACUAUUCAGAACGACACUGCUUAAAAUUACUAUGGACACCCACGCCCUUUUGAUCCUUGAUUCAAUGGGCUUUAUUCCACAACUGCCACUUCCACCAACUCCAUGAAACUGAAUUAAAAUAAACAUGACAAUGCAAAAUAAGAUCACCAUCGGUUGUUGAAAAGCCGGAGUGACCACAACCAUCCCGCUCUCACUCCACCAUUACUUUUCAAUUCCAUUUACAUUAUCAACUUCCCAAACACUCAGCAAAUCUAGAGAUCAAACUUCAACACCUAGAAUUCCGAAAGGAUCCAUAAAGGCCACACAAUUUAAAAAUACUAUAACCGAUAAAUGCCACUCGACUCUUCAAAGCUUGCUUGCAAUUCGAAACAUUUAAUAACACCAUUCAAUUCCUUAAAUUCUCUUACUAUAACGCAAGAUUACAUAUGUCACAACGCUAUACCAUGGGCUAUUGAAAAACCAACAACCCCAAAAAAUAAUUCGGAAGUCAUUACACCGAGCGCCUCAACCAACUCCAGCUAAUUCACAAUAUAGACAAAGUCAUCCGAAUCUUAUUGUUUAUCGACUACUAAUAGCCGUCAUUCUCAAAAUAUUCCCACUACUCUCUUAAUAUAAUGCUCUAGGAAAAAGAACAUAUUCAUAAUUAGAGCUGCAGGAACCAGAACAUAUACCGCCACAACCAAUGUUAUCCCAACAUAUUCCCAAAAGUCACGAACUUGAUACCAAGAUCUUCCACCGGAUAUCUACAACUCCAUACUUGCCCACAAUAAAUAGGAAACUCUAAGACAUGCAUCGAAUCAAACCUUUCACCUACUACAGAUUCGCACAAGAUGUUCACCCUAACAUCUUAAUCAUAAUCAAACCAAUCAUUGGUCAAAUGAAAGGAAUGCUACUACGCAUAUGAGUUCCCAACCGGAGUUCUCAACUCGCAAUUGAACACUUAACAAUUUAAGAUAUCAACUUGAUAACCCUUGGAAAAGGCAUAAUCCAUACACCUUUCCAUUACUCAAAGCAUAAAGAUUACCCAAGAUGUCGGUGUACGGAGGCAUAGUCUUGAAGAUAUAAACAUUUAUGGCACAAUACUGUCCAUAAAUAAGACAAGAAUAACUACCUCACAACCCUAAUCAACACAUAGUGUCUAAAGCAUAUAAUGCUAAUAGAUCCGCCGCGGUCGGACCAUCACUCUAUAGACACUAAGUAUGACUAAGAAUAUGAGGUAGUACUAAAAAGAGAACAGAAUCGAAUAUCCUAGUGCUCUGAAACCAACUGACAGGACCCAACCUGAAUUUCACCUUGAAACCCGAAGUAAAUCUUGCGGGGACCACCUCCAAGGAAAGUUUACCGAAAAUUCGGCAUAACCUCCCUUGAAAAUGGACAACCCUUCCUAAAAAAAAACCUACAUACACUUUUGAUAAACCAAAUCCAACCUUAAACUCCUGGAGCCUUUAUGCUCCCACAAAUCACAACAUCUCCCAAUUAUUUACUAACUUUAAUAAGAAUAAUCCCACAACCAACAAUCAUAGUUCAGAGCAAUUCUAAUUGAGAGGAAAUGAACUAGAAAUUUAGAAAUGAGCGGAAGCUAUACUAUUGACUAUGCCUCUUCUUCAUGUACGCUCGACCUCAACUAUGCUAACCUGCAAACUGGGCAUUUUUUUAAAACGAAGAGCCCAGGGGAAAACAUUUGAAACCGUUAGAUUGAGUGGACAAAACUAAAUUUAAAAAGAAAUAAAUCUUUAUGCUUUCCCGAUUUAACUUCUGUGGAAAUACAAUUAACGGCAUGCAAAAAGCUCAAAAGCUUUUAAAAAUUUACCGAAUUUACCGAAACGCGACUAGCCGCGCUAGUCACCAACACUUAAUAAAAAAAAUAGAGCCUUUCAGGCUAAAAUAUAUUAUGUAUGUAUUACACUCGUCAUAUCCCUUAUAUGAAUUUUCUUGAAGCAACAAAGACAAAUAGAAAUCCACACAAGCCUACGACGCUUGCGUCUAAUGCUCACGUCGCACCAUAAUGGAAUUUUACCUCAUUAUGGUGGAAAAGACGGUGUAUAAAUAUAUAUGCGCAUAUCCCCUAUAUAAAUUAUUAUAUUUAUACAGGGCUACGACGAUUGCGUCUAACGCUCACGUCGCACCAUAAUGGAAUUUUUCCUCAUCAUGGUGGAAAAACAUGUAUAGCUAGCUAGCAUUUCUUUAUAUACAUAUUAUUCUAAUAAUCAUCCAAAUAUGGAUACAUAUAUAUACUCACCAUUCUCAAUUUCGGUUCUUCUCUAACAACGUAAAUUAUUUCGCAUGCACAUUAUUGAAAACAAAAGUCCACUCACAACUUUAGGCCUAAGCUUGACGUCGAUCCGAGGUCUCUUCUGCUUGAGCCUCCUCACGUCAUUUUUCCAAAUGUAAAAUUAAUUUCCCAACUAAAAAUCCAAAUAUUUAUACAAAAUAGGCAAAAUUAAACGUGAGCCAUAACCAUGCUCAUCAUUGCCUAACUUCGAUAUUCCUAAAUCGAAACGAUCCAAACUUUAAUACCAUAAUCGGCAGCCAUAAACACAAUCUCCCACAGAUUUAACGACUUUAAUCCUACAGCUGGAUUCUACAUUAAUUACCCGCCAAAAAAUACCAAACUUCGUAAAUUCACAAACCUAACCAAAACUCUUCCAAAAAUUCCAUAAUUCACAUCAAUAAACUCCCCUUAAUAUUCCACAUUUAAAACCAUAAAAAUUUCCCACACAACGGCGACCGGAGGCCGACUCCGGCGACCUCCGAUGCCUAUGAAAUUUUGACAGCAUCUUCCUCUCAACCUACUCUACAACUUUUCUAACUAGCACAAACACUAAUUCCAAGCUUAACUAGGCCAAUCAAACGAAAAAACCCAAAUAAGCCCAAAAACUUCUACUCACCGGUUCUCCUUACCUAGACCAAGAGAGGAUGAGCCCUUUGGAGGGAUUGAUGCACGGGACGAGAGCUUCAUUUUGAGCCGAGAAGCUCCGGCUAUGGCGACCGGAGGAGUGAGUUCCGGCGAGAGAACCACCAAGGCAGUUGGACCUUUCGGCUGCAUUUUCUCUCCCACGGUGGCACUAGGGAGGCUGCCACUGGUCCAAGACGGAAGCUAGGUCGAGGGCCGACUAAUCGAGACCGGAGCGGCGUUCUCAGGCGGCCGGACGACGGUAAACGGCUGGAUAGAAAAUCCGGCAAGGAGAGAGGGAGGGAAUCGGGAGAGAGAGAGAGAGAGGAAAAAGAGGGAGAGAGUGUUGGGCUUUCUCCUCCCAACCGGUCCUAACCCACCAAAUAAACCCAACUCUAAUAAUUAACACCCCAAAAAUAAAACUUUGAUAAAAAUUACCUUUUACUAGCUAAAAUUUACUAUUUUUACCGACGUCACAAUUUCCUCCUACGAAUAUUUCCUCCGAAAUAAUCGUCCCUCAAAACCCCUCUAGGGACUAUUUAAACUAUAAACACAUUGACGAAGACGGUAAAACUCUUAUUAUACCAAGCUAGUAAAUAAGGUAAAAGUUUAAGAGUCGGGAUGUGACAGUAUGUAUAUAAAUGCUAGCUAGCCAUACGUGCUUGGUCCGUCAUAAUGAGGUAAAAUUCUAUUAUGGCGUGACGUGAGUGUUAGACACAAGCGUCAUAGCCCUAUAUGAAAACUACUUUCUUAUCUGGUUUAUAUAGGUUUUCAUAUAGGGAGUCCACACGUAUAUAUACACCCGUCCUCUUCGGUCAUAAUGAGGAAAAAUUCCAUUAUGGUGCGACGUGAGCGUUAGACGCAUGGAGUAUUUUUCUAAUUUGUUUCUACGAUUCAUACAAGGAGUUUGACGAGUGUAAAUACAUACGCAUAUAUGUUUAUAUAUAUAAUUUAGCCUGAGAGGUUCCAUUUUAUUGAGUUUUGGAGACUAGCUGGAGCUAGUCAUGUUUUGGCCAGUGUGUGAGUAGAAAGCUUUGAGCUGUCGCAUGCAACAUAAUUUCUAUGGAAAUUAAAUUGGGAAAGCAUAAAGAAUUAUUUCUUUUAAAUUUAUUUUUGUCCACUCAAUCUAACAUUUUUCAAUUGCUUCUCCCCUGGGCCCUUCGUUUUAAAAUGCCUAGUUUGCAGGUUAGUUUAGUCGAGGUCGGGCGUACUUGGAGUCGAGGCAUAGUUCGUAUUACAGCUUCCGCUUAUUUGUUUAUUUUGUUUCUUUAUUCCUUUUAGAGUUGCUCUGAACCAAUGAAUUGUUUGUUGUGGGAUUAUAUUUAGAUUAGUGAAUAAAUUGAGAGAUGUUGUGAUUUGGGGAGCACGAAGGUUCCAGGAGUUUAAGUUUUGAUUUGGAUUUUUAGAAGUGUUUGCAUGUGCUUUUAGGAAGGGUUGUCCAUUUUAAAGGGAGGUUAUGCUGAAAUUUUCGGUAAAUUUUCCUUGGAGGUGGACCCCGCAAGAUGUACCUCGGGUUUCAAGGUGAAAUUCGGGGUGGGUCUUGACACUACAAGUCUUUACUCCAAGAGUACAUAGAUGUUUUCGCUUGGGGUUACCAAGAUAUGCCUGGCUUGGACCCUAAUGUAGCAGUUCAUAAGCUAGCAGUCUCAGAAGAAAGAUGGUGGGUGAAACAAGCUCCUCGACGCUUCUGCUCAGAGCUCGCUGUUCAAAUUGAAUCCGAGGUUGACAAACUCUUCGAUGUUGGUUUCAUUCGAGAAGUUAAAUACCCCACAUGGUUGGCUAGUAUCGUAUCUGUAAAAAGAAGAACGGACAAAUUCGCAUUUGCAUCGACUAUAGGAAUCUCAAUGAUGCUUGUCCAAAAGAUGAGUUCCCACUUCCAAUCACAGAGUUAUUGGUCGACGCUACAACAUGAUAUAGUGCUUUGUCAUUCAUGGAUGCGUUCUCAAGAUACAACCAAAUCAAGAUGACACUCGAGGAUGAGGAACUCACAGCCUUUCGUACACCAAAAGAGGUAUACUACUACACAGUGAUGCCAUUUGGCUUGAAAAAUGCAGGUGCAACUUAUCAAAGAGCAAUGACACACAUCUUCGCCGACAUGUUACAUAACACCGUUGAAUGUUAUGUUGACGAUUUGGUGGUCAAAACAAGAAAAAGGCAACACCACCUAGCUGAUUUGAGAAGGGUUUUUGACAGGCUUCGAAAAUACCAAUUGAAGAUGAACCCGUUGAAAUGUGCCUUUGGGGUGAUGUCUGGAAAAUUCCUUGGCUUUGUUGUCAGAUACCGAGGAAUCAAGGUCGACCCUACCAAAAUCACGACGAUUAGAGAAAUGCCUCCCCCUAGGGAUCUGCGGUAACUAAGAGGUUUGCAAGGAAGAUUAGCAUACAUAAGAAGGUUCAUUUCAAACCUUUCUGGAAGAUGUCAACCUUUCACGAGACUAAUGAAGAAAGACGUUCCUUUUAAAUGGGAUCAAGCUUGCCAAAAUGCUUUUUACAACAUCAAAGAAUAUUUGCUCAAACCCCUAGUAUUAAUGGCACCCAUCAAAGGAAGACCUUUAAUCCUCUAUACUGCAGCACUUGAAAGAUCUCUGGGGGCAAUGUUGGCGCAAAAUAAUAUGAGGGGAAAGAAAAUGCUUUGUAUUAUCUAAGCAGGACACUUGUGGGGGCAGAGCACAAUUAUACCCCCAUCGAAAAAGUUUACCUAGCCUUGGUAUUCGCUACUCAAAAGCUGCGACACUAUAUGCUUGCUCAUAGCAUCACAUUGAUCUCCAAAGCAGAUCCGCUCAGAUACUUGAUGUCAAAACCGGUAUUGUCUAGACGUCUAGCGAAAUGGUCAUUGCUUUUCUCAGAGUUUGACAUUAAAUUUGUCUCAAAAAGCCAUUAAAGGACUCGGACUCGCUGAUUUCCUAGCAGCACAUCCGGUACCUGAUCAUAUAGAACUUCCAGAAGACCUACCAGACAAAGAAGUCUUCUCUACAGAGGUAGCCAUGUGGCAACUUUACUUUGAUGGAGAACCUAGAACAAGAGGAGCAGGAGCGGGGGUUAUAUUGUCAAGACCCACCCCAAAUUUUACCCUAAAACCUGAAGUAAGUCCUGCAGGGACCACCUCCAAGGAAAAUUUAACAAAAAAUUUAACGAAAAAUUCGGCAUAACCUCCCUUGAAAAUGGACAACCCUAUCUUGAAAAAUUCAGAUAACACUCCUAUACCAACACAUCCAACCUCAACACCUAAAGCCACCCGCUCCCCCACAACACAUCCACCACACACAAAAAUAAUAACAGUUCUAAUCCAACACAUAAAUAUCCAAUUUAUAUCAUACACCAUCCUUUGAAUAUCUCCCAAAUUAAUAAACAAACACUUAGCACACAACCGAACUAUUAUACAAAUAAUCCCUAGGUAAUCAGAGCUACUAAACACUAGCGGAAGUAAGAAAAUAUGGUAGUAGGUUAACAUGUAACCUACUGAUGAAAGGUGGAAGAGAUGUGGGUAUGCCUCGCCUCUGACUAGUGUCAACCCGAACUCUGCAGACUGGGCAUUUUAAAACGAAGGGCCAAAGGGAAAACAUUUUAAAAACGUUAGAGUGAGUGGACAAAAAUAAAUUUAUAGAAUAUUUAUGCUUCCCAAUUUAAAUUUCCAUAGAAAAAUAUGUUGCAUGCGACAGCUCAAAAAUUGGCAAUUACAUGACUAGCUCCGGCUAGUUUCCAAAACUCAAACAAAUGAAGCCUCUCAGGCUAACUAUAUAUAUAUAUAUAUAUAUAUAUGUAUGUAUUUACACUCGUCAUACUCCUUGUAUGAUUUCUUAUGAAGAAAUAUAAGAAAAAUAGAAAUUUAUACAAGGCUACUACGCUUGCGUCUAACUCUCACGUCACGCCAUAAUGAAAUUUUACCUCAUUAUGCGGAAAAGCACGAGUGUAUAUAUAUACGUGCAUAUUCCCUAUAUAAAUUACUAAAUUUAUAUAGGGCUACGACGAUUGCGUCUAACGCUCACGUCACACCAUAAUGGUAUUUUACCUCAUUAUGGCGGAAAAGCACGUAUAGCUAGCUAGCAUUUAUUUAUAUACAUACUAUCCUCAUAAUCAUCCAUAUAUGAAUAUAUAAUCACCGAAAUUCUCAAUUCCGGUUAGUCUCCAACAAAAGAAAUUAUUCAUCAAUAAACCAUUUGCAUGCACACUAUUUAAAACAAAAGUCCACUCACAAAUUAGGCCUAAGCCUGAUUUCAAUCCGAGGCCUCUUCUGCUCGAGCCUCCUCACGCCCUGUUCCAAAUAUAAUAUUAAUUCCCAACCAAAUAUCCAAAACUUACACAUAAUAGGCAUAAUUCUAUGUGAGCCUUAAUCACACUCACACUUGCCCAACUUCACCAUUCUUAACUCAAUAGGGUCCAAACUUCACCGAACCUACUCGCAACUUUACUUCAACUUUCUAUCGAUUAAACGACUUUAAUCCCACGGCUGGAUUCUCCUUAAAUAACCGCCAAAAUUACUAAGCUUUAAAAAAUUCCCAAACCUAUCCAAAACUCAUCCAAAAAUUCUAAAAUUCACAUCAAUAACUCCCAUUAAUAUAACCAAUCAAAAACCAUGAAAAUCCCUUAAACAGCGGCAGGGGCGGCCGGAGGCCGACUCCGGCGACCUCCAAUGCCUACCAAAUUUUAACAGCAAUUUCCUCUCAACUCACUCUACAACUUCUUUAACUAGCACACACCCAAUUCUAAGCCUAACUAGGUCGAUCGAACGAAGACAUUCUAGAAAACCCUAGAGCUUCAACACCAAAUAUCUCCUUACCUAGCUCAAGAGGGAGAGACACCUUUGGAGGGAUGAAUGCACAGGAGGAGGGCUUCCUUUUUGAGCCUAGCAGCUCCGGCUAUGGCGGCCGGAGGAGUGAGUUCUGGCAAGAGCACAGUUGGCUCCUCGGAGGAGUUUCCUCCCGUUCAGCGGUGCUAUGGGCUUGCUCACCAGCCUAGGGAGAGAGGGGAGGAGAGAGGGUUUCGAUCGGGACCGGAGCGGUGGUCUGGGACGGAUCGGACGGCGGCAGGCAGGCGGCUGGAAGUUGGCCGGGGAGGGGGCUCGGGAGAGGGCUCGGGGAUGAGGGAAGAGAAAAGAGAGAAGAAGAAAAAGACUUUGGGCCUCCAACACCCGGUCCAACUCCUUAAUACCACUCUAAAACACUCCACUCCAUAACCUAAAACACCCCAAUAAAAAUACGCUAAUAAAAAAUUACCUUUUACUAGCUAAAAUUUACCAUUUUUACCAUCGUCAUAUUUUCUCCUACAAAUAAUUCUCCGAAAUAAUCGUCCCUUAAAAACCCUCUAGGGACCAAAUAAAUUAUAAUCUUAUUAACGAAGAUGGUAAAACUCUUAUUAAUACCAAGCUAGUAAAUAAGGUAAAAAUUUAAGGGUCGGGAUGUGACAAUUCUCCCCUCAUAAAAAUUUCGUCCUUGAAAUUUACAUUCUUGUCAAUCAAAGAGAUAGAGAUACUGCUGCCUCAUUUGCUCCUUUCGGUCGAGAAUCUGAACCAGUUCCUCUUCAUAGGUCAAAUCUUUCGUCAAACUGAUCGGCUGCUCUUGCAGCACAUGAGAGGGAUCAGCUAUACUUGCGAAGCAUGGAUACAUGAAACACAUUAUGUAUCCUGGAUAACUCUGGAGGCAAAACUAACCGAUAAGCAAGUGAGCCAAGUCGCUCUAUAAUCUUAUAAGGGCCAAUGUACCUCGGGCUAAGCUUCCCACGCUUACCGAAACGUACAACCCCUUUCCAAGGAGAUAGUUUCAAGAACACCCAAUCACCCACUUGAAACUCAAGGUCAUUCCUACGGACAUCUACAUAACUCUUCUGCCAACUUUGAGCGGCCUUGAGUCUAUCUCUGACCACUUUAACCUUCUCAUUUGUAUCAUGAAUCAACUCGGGACCGCAAAACUCUUUUUCUCCUACUUCAUUCCAACACAAAGGUGUACAACACUGCUUCCCAUAAAGUGCCUCAAAGGGAGCCAUACCAAUGCUAGAAUGAUAGCUAUUAUUAUAUGCAAAUUCCAUCAAAGAUAGGUUUUUAUCCCAACUCCCUCUAAACUGCAAGGAACAAGCUCUCAACAUAUCCUUCAAAGUCUGAAUAGUCCUCUCCGAUUGUCCAUCGGUCUGAGGAUGAAAAGCAGUGCUGAAGUGUAAUCGGGUGCCUAAAGCUGCUUGAAGAGCUCCCCAGAAUUUAGAAGAAAAUCUAGGAUCCUAAUCUGACACUAUUGAUUCAGGUACACCAUGAAGCCUCACAAUUUCAUUCACAUAAAGCUCCGCCAAUUUAUCCAAUUUAUACUUCUUUCCCACUAGCAAGAAAUGUGCAGACUUGGUGAGUCUAUCCACAAUCACCCAAAUAUCGUCAUGCCCUUCACGGGUACGAGGUAAACUGAAAACAAAAUCCAUGGUGAUGUGGUCCCACUUCCACAUUGGAAUAGAUAACGGCUCAAGCAACCCUGAAGGUUUCUGCCUUUCAGCUUUCACUUGCUGACAGAUUAAACAUCUACUCACAAAAGCUGCAAUUUCCCUCUUCAUAUUUGGCCACCAAUAAUAAUCUUUCAAAGUCCGAUACAUUUUUGUACUACUCGGAUGGGCAGCAUAUGCCGAACUAUGAGCUUCCUCCAUUAUCUCAUUCUUUAACUCUUAAUUCCUCUUUGGAACACAAAGCCUAUUCUUGAACAAUAAAGUUUCAUCUCUUCUAACUGAAAAAUCCACGGUGGUUCCACUCAAUGUUCUUUCUAUCAACCGAACUAUGGAAGGGUCAUUAUAUUGUGCCACCCGCACUAUAUCAACCAAAACUGGCCUCACAUAAAAACUAGCUAUCAAAGCACCAACUUCAUCCACCGAUAAAUCCACCCCUGUAGCUCGCAAUUCACAAAGAAGUGGAACUCGAACCGUCUUUAUAUGAGACAAAGAUAUGGAGGGAUUUCGACUAAGAGCAUCAGCUACCACAAUAGCUUUUCCAGGAUGAUACUCGAUAGUACAAUCAUAAUCAUUGAUCAACUCCAUUCACCUACUCUGUCUCAAGUUUAGCUCUCUUUGAGUGAAUACAUACCGAUGACUCUUGUGAUCAGUAAAAAUUUGACACUUGGCCCCAUAAAGGUAUUGUUUCUACAACUUGAGAGCAAAAAUUACCGCUGCAAGUUCUAGAUCAUGAGUGGGACAAUUCCCCUCAUGCGGCUUCAAUUGCCUAGAAACGUAGGCAAUAACUCGAUCAUGCUACAUUAAUACCCCACCUAGACCACGUCUAGAAGCAUCACAAUAAACCACGUACUCCCCAUUAGCAUCCGGAAGUGCUAAAACAGGAGCACUAGUCAAGCAAUUCUUCAAUUCUUGAAAACUUUGCUCACAUUUAUCUGACCAUUCAAACUUAACACCCUUCUUGGUCAAUCUUGUAAGAGGACCCGCAAUCUUUGAAAAAUCUUGCACAAAGCGCCGAUAAUAACCUGCUAAUCCCAAGAAAUUACGAAUCUCCGUCACAGUGGUGGGUCUUUUCCAAUAUGACACUGCUUUCACCUUUUGGGGAUCCACACUAACUCCUUCUGCCGAAACCAUAUGACCUAAGAACCCCACCUUAUCAAGCCAAAACUCACACUUGCUAAACUUAGCAUAUAACUGAGAAUUUUUCAAAGUCCGCAAUAUUAUUCUUAGAUGUUUGGCAUGCUCCUUCUCACUUCUUGAGUAAACCAAGAUGUCAUCUAUGAAUACGAUCACGAAACAAUCAAGAUAUGGACUAAACACCCUAUUCAGGAGGUCCAUGAACGCUGCGGGUGCAUUAGUAAGUCCAAACGGCAUCACCAUAAAUUCAUAAUGACCUUAACGUGAUCGAAAGCAGUCUUGGCUAUGUUACUCUCUCGGAUCCGUAACUGAUGAUAACCAGAUCUCAAGUCAAUCUUUGAGAAAAUAGAAGCACCUCUCAAUGAUAGGAGCAUAAAAUACGACAUUCUUAAUGUGUUAUUACCUCCAUUUGUACUUUGAUUAUCUCUUAUUGUCGUAGAAUAGAGUCAUAAUGUAGAGUCGAAAGUUUUUGGUAGAGUUGUGCGUAAAAUGUGUUAAACAUAGAGGAAUGAUGUAGAAAAUUGUCAAAAGCCGAUUUGUGGAGCCUUAGAGAUGUUCUUAUGAUUCUGUAAAGCUUUUACAUUGUCACAAAUUGAUUUAACUUCUCUGAUACUUAGGUGAUAUGUAAAAGAGUUAUGGCAAAAAGAAUCAGGAGAAUUGAAGUUAUGCUUGAAUCAUUGCCGAGAGAAGUGUUCCUGAUGGACCUAGGGAAGCAAAGCAGCUGAUCCACGAAGCCUAGUCCAUGAAGGAGAGGUCCAAACCAAGUCCAAUAUGGAGAAGAAGAUCUAAAUUCGGUAGAAUAUCAGGGAAUAUCCAAGUCUUGAAAAUCCGGAUUAAAUCGGGAGAAUUCCUGUGCACGUCUGUCAACUUCAACGGACUCUCCAGGACAGCUCACAAUGAAUCAGAAAACGUGCUAGAUAUGGAUAGAGAGCUACGGCAGUCUAGUUCCAAAUCAAUUGGAAUCACCUCAAUAUCUAUUUUCUAGAGGGAGUUAUGACGUAAUCAUCAGACGGAGGUCAUUCUGCCGAAUUGAGAAAACUAGGGAAACCUAAACCAACUUGGUUUCAACUUUGUGGCCGACUUCUCUAGGGUUUUUCCUCUAUAUAAAGCACGACUUCAAGAGCAGAAAAACAUCAUCUCUACUCUUGCAAUUACAUAGCCGAAACUCUACCAAACCCUAUACAGAAAUUACUUAGCCGAUUCAUCCACCACAAACCAUAAGAAUCAUUCCAUCAUUCCACCGAUUUUCCCCACACUUGCCGAAUCUUUCAAGGUUGUAAAAGUGUGAUUUUCUCAUGGCUUCUUGUAUUAUUUUCUGUAUAGUUUCGAACUCUAUUGUAAUAUACUUUUCGAUUUUGGUUUUAUUUAUCAAACAUGGUUUUCGGAUUUCUUUGUGAUCUUUGAUUGUUCUAUGUUUUGAUUUGUAACUUCUUGAAUAUAUGAUGAUUUCGUGAUUUAGGUUUUAGGGAAGUAGCAUGUUCUUAUGUGUUUUUGAUUUCUAAUUGAUUAAUUAUCAUGAAUUCGUGCAUCUAAAUCAAUCCUUGAGGCUGCCUUGGCCAUGGUUGUCCUUAAGGUGCGGUUUCAUCUACCAUAAUAAUUUUGGAUCAAUUCAUACGCAAAGUUGUCUUGGUCUCUGUUAUUAACUUAGGGCGGAUAUAAUUCUGAUAAUUUGCAUGCUAAUAGGAUGAGUGACGCCAUGCCUUAGAUCAUGUUUCCGAUUGACUCGUGUGCUAAAGUGUUUUCUUGUUUAAUCUCUACGCAACGUGUCUUUAAAUGAGUUAGCAUUCAUGUUUAGGAUCAAGCGCAAAGAUGGUUCUAAAUACUUGAGGAGUCUUAACAAUUAGAUAACCGCAAAGGCUCUAAUUAGAAUCGGAAUUGGUUAGAGUCUAGGAUAAUUUGAACGUUGCUGCCCGGCCUUGCAUGAAGUUGUUAUGUGUUCUUGAUGGUUUUUCGUGUUAUGUGUUGCAUGAGAAUGUUGAUCAUUUGUAUAUAAUAAUCUUAGGUUUAAUUUUCAGUAGGUUAUUUGUUAGAAUUAAUCAAUCUUAAACCCCCAAUAUUUCAAUAUAUAUGUGAAUACUUGUUUAUAAGUUGUUUGAUUUCUCUUCUUUCGAUCGCCCUUUGGUUUCCCCGGCUAGAACGAUCCCUACUUGUCCAUAUUACUACGAUUGCAGGGUAAUUAAAUUGAAGUUGUUUGACCUCGGUUACGCGACACGUCACUCAACUGAUCAACAAAUAAUCAAUGCGGGGCAACAGAUAUUUAUUCUUCACUGUGACUUAAUUUAGUUUCCUAUAAUCAAUGCAUAAUCUCAUGGUGCCAUCUUUCUUCUUAACAAACAACACCGGAGCACCCCAUGGAGACAUGCUAGGCCGAAUAAAACCCUUAUCUACCAACUCCUGCAGUUGAGUCUUUAAUUCCUUCAAUUCCGCUGGAGCCAUUCUAUAAGGUGCCUGUGAGAUAGGCAUAGUUCCGGGAAGUAAUUCAAAAGAGAAGUCUAUCUCCCUUUCAAGAGGCAAACCAGGUAACUCCUCAGGAAAAACAUCCGGAAACUCCCUUACUACAGGAAUAUCUUCUACUCCCAAAACUCCCAUACUUGUAUCCACAAUGUAAGCUAAAUAUGCCUAACAGCCUUUAUUUAACAAUUUCCUAGCAGCAACAGCAGAUAUCAAGCAACUCGAAAUAACAUCUCUUUCCCUUGAAAUGCAACCUCACAUUCAUCAGAACUUCGAAGCACCACCACUUUUCGAAAACAAUCCACCAUAGCUCUAUAAGCUUCCAAAACACUAUGCCAUUUCCUGCAUCAGGCAACACCUAUCAGGCGACACAUGUGAAAUUAAGUGUGGUUCGGGGUUUCCGGGCGACACAUUUUCUUUAUGUGUUGAUGGAAGUGCACUUAGACAAUACCAGUUUUCUUUGAAAAAAAUGUCUAUUUUCGGGGCGACACAUAUAUGUCGGUGAAGAAAGUGGUCAACUUUAGUCUCAAUUGUCUAAAUUUUACUCAUGUUAAUCCGAAGACAUUUAUGUGUCGGUUGAUAUUGAAUUUUGUUGAAUUGACAACUUGUGUGAAAAUUUUACUUCAUUAAGUUGAUACGACGACAUUUAUGUGUCGGCUGAUAUUGAAUUUUGUUGAAUUGACAACUUGUGUGAAAAUUUUACUCAAUUAUGUUGAUAAGACAACAUUUAUGUGUUGGCUAAUAUUUAAUUUUAUUGAAUUGACAACUUGUGUGAAAAUGAAUUAUGUUCAUAAGACAACAUUUAUCUGUUGACUGAUAUUGAAGUUUACUCAAUUAUGUUGAUAAGACAACAUUUAUGUGUUGGCUGAUAUUGAAUUUUAUCGAAUUGGCAACUUGUGUGAAAAUUUUACUCAAUUAUGUUGAUAAGACAACAUUUAUGUGUUCGCUGAUAUUGAAUUUUAUCGAAUUAGCAUCUUGUGUGAAGAUUUUACUCAAUUAUGUUGAUAAGACGACAUUUAUGUGUUGGCUGAUAUUGAAUUUUAUCGAAUUAACAACUUGUGUGAAAAAUUUACUUAAUUAUGUUGAUAAGACAACAUUUAUGUGUUGGCUGAUAAUGAAUUUUAUCGAAUUAACAACUUGUGUGAAAAAUUUACUUAAUUAUGUUGAUAAGACAAUAUUUAUGUGUUGGCUGAUAUUGAAUUUUAUUGAAUUGACAAUUUGUGAAAAUUUAAAAGUCAACACAUGUAUCAAAAUGGAAAUGCUCUUAUCUACAUCGGUCGAGACUUAUAUUUUCGAUUCGUCAACACUAAAACUCUCAUUCAAUAUUGUUGAAACUAAUCUAUGUGAAAUUUUGGACAAAUUUAUCAAGCGACUAUAUAGCUCCCCAUAGGAAAGCUUAUAGAAAUUUAAUCGUAAAUAAAGUUGACCUAUUUGUGAAGCAACUAUAUCUUGUAAAUAGAAUUUUGCAAAUCCAUCCGUAGGGUGCGUUACGUAUAGUGAAAUAUGGUUAUGGUAAAAAAAUCACAUAUUUUUGAUAACGUUUGUGUCCCGAUCGAGGCGGUCAACCCUUUUUACAAUUAUUAUCACCUAUGGGUAGCCCUAUCCCCGGAAAGUAAAAUUUCUGAAAUUUUUUUUUCUAUAUCGUUUUUUGCCUGCCUUGGGUCUCAUUGUGCUUCUGCAUGCUUUUGUUUCAUUGUGUUUCUGCGAGGUUGAGUACCUUCUUCUUCUGCCCUGUUUUCUUUCUCGCUAUCGAUCUCAGUGAUGGGUGUGUGUUUACUUUCGAGAGGAACAAUCUGGGGAUUCUUAGCUUUGAUGUGCGAAUUUGGAUUUGAAUCCUCCCUUACUCCUCACUAUCUGAUAUGCUUUCUCCAUUUGUUUUAGCUUUUGAGUUUAUUUGAUUUUGUUUUUUGGUUUUGGAACGAACAGGUCAUCGAUUCCUUCUCUGAGUUUACGCCUUCGCCCAGAGUUGGAAGACUUUCAUGGUUCAAAGCAAUUGGUGAUAAGCUGAUUUGGGAUUUAUGUAGAUCGGGUUUGCCUGUGGGUCGCGGUGGUCCGUUUAGUUGUUUCUGGGUUCAUUCUCUUAUGAAAAGGUGUGGGUGCAUGCUUUUUUUCCCCUGAUAUCGGUUUGCAUGUUGGUCGUUUUUUUGGGAUUGAAAAUUUUAGUGUCUUGCAGGGUUUUGUUUGUGUGGAUAGUAGCUGUGGUCAUUCGACGUUUCUCUCAUCCGAUCAGGUUUAUUUCUGUUAGAUUCUCUGAUCAAGCAGUUUUUUCUCUUCUUCCUUUUCUGGUUUUUGCUUCUUAAAUUUGUUUGGGUUGGAUGAAUACACAACCAGAGGAAAGGCUUUAGCCGAAGAAAAUAAAAAAACCAGGCCGACGAAUUAUUUUUUCGUCGGCUAAAGUCCACGUUAGCCGACGAAAUUUUCCUUCGUCGGCUAAUUUAAAUUUUUGUCGGCUAUACUAUACUUUAGCCGAUAAAAUUUUUUUUUCGUCGGCCAAAGUUUUCAUUCGUCGGCCAAAGUUUUUACUCAUCGACUAAAGUAUUUUAGUAAACGAAAACAAAUCUAGUCAGCUAUUAUCGAAAAAAGUCGUCGGCUAAAAGAAAAACAAUAAAAUGUUGUAUAACUUACUUAGUAGGUUUUAAACAAAUACACAACUUUGUGAACCAACUCUACAUAGAGGCAAAAUUAACAAAAAUCUCGUGAAAUAAGAUGUGUUCAGAAUGGUGAAAUAUGGCUAUGGUUCAAAAAUCACGUAAAUCAGGUAACGUCUCUGAUGUAGAACAGUCGAAACCCGGUAUGCUGCAGAUUUGGCUUUGCCAUGACAUAUGGGCCUUUUUGGCCAUCCGAGUCCGUUUUGGGCUUCAAAAUGCAGUUUUCUUAUUUCCGAUUAGAGUUGACCGUUUCGAUCGAGCCCUUAACGUUGUCGAAUCCAGUUGAAUUUUUUACCAUAGACAUCUUUCGUCAUAAUGAUCAUAUCUGACGGUCGAAUUUUGGUUUGUGAAUUUUAGUCAUCAGAAUCACGUCGUGUCUACUAAUGUUGUAUAACUUGUUUAGUAGGUUAUACAACAUAGGAACCAAAAUUAUCAAAAAUCUUAUGAAAUAAGAUGUGUUCAGAAUGAUGAAAUACAGCUAUGGUUCAAAAAUCACAUAAACUGGGCAAUGUCUCGGUGCCGAUAGUAGCGGUCAACCCUAUUUACCAUUAUUAUUCCCUAUGGGGAGCCCUAUCGACGGAAGGUAAAUGUCUCAAAAAUUUUAUAUGGGCAGUUGCGUCUCAUCUACGUGAGAGUUUUUUAUGUGGAAGGUUUGACUAAACUAUGUAAUAUAGAGGGAGAUAUGAGCGUUUUCAUGUGAUAAAUGACGUUGGAUUAAGGUUGACUGUUUCGAUCGAGCCCUUAACGUUGUUGGAUCCAGUUGAAUUUUUUACCAUAGACAACUUUUGUCAUAAUGAUCAUAUCUGACGGUCGAAUUUUGGUUUAUGUAUUUUAGUCAUCGGAAUCACAACGUGUCUACAAAUGUUGUAUAACUUGUUCAGUAGGUUAUACAACUUUGUGAACCAACUCUACAUAGGAAGCAAAAUUAUCAAAAAUCUAGUGAAUAAGAUAUGUUCAGAAUGGUGAAAUACGGCUAUGGUUCAAAAAUCACGUAAAUCGGGUAACGUCUCGGUGCCGAUAGUAGCGGUCAACCCUAUUUAGCGUUAUUAUUCCCUAUGGGGAGCCCUAUCGUCGGAAGGUAAAUGUCUCAAAAUUUUUAUGUAGGCGGUUGCGUCUCAUCUAUGUGAAAGUUUUUCGUGUGGAAGGUUUGACCAAACUACGUAAUAUAGAGGGAGAUAUGAGCGUUUUCGUGAAUUUAUAGACUUUAGACGACGAGAUAUUAAAAAAGUCGUCGGCUAAGGUCAAAAUUUUUUUUAUGGUAAAUCAAAUUUGGAGGAACAUUUUCAAAGGACUUUUGCUGACGAAAAUAUUCAAAAUCUCGUCGGCUAUUGUCAAAAAAUUUUCAAAAUUUUCAACCAAAAUUUUCAAAAGAGUUUAGCCGACGAAAAUAAAGAAUUUCGUCGGGUAAAGUUCUUUAUAUAGGAGUUUUACCGGAGGUGGAUGGUAAGAAGUCAGAAAAUCAGAAAAAGUUCCGGAUUUUCUUCUCGGCCUAGCUCCGCCGUCAAGCAACCAGAGACCGCCACAUUUGUCCCAAAAGCUUCGCCGUCGUCUCUACUUCAUUGCUGGACAGGUGGUGCAUCGAGUGGCGCCGCUGUGAGGGAUAAAUCGAGCUCCAAAACUCCGCUGGUUCGGAUUCGGUGUCGAUCGAAUUUCUUCUUCCUCAGGUCACCAUUUGGUGAGUUCUAUAUAUGGAUAAGUUGAGUUUGAUUAGUAAUACAUUCCCCUAGAAUUUAGUUGCUUGAUUCGAUGUGUGUUAGGAGAAUCGAAGAUUUGAAGUUUUUAGGGUUUAAAAUUGGGGAUUUUUAUAUUUUGAUUCAAUUGACCUGUUUAGGCUUAGAAUUAGGCUUUGACUUCUUCUAGAAAGUUGUUCGAAAUGUUGAGAGGAGGAUUUUGUCAAAUUUUGGUGGUGAUUGGAGGUGGCCGAAAGUUUCUGCAGUUUUUUUUUGAAAAAAACCAGCAACUUUAGCCGACGAUAUUUAAAUACUAUAUUCGUCGGCUAUAGUGUCAGGACCCACCUUGAAUUUCACCCUGAAACCCGAGGUAAAUCCUACGGGGUCCACUUUCAAGGAAAAUUUACCGAAAAUUCGGCAUAACAUUCCAACAACAAAGACAUUUAAUAAGCUACUACUGGACUUUCAGAGCAUAUCUAAUGAUGAAUGAAAACAAUGAAAACGAAUAAGCGGAAGCAGCCUCUGACUAUGCCUCGACUCCAUGUACGCUCGUUCUCAAAUAACUUAGCCUGCAAACUGGGCAUUUAUAAACCAAAGGGCCCAGGGGAAAGUAAUUUAAAAACGUUAGAGUGAGUGGACGAAAAUAAAUUCAAUAACUUAACAAUUAUAAAACUUAUAUACUUUCCCACUUUUCAACUUUUAAAACUUAACAGCAUGCAACUUAAACGUCUUUAAAACUUUAAAUCCAAAAUCACUUAAUAAAGGACAAACCAGCCCCGCUGGUUAGUUAAAACAGAAAUCUCAUCAGAGGAGAUAAACUAGCCCCGCUGGUUAAUAAAUAUAUUAUUGAGAAGAAUAAAAUAGGGGAAGAGUUAUCACCAUGAAAAAGGAGCCUCCUAGGCUCGGGUCGAUGCCUCCUAGGCUAUAAUAGCGUCCCACGCUAAGCGCUCAACUCACAUAUGAUGAGGACCACUAAAUAAGGCUAUAAUAGCGUCCCACGCUAAGUGCUCAACUCACAUAUGAUGAGGACCGUUAAUAAGGCUAGCUAACUAAUAAAUAUAAAUACCAAUCGGUUGUCUCCCAGGCUAUAACAGCGUCCCACGCUGAGCGCUCUACUCACAUAUGAAGAAGACCGCUAAUAAGGCUAUAAUAACGACUCACAUAUGAUGAGGACCGCCAAUAAGGUUAGCUAGCAAUAAUCAAUAUAAAAGCGACCCUAUAUUAUGGUGACUAAAAUCAUAUGAAGUCACUUAAAUCCAUUAAACUUCCCCAAUAUCAAAUAAAUGGUACGAUUCCCAACCGUAUUUGAAAAUCAUCAUAAGAAAUUAUACUAAACUCAAUGAUGUGUCUCACACGUCAAAAUAUUCUCGAAACCAUAUUAUAAGCGAGAUUUCAAUAUCAAAUAUAAAUCAUAAAUAACAAUAUCACCACUCGAAAAUACUCGCUAAAAUAUUCUCCAAAUCAAAAUCAUUAUGCCUCAAAUAAACAAUUAAAUUAUGAUGGAGAACUACCGAAAAUCCCAUUUUCGGUAAUCAUUUAUUAAUCCCAAAGUCACCACUAAAUCAAUCACAAUGAAAUCCGAAACUUAUAAAAUAACCAAACUCAAAUAUCAAAUUAAUAAUCCGAACUUAAAUCCAUGAAUCAUGACCAAACGUUAAUCAAUGCAUCACACUCAAAUAAUUUUCAAGAUCAUCUCAUGAGCCGAAAAUUAUAAUAUAAGCUCGGAAAAAUAAAAUGAUAAUUUAUAAAAUCUUGCAUGCAUAUUUAAUCAAACCAAAAUGUCCACUCACAACUUUAGGCAUAAGCCCGACGAUAACCGCAUCGCCACUCAAGCGAGGUUCCUUUCACAUCCUGGCACAACAACCAUACUUAGAACCAAACUUCAAUUCCAGAAAAUAAAUAUAUGAAUAAAAACAUCCAACUCUCUUCCGUUUAACCCACUACUCUUAAUAGGGUUAAACUCGCCGGAUUCGCACCAAACUCCACCACAACCUUAAUUCAUCAAUUCUAACAUUCUAUAAAAAAUACCAAGGAAAUCCAACGGCCGGAUUUUUUAUUCUAAUAACCGGCAAAAUCCUUAAUCUUUUAAAAAUCCCAAACCUUAUCAAAACUCCUCCAAAAAUUCCAAACUUCACAUCAUUAAACUCUCCUUAACAUAACACAUUUAAACCCUGAAAAGCCCCUUUACAGCGGCAGCGCCGCCGUCUGCUCUGCCUGCAACGGCGGCCGGCGGCCAACUCCGACGACCCCCGAUGGCUACCAAAUUUUAACAACAUCUUCCUCUCAACAUCCCAAACAACUUUAAUAACUAUCACUAAGUCUAAUUUCAAGCUUAAACAUGUCAAUCGAACAAAAACACAAUCAAGAACCCUAGAAGAUUCAAACCUUCGAUUCUCCUUACCUAGCUCGAGUUAGGAUGAAUCCUUUUAGGAUUUUGCUGCUGGGAGGGAGAGCUUCAAGUUGAGACCAACAGCUCCGGCUAUGGUGGCCGGAAAAGGGAUUUCCCGGCGAAAACCCCACCACGCACAGUCACGGCUUUCCAGCAUGAUUUCUCCUUCACGGCGGCGCGACACCGGCUGCCACCUACCUAGACUUGUAGAGGAUGCUCCAAGCUUCAAAUCGAUACCAAGCACGCCACCUAGCUCGGCCGGACGGCGGCGGAUGGAGGUGAUGAAGUUGCCGGUCGGAGGAGAGGCGCGGGAGAGAGAAGAGAGAGUGAGGGGGUGAAACUGAUUUCUUACCUUACCCAUCCGGUAAGUUUCCAUUUUUAUACCCCCAACCAAAAUAGUAACUUUUGUUUUUAGACCAUAACUUAUUCAUACGAACUCCUAUUUAAGCGUGCCACGCGUCUACGAACUCCACUUAACGUUCUCUACGACUUUCAUGAAGAAAGUUUUUCCAAAUUCCAAAUGGAAGAAAAAGUUAACUUUAGGGUCCUUAAGUAGUAAACGGUUACUCAACACGGCAAAAGACCAAAAUAACACCAAAGUAAAUAACCGUAAAAUAACUUAAGAACCGGGGUGUGACAUAUAGUAUUUUUUAAUUUUUUUAUAAGGUUUAGCUGACGAAACAGACUAUAUUUCGUCGGCUAUAGUUAUUUUUUUAAUUUUUUAUUACACAAUUUAGCCGACGAAUAUUUUAUUGUUUCGUCGGCUAAAGUCUGGGAAAAAAACCGACUACAUGUUUUUCAUCAGCUAAACUGUGGGACUAUAGCCAACGACGUCUUCUUUUUUCGUCGGCUAAAGUCAUCGCCGACGACCUUUUCCCGACGAAAUCUUAGCCGACGAAUUAAGCUAAUAGGCAGACGAAACUUUUUCGUCUGCUAAAGUGCUUGUCCUGGUAGUGAUAGAAUGGGUAAUUAUUUAUUGUUGAGUCAAUUGGUUUGACAUUACUGCCGGUAGAGGCAUGUGAUUUUUAGUUUUCGUCGUUAGAAGUGGAUAUCAAUUAUAUCAGCAAAUUCAACUUCCUUUCACUCCGACCAAUUUUUAUCUUAUGAGUUUUCCUGCAGAAUCAGAGAUAAACUCAAAACUGGAAGAAAAGGAAAGAAUGAAGAAAGAGAAGUUUCAGCCUUCGACUAAUACAGAUGGUACUGGAGCAAUAUGCAUCCAUCUCCAUAUCUGUUCCUUUCCAUAGAUGUUAAUUAUUUGGUUUAGAUCUAAAGUUGUUUUCUUUAAUUAAAACUUGAAAUUUUAAUUACAAUAAACUAGCAAUGGUGAUGAUGUUAGAGAUAUGCCAAUUAAAGGGUGGUACUGAUUCUACCCAUGGUAUGAGCUGUUAGUGUUUAUUUGUAACAGACAAACUAAUUGAAGCUGGGUGUUCAAUUCGGUUUUUCUGUGUGUGGGUAGUUAAUUGAGAUUAUUAACUUAUUUCAAUAGUCUACUCCAUUCUAUUGUGCAGAGAGAAAAGAAGAGAUUUUGAUGGUGGACUGCAAGGAAAAAAGAAAAAGAAAAAGAGAGAGAUCUAGGUUACUGAUUGGCUUUGAGAUUGUUUUGGAAAGGUGAUUCAGAAGAGGUAUCUCUCUUAUUCGUUUUUUUAAGUACUAUAAAAUGGAGAUUGAGUUCAUUUGUUUGGUAUCAUUUAGGCGUCUGAUAAUUGUUUUAUUUAAGGUUUAGAGUUACCGCAACUCUUCCAUAUUGUAUAGUCUUUAAGUCUUUGCAUUUCAAUGGUUAUCGAUGGGAAUUUGAGUUUUGUAGUUUAGUUUAUUGGACUAUGUUCAGAAAGUUGUGUGUCUAAACCAGGAAAUGAUCUUGCUAUAUCAUGUGAAUCAUCAUGUCCUCAUAUCGUCCAUGACUCCAUGUAAUCUGGGUAUAGUUCAAAUUAGCAUUGAACAAAAUCAGUUCAGUUAAGUAAAAAAAAUGUGAUAUCAGGAUCUUUGAUUUAGCAACUGUCAUAAGUUUCAGAAUCAUUUGAAAAUUUCAUUUUAAGUUAGAUGAGACAAAAUUUGAAUCCACAUGAUACAAGGGUUUAUUUGAAGAGAAAGAAUUGAAUAGUUAUAAUUUUAAUAUAGACAGAGCUCAUGGGGAGGUUUAGAAAAUCCUGUAGAAAAUGUUGCAGUAUCUUUAAUUCAAAUCUUGCACCUGCUCCUAUUUUCAAAUUUACUACCAAGUACUAUUUGGCAAGCCACCGGAGCAUAUUGGGUUCCCAAAAUGUCACCAAUAUGUAAAAGUGACAAGAAAAAGUUUUGGUAUCAGGUGAAAAAUUACAAAAUGUCACCAAUAAAUUAAGGCCAUCGUCUGUGACCUAUCUUACAACAAUGCAUCUUUAUGCUCUUCUUCCACAAUGAUCUGGGAAAUUUGAUUGUUCUGAAGAUCAAUAAGCCCCAGUUGUAAACUGAUGCUAUCUCAAAUUGUUGGUAUGUGACCUUUUGAUGCCUUCUAUGUUUUUACAUGUAGAUGAGAAGGUUGUAGAUUGUUCCAAAAUGGUCAGCACAAUGUAAUAACCUUACGCUAUGAUUGAAUGCGAUGUAUAGGAAACAAAGAGGUAGAAGCAGCCAAUGGGGAUUGACAAGACCCACCCCGAAUUUCACCCUGAAACCCAGAGUAAGUCGUGCGGGGAUUACCUCCAAAGAAAAUUUACCGAAAAAUCGGCAUAACCUCCCUUGAAAAUGGACAACCCUUCCAAAUAAUACCUGCAAACACUUCUGAAAAUUUAAAUCCAACCUUAAACUCCUGGAGCCUCCGUGCUCCCCAAAUCACAACACCACCCAAAUUAUUUACUAAUCUAAACAAAUCUCAUAUCCAACCAUUUAUAGGUUCAGAGCAACUCUAACAGGAAGAAAGGAAACAUAAUAAAUUAACAAGCGGAAGCUAUAUGAUGACUAUGCCUCAUCUCCAUGUACGCCCGACCUUGACUAAGCUAACCUGCAAGCUGGGCAUUUUUAAAACGAAGGGCCCAGGGGAAAACAUUUGAAACACGUUAGAGUGAGUGGACAAAAAUAAAUUAACAAAUAAAAUAUUUAUGUUUCCCCAAAUCAAUUUCCAAGGAAAAUCGAAUGCAUGCUGCAAGCGAUAAAACUUUUUAUCUCAUAAAUAUCGAGCCUCUCAAGCUCUAUAAAAUAUGUAUGUAUUACACACGUCCAUACUCCCUAUAUAAAUUCAUGGGUCUAUAUAGGGCUACUACGCUCGCGUCUAACGCUCACGUCACGCCUUAAUGCGGUGCUACACUACGCCAUUAAGGUGGACAGACGGGUGCAUAAAUAUGUGCCCAUACCCCCUAUAUGAAUUAAAUACUCAUAUAGGGCUACUACGCUCGCGUCCAACGCUCACGUCACACCAUAAUGCGGCUAUAUGCUAUGCCAUUAAGGUGGACAGACACAUAGGGCUAGCUAGCAUUUUUAUACAUACUCUCCUCAUAAAUACAUAUUUAUAUCACCGAAAAUCCCAUUUUCGGUAACUCUCCAAGAGAAAUAAAUCGUCAAAAUCAAAAUGACGUCAAAAUGCUCCAACAAUUUAAAUGUUCAACCAAAACCAUAGCAUGCAUAUUAUUCAAAACCAAAAGUCCACUCACAAAUCUAGGCAUAAGCCCGACGAAAUCCAAAUCGCCACUCCAGAGAGGUUUCCUCGAACCCUGGCACAAAUAUAAAAUUAAUUUCCCAACUAAAAAUCCAAUAUUUAAACAAAAUAGGCAAAAUUAACCGAGAGCCAUACUCACGCUCAUCAUUGCCUAACUUCGAUACGGUCCACACCUCAACACUAAAACCAGCAACCUUAGCUACACCCUUCCACAGAUUAUACGACUUUAAUCCAAGAGCCGGAUUCUAUCCUAUUAAUCCGCCAAAAUUACCAAACUUCGGAAAUUCACAAACCUAACCAAAACUCAUCCAAAAUUCCAUAAUUUACAUNNNNNNNNNNNNNNNNNNNNAAAAUUCCAUAAUUUACAUCAAUAUACUCCCCUUAAUAUUCCACAUUUAAAACUAUACAAACUCCCAAACAGCGGCGGCGGCGCCACCAGUUCCGCCGGCAGCGGCGGCCGGAGGCCGAUUCCGGCGACCUCCAAUGCUCACCAAAUUUAAACAGCAGCUUCCUCUCAACCUACUCUACAACUUUCUUAACUGGCACAACACCCAAUUUCAAGCCUAACUAUGCCAAUCGAACGAAAACAACACAAAAAGCCCUAGAGCUUCCACUCACCGGUUCUCCUUACCUAGACCAAGAGAGGACGUGCUCUUUGGAGGGGUUGCUGCACGGGAGGAGAGCUUUCUUUUGAGCCAAGAAUGGCCGGCUUUGGUGGCCGGAGGAGGGAGUUCCGGCGACCGGAAGUUCUGGGCAGUCAAACCUUUCGGGUGGCACCGCUCCCUCACGAUGGCGCUAGGGCUCCUCUCACCGGUCCAGGGAGGUUGUUGGGUUAGAAGUCGACCGAACGGGACCGGUGCGGCAGCGGUUGGUGGCCGGACGGCGGCGGACGAGCGGCCGGAAGCUUCGGCUGCGGGAAAACUCGGGGAUGAGGCCGGGAGGGAGAGAAGAAGAGAGAGGGAAAAGAAAUGGGUGUUUGGGCCUCACACCCACCCGGUCCAACACCAUAGAACAACCCACUCCAAAAUAAAACACCCCGAAAAAAUAAUACCCGAAAAAAAAUUACCUUUUACUAGCUAAAAUUUACCAUUUUUACCGUCGUCAUUUUUUCCUCCUACAAAUAAUCCUCCGCACAUAACCGUCCCCGAAACCCCUCUAGGGACCAAUUAAAACUAUAACCUCAAUGACGGAGACGGUAAAAUUCUUAUUAUAACCAAGCUAGUAAAUAAGGUAAAAAUUUACGGGUCAGGAUGUGACAAUUCUCCCCUCCUUAUAAAAAUUUCGCCCUCAAAAUUUACAUACCUGACAUUCGAAGAGAUAGGGAUACUGCUACCUCAUUUGCUCCUCUAAUUCCCAAGUAGCUUCCUCUACUUGAUGACUCCUCCACAGAACUUUAACAAGAGGAAAAAGAUUUGCUUCGAAGCACUAGCUCCUUUUGGUCAAGAAUCUGAAUCGGCUCCUCAUCAUAGGCCAAAACUUUUUCCAAUUAAUCGAUUGCUCUCGCAACACAUGAGAGAGAUCGGAAAUAAACUUGCGAAGCAUGGAUACAUGAAACCCAUUAUGUAUCUUGGAUAACUCCGGAGGCAAAACUAACCGAUACGCAAGAGAGCCAACUUGAUCUAAAAACUCAUAAGGACCAAUAAAUCUCAGACCAAGCUUUUCACACUACCAAAACGUACCACCCCUUUCCAAGGACACAAUUUCGAAAACACCCAAACACUCACUUGAAACUCAUGGUCCUUCCUGCGGACAUCUUUAUAACUCUUUUGGCUACUAAGAGCUGCUUUGAGUCUAUCUUUGAUUCCUUUAACCCUUUCAUUUCUCAAAGACUCUAAAUCCUUCGUUGAACUACCACUAACGUUUGCACGUAAGUGAGUUCAGUGAUACCUGCUCCAGAGUACGAGUACCCGUAGGUAUGCACACUCUUUCCUGAGCAAUGGAAAAAGUUAACCCAAAUAAAGCGCAUACAUUUGCUAUCACGAUCGGGCUCAAAUCUCCAAACAUCACGUAACAACCUCAUCAUUACGCUGCUCACAACUCGACGAUGAAGCCCAAUUGCUAGGAAACUAAAGUUCACGCAUUCCCACAUGCUCAUCAUAAGGGUCAAAAUUAAGACCCGCUAAUCAAACAGAUUUAAGGAUGCACACACUGCAGAACUGCAAGAAUCACUACCAAUACCGAGGCACUUUACGGAAUCAAAACUCACACAAUACCGCAAGACAACCCUCUUUUGCUUAAGCGAUUAGUCCAACAAGAGUUAAAACUCAAUUGUCGGAAUGAAAUUAUGAAGUGAUCAAUAACUACGUCACUUAUGUCUCUUCACCAAAACUAUUACAUUACCAUUUUGAGCACUAUGAGAAUUCAACUCUCUCCUAAUUCUGCUAUCUCCACUAUUCUCUUUACCACAAACCAGAAGAUAAUUUGAAACAUGACUAUCAUGUGGAAACUGGAUAUUCCUCCUUGCUCGCCAUAAGCAAAAACGAACUAAUUAUGCCCACGAAAAAAAUUGGCACAGCCAAUUCAUGAUGCCCAACUUGACGUUGAAAUCCACAUAAAUAGAGCACCUUCCUUAAGCAUUGACAAAAUUUACAUCUCCAGCUAUGCUACUUAUUCGGGUACAACCGCGACCCCAUAAUCAAUAAUUAAAAGCACACGGCUCACUCUAGCCGUUCUAGAAGAAUGAUUCUAAAUGCCAAGCCUUUGGACCCGACAAACACAUUUUUAUUUUUUUACCUCAAAUUACAAUUAAUCUGAUUAUAGAAGACGAUCUGAAAAUCAGAUACGCUCAAGUCUCCGACACCUCCCAGGGCCACGGCUUCCCACCAAAAAGAUUUUCUGAUAACCGAGCUUGCAGUACCAUGCAACUAUCAAAUGCCAAGAUAAAUUUUUAUACAAGACCCAUUACUAUACCUUGUGGUUCACCAACCAACGAAAACCAUGAAUUCAAGCAAGAAUCAAAACUCAUGGCUUAACUCAGCUCAAGUUCCAGAAGAAAUGACUUAAAGCACAUGAAAGGCAAGUCCUCUAACUUCGAGCUCAAAAGCUCCACAAAUCUCCAAUAUCCGUCAGAACCCGCUUCGAAAUUGCACUAGAAACCUCCACUAAUCAUGCUGACACCAACGGAUGAACGCACAACCAAAAAAACGAAGACCUCUCUAAUCAAACUUGGAUCAAUGAGUGGUCCCACCACAAUAUGAUCCUGAGAAGAGACGCUAAUCAACCUAUCAAUAAAUUUACUACUUUCAAUAUUAAAACUCUUAAUAAACCUUGACUCUAGACGCUUCUUGAGUCAACAUGGGAAAACCUUCCCCCAUAACGCUACAUCAUAAAAAAUACCUACAACGACACAAACCAUCUUUUCAACAUCACCACACGACUAGCAGACUACCACAUAGGACUUACGACUCCAAGAUUCAUUGCUUAAUUGAACUCCAGCUCAUUUGGGAUCACGACUGGAUUUAUUCCGGAUCCAUGACUACGACACAACUACCAAUUUAUCAUUUACCUCGAAACUUCGACAUAAUAACCAGAAUCUCUACCCUUCAAAUCGAAGCGUUGAAUUCGCAUUCCAUAAUUCAAGCUCUGAGGAUACUACCCAAAAACUACAGUAGGAAUAAUUUAAAUAUUCCCACACACACCAUAACCAAAACUUUACUCCAUCUCACCUAAUUAGAAAUAAGAUGAGAAUAGAUCCUCCCAUUGUUAUGUCGUAGUUAGUCACCCAUUGCGAACGAAAUGAUGUCAACAACCAACUUCGAUCACAAAUUUGAGACUUACAUCAACCACCCGGAAUGACACUGCUAAAAAAAAUACUUUGGACACCCACGCACUUUUGCUCUAUGAUCCAAUGGGUUUUAUUCCACUGCUACCACUUCCACCAACUCCACACAACUGCUAUAGAAUACCUAUGACAAUACGUAAUAAAUUCACCAGGUGUUGUCAUAAAACUGGAGUGACCACAACCAUCCCGCUCUCACUCCACCAUUACUUUUCAAUUCCAUUUACAUUAUCAUCUUUCCAAACACUCAACAAAUCUGGAAACCAAACUUCAACACCUGGAACUCCGAAAGAAUCCAUACUGGCCCCAUGAUUAAAAUAAUAUAACUGACAUCUCACUCUACGAUUCCAAACUUGCUUGAAACUCAAAACAUUUAGUGCCAUCAAUAAAAUUUAAAAUUCCCCGACUGUGGCACAACAAGAAGUUGUCACAACGCACUGACGAAUGACUUUUGUAAAACCAACAAUCCAAGUCAUUCUACUUAGUGCUUUAACAAACUUCAACUAACCCACAAUAGAGACCAAAAUCAUCAAAAAUCUUGUUAUUCAUCGACUACUAUUAUCCGUCAUUUUCAAAAAUAUACUUCCAUAAAUAAAGUUGUAGGAACCAGGAUAUGUGCUGACAUAACCAGCAUUAUCCCAAAUUGUUCCCACUGCUUUCUGUUGCGGAUAAAAAUAGUCGGUAAAUUGGCUUUAACUCAUGACUUAUCUAAAUUGACAUUUAACUUUUUAUGGAGCAAUGCCUUGCAACCCAAACACUAGCCACAAAUCUCACAAGACUAAUUCGCUCAAGCUUAGGUCCGCAAUAACUCAUAUAGGUACCCCAUUGAAUUACGCUUGGAUACCUCACCUCAUCAUUUCAACUAACUUUUACAUCAAUAGAAAACACCACUAUUUCAAACUUUCUUUCCAACUCGACUCUCUCAAAAGUCACAUAACUCAAUACCAAAAUAUACCAUCAAUCAAUUUUUGACUUCAAUCUUGCCCACUAAAAAUGGACAACUCCAAGGCAUUAAUCAUCAACAUUUCACCCAACAGAUUUGCACAAGAUGCUCACCUUAGCAUCUUAAUUUGAAAUCUUAAUCUUAACCCAAUCAAUCAUUGGAUACCUGAAAAGAAUGCUAACAAGCUUUUUCGUUCCCCACUCGCAAACUAACUCCAACCAUUAAUAUCAAAGAUAUUAAAUUAAUGAACCUUGGAAUAGGUGCAAACUAUACACCUUUUCAAAACUCGAAGGAUGAACACUCAAGAGGUCGAUGUACGGAGGCAUAGUCUUAGAGAUGUAGACAUUUAUGGCACACUACUGCCCAUAAAUAAAAGAAGAACAACUACAUCACAAACCUAAUCAACACAUAGUGUCUAAAGCAUAUAAUGCUAAUAGAUCCGCCGCGGUCGGACCGUCACUCUAUAGACACUAAGCAUGACCAAGAGUAUGAGGUAGUACUAAAAAGAGAAAAGAAAUGAAUAACCUAGUGCUCCGAUACCAACUGACAAGACCCACUCCGAAUUUCACCCUGAAACCCAGAGUAAGACGUGCGGGGACCACCUCCAAGAAAAAUUUACCGAAAAAUCGGCAUAACCUCCCUUGAAAAUGGACAACCCUUCCUAAUAAUACUUGCAAACACUUCUGAAAAUUUCAAUCCAACCUUAAACUCCUGCAGCCUCCGUGCUCCCCAAAUCACAACACCACCCAAAUUAUUUACUAAUCUAAACAAAUCUCAUAUCUAACCAUUUAUAGGUUCAGAGCAACUCUAACAGGAAGAAAGGAAACAUAAUAAAUUAACAAGCGGAAGCUAUAUGAUGACUAUGCCUCAUCUCCAUGUACGCCCGACCUUGACUAAGCUAACCUGCAAGCUGGGCAUUUUUAAAACGAAGGGCCCAGCGGAAAACAUUUGAAACACGUUAGAGUGAGUGGACAAAAAUAAAUUAACAAAUAAAAUAUUUAUGUUUCCGCAAAUCAAUUUCCAAGGAAAAUCGAAUGCAUGCUGCAAGCGAUAAAACUUUUAUCUCAUAAAUAUCGAGCCUCUCAGGCUCUAUAAAAUAUGUAUGUAUUACACACGUCCAUACUCCCUAUAUAAAUUCAUGGGUCAAUAUAGGGCUACUACACUCGCGUCCAACGCUCAAGUCACGCCUUAAUGCGGUGCUACACUACGCCAUUAAGGUGGACAGACGGGUGUAUAAAUAUGUGCUCAUACCCCCUAUAUGAAUUAAACACUCAUAUAGGGCUACUACGCUCGCGUCCAACGCUCACGUCACACCAUAAUGCGGCUAUAUGCUAUGCCAUUAAGGUGGACAGACACAUAGGGCUAGCUAGCAUUUUUAUACAUACUCUCCUCAUAAAUACAUAUUUAUAUCACCGAAAUCCCAUUUUCGGUAACUCUCCAAAGAGAAAUAAAUCGUCAAAAAUCAAAAUGACGUCAAAAUGCUCCAACAAUUUAAAUGUUCAACCAAAACCAUAGCAUGCAUAUUAUUCAAAACCAAAAGUCCACUCACAAAUCUAGGCAUAAGCCCGACGAAAUCCAAAUCGCCACUCCAGAGAGGUUUCCUCGAACCCUGGCACAAAUAUAAAAUUAAUUUCCCAACUAAAAAUCCAAUAUUUAAACAAAAUAGGCAAAAUUAACCGAGAGCCAUACUCACGCUCAUCAUUGCCUAACUUCGAUACGGUCCACACCUCAACACUAAAACCAGCAACCUUAGCUACACCCUUCCACAGAUUAUACGACUUUAAUCCAAGAGCCGGAUUCUAUCCUAUUAAUCCGCCAAAAUUACCAAACUUCGGAAAUUCACAAACCUAACCAAAACUCAUCCAAAAAUUCCAUAAUUUACAUCAAUAUACUCCCCUUAAUAUUCCACAUUUAAAACUAUACAAAACUCCCAAACAGCGGCGGCGGCGCCACCAGUUCCGCCGGCAGCGGCGGCCGGAGGCCGAUUCCGGCGACCUCCAAUGCUCACCAAAUUUAAACAGCAGCUUCCUCUCAACCUACUCUACAACUUUCUUAACUGGCACAACACCCAAUUUCAAGCCUAACUAUGCCAAUCGAACGAAAACAACACAAAAAGCCCUAGAGCUUCCACUCACCGGUUCUCCUUACCUAGACCAAGAGAGGACGUGCUCUUUGGAGGGGUUGCUGCACGGGAGGAGAGCUUUCUUUUGAGCCAAGAAUGGCCGGCUUUGGUGGCCGGAGGAGGGAGUUCCGGCGACUGGAAGGUGUGGGCAGUCAAACCUUUCGGGUGGCACCGCUCCCUCACGAUGGCGCUAGGGCUCCUCUCACCGGUCCAGGGAGGUUGCUGGGUUGGAAGUCGACCGAACGGGACCGGUGCGGCGGCGGUUGGUGGCCGGACGGCGGCGGAUGAGCGGCCGGAAGCUUCGGCUGCGGGAAAACUCGGGGAUGAGGCCGGGAGGGAGAGAAGAAGAGAGAGGGAAAAGAAAUGGGUGUUUGGGCCUCACACCCACCCGGUCCAACACCAUAUAACAACCCACUCCAAAAUAAAACACCCCGAAAAAAUAAUAUCCGAAAAAAAAAUUACCUUUUACUAGCUAAAAUUUACCAAUUUUACCGUCGUCAUAUUUUCCUCCUACGAAUAAUCCUCCGCACAUAACCGUCCCCGAAACCCCUCUAGGGACCAAUUAAAACUAUAACCUCAAUGACGGAGACGGUAAAAUUCUUAUUAUAACCAAGCUAGUAAAUAAGGUAAAAAUUUACGGGUCGGGAUGUGACAGGGAUGGUUUUUUUCUUGAAGGACUUGCAGCAACAAAUAUAUAGAGGAGGAGGAUUUACAUGGUCAAUUUUGGGAUGGAAAACAAGUAGUUAUCAAUACUUUUAGUUUCUUUUUUCCAUUUCAAUAUGAAAUUUGUUGGUUACUGAGUAAAUUUUAACAUUAUAAUUGACGUAAUGAAUAUACAGGAGCUUAUGAUGAGGAAGAGUUUGCAGCAACAUCGUAUUAUUUUGCAGCUCGAGUACUGGGGACAUCAGCUUUUAUUAUGAGAAGAAGAAUACAUACACUAUUAGGACAAGUUGUCGUCCUGUUAGCUUAAUUCGUCGGCUAAGACCUUCGUCAGCUAUAGUUUCGUCGGGAAAGGGUCGUCUGACACUAGAAAACGUCGUCGGCUAUUAUCUGGGACAAUAACCAAUGAAUAUCUUAAAUGUUUCGUGGACCAUAGUCUGAGACUUUAGCCGACGAUAUUCGUCGGCUAAAGUAUAUAAUAAAAAAUUUAAAAAAUAACUAUAGCCGACGAAAUAUAGUCUAUUUCGUCGGCUUUAGAAGUGUUUAGCCUACGAAACAUGCCAUAAUUCGUCUGUUAAACCUUAUAAAAAAAAUUGAAAAAAUACUAUAACCGACGAAUAUCUUCGGCUAAAGUAUUUAAAUAUCGUUGGCUAAAGUUGCAGGUUUUUUUAAAAAAAAACUGCAGAAACUUUCGGCCACCUCCAAUCACCACCAAAAUUUGACAAAAUAUUCCUCUCAACAUUUUGAACAACUUUCUAGAAGAAGUCGAAGCCCAAUUAUAAGCCUAAACAGGUCAAUUGAAUCAAAAUAUAAAAAUCCCUAAUUUUAAACCCUAAAAACUUCAAAUCUUCGAUUCUCCUCACACACACCGAAUCGAGCUACCAAAUUCUAGAGGAAUGUAGUACUAAUCAAACUCAACUUAUCCAUAUAUAGAACUCACCAAAUGGUGACCUGAGGAAGGAGAAAUUCGAUCGACACCGAAUCCGAACCGGCGGAGUUUUGGAGGUCGAUUUAUCCCUCACGGCGGUGCCACUCGAUGCGUCACUCGAUGCACCACUUGUCCAGCAAUGAAGUAGAGACGACGGCGAAGCUUUUGGAAUAAGUGUGGUGGUCUCCGGUGGCUUGACGGCUGAGCUAGGCCAAGAACAAAAUCCGGUAGGCGAAACAAUAACUUUUUCUGAUUUUCUGACUUCUUACCAUCCACCUCCAGUAAAACUCCUAUAUAAAGAGCUUUACCCGACGAAAUUCUUUAUUUUCGUCGGUUAAACUCUUUUGAAAAUUUUGAAAAAUUUGGUUGACCGCCAAAAUUUUUUGACAAUAGCCGACGAAAUCAUAUAUUUUCGUCUGUUGAAAUCCUUUGAAAAUUUUCCCCUAAAUUUGGUUUGCCGCCAAAAAAUUUGACCUUAGCCGGCGACUUUUUUAAUAUCUCGUCGGAUAAAGUCUAUAAAUUCACGAAAACGCUCAUAUCUCCCUCUAUAUUACGUAGUUUGGUCAAACCUUCCACACAAAAAACUUUCACGUAGAUGAGACGCAACCGUCUAUAUAAAAAUUUUGAGACAUUUACCUUCCGACGAUAGGGCUCCCUAUAGGGAAUAAUAACGGUAAAUAGGGUUGACCGCUACUAUCGGCACCGAGACGUUACCCGAUUUACGUGAUUUUUGAACCAUAGCCGUAUUUCACUAUUCUGAACACAUCUUAUUUCACAAGAUUUUUGAUAAUUUUGCUUCCUAUGUAGAGUUAGUUCACAAAUUUGUAUAACUUACUAAUGUUAUAAACAAGUUAUAUAACAUUAGUAGACACGUUGUGAUUCUGAUGACUAAAAUUCAUAAACCAAAAUUUGACCGUCAGAUAUGAUCAUUAUGACGAAAGAUGUCUAUGGUAAAAAAUUCAACUGGAUCCGACAACGUUAAGGGCUCGAUCGAAACGGUCAACCCUAAUCCAUAGUCACUUAUCACAUGAAAACGCUCAUAUCUCCCUCUAUAUUACAUAGUUUGGUCAAACCUUCCACAUGAAAAACUCUCACGUAGAUGAGACGAAACUGCCCGUAUAAAAAUUUUGAGACAUAUACCUUCCGACGAUAGGGCUCCCCAUAAGGAAUAAUAAUGGUAAAUAGGGUUGACCGCUACUAUUGGCACCGAGACGUUACCCGGUUUACAUGAUUUUUCAACCAUAGCCAUAUUUCACCAUUCUGAACACAUCUUAUUUCACAAGAUUUUUGAUAAUUUUGCUUCCUAUGUAGAGUUAACCUACAAAACAAGUUAUACAACAUUAGUAGACACGUUGUGAUUCCGAUGACUAAAAUUCACAAACCAAAAUUUGACCAUCAGAUAUGAUCAUUAUGACGAAAGAUGUCUAUGGUAAAAAAUUCAACUGGAUUCGACAACGUUAAGGGCUCGAUCGAAACGGUCAACUCUAAUAUAAAAUAAGAAAACUGCAUUUUGAAGCCCUAAAUGGACUCGGAUGGCCAAAAAGGCCCAUAUGCUAUAGCAAAGCAUUGAGUGUGACUCGUAGGGCCGUUACGCUUCUGGAAAGGUAUCACAAUAGUCAAUCGGACACCGAUCGCCAAAUCUGCAGCAUAUCGGGUUUCGACUGUUCUACAUCAGAGACGUUACUCGAUUUACGUGAUUUUUGAACCAUAGCCGUAUUUCACCAUUCUAAACACAUCUUAUUUCACGAGAUUUUUGUUAAUUUUGCUUCUAUGUAGAGUUGGUUCACAAAGUUGUGCAUUUGUUUAAAACCUACUAAGCAAAUUAUAUAACAUUUUAUUGUUUUCCUUUAGCCGACGAAAUAAUAGUAUCGUCGGCUAAAGUUGUGAAUAACAGACGACUUUUUUCGAUAAUAGCCGACGAGAUUUUUUUUCGUCUACUAAAAUACUUAGCCGACGAGUAAAAACUUUGGCCGACGAAGGAAACUUUGGCCAACGAAAUUUUUGUAUAGCCGACGAAAUUUUAAAUUAGCCGACGAAUGAAAAUUUCGUCGGCUAACAUGGACUUUAGCCGACGAAAAAAUAAUUCGUUGGCCUGGUUUUUUUAUUUUCGUCUGCUAAACCCUUUCUUCUGGUAGUGAUAGCCUCCCUAUUAAGGUUCUUAUUCAUCUGUUAAUUGAUGAACAUUGAUUUCUUUCUUCUUCUUUUUUUGGGUAUUGAAAUCAGUUCUUCGAUCUAUUUGUGGGUAUUGAAAGCUUAAACACGGAAUCUUAUUUGCAGAUUGUGUUUAGAAACUUUUAAAUUUAUACAAACACAUAGCUUAAUCUUUAAUGCAUAUAGGUUAUGAGAUUCAAUUUAAUAGUUAACAUGCAUGGUUGUAAUGAUCUCUACAUACAUAUCAGUUCGGU